rnacentral:lncRNA from 1 species
AGAUUGUCUUCUACGAGGAUCGUAACUUUCAGGGUCGCUCUUAUGAGUGUAACUCUGAGUGUCCAGAUUUGUCCUCAAAUUUUCAUCGCUGCAAUUCCAUCCGAGUGGAAAAUGGAAACUGGAUCCUAUAUGAGCACCCCAACUAUAGAGGACACCAGUAUUAUCUUAGCAGGGGAGAAUAUCCUAAUUUUCAGCAAUGGAUGGGUUUCAAUGACUCUAUCAGAUCUUGUCGUAUUAGCCCACAGGUAAAUAUGUUUACCAGAGCAAUUAAGAAUUUCACAAAAGUAUUAAAGUUGCAGUCCUAAAAGCAUUAUUGUCCAGUUACCAAGAGUAAUGGUUGAAAUAAAAACAUAUAUAUAUUAAUUUUUUUUUUUUUUAUUGCAUGAGUUGUUUAAUGGAAUAUAUCUUAAAUUCACAAUUAAAUUGUCAGGCAACAGGUGCGUUAAUAGCAAUAAAAAUGAUACUCUCAGUCUAGAUUUUUUGCAUGAAUUAUGCAAUUAUUAUAAUAAUAUUUAUUAAGUAUUUUUUUUAAUCUUCUUAAAGCACCACGGUUCAUUCAGAGUAAAGGUCUACGAGAAUGCAGAUUUUCGAGGUCAGAUGAUGGAGUUCACUGAAGAUUGUCCUCAUGUCUAUGAGAGAUUCCGUCACCAUGACAUCCACUCCUGCCAUGUGUUUGAUGGUUACUGGAUGUUCUAUGAGGAACCAAAUUACAGGGGCCGCCAGUAUUACCUGAGACCAGGAGAAUACAGAAAAUAUACCGACUGGGGUGCCAUGAACCCAAGAAUUGGCUCAUUCAGGAGACUUCACAAUUUCUAAUAAGCUGUAUUAAUUAAUACAUCAGAAUCUAGUUUAGAAUACAAUAAAAUAUUCAAAUAAUUAAUAGUUAUUUGUUUCAUUUUGUAUUUUUGCUGUCUUUCAAAUUGCAGUUUAUUAAAUUGGAUAUUAAUAUAGCAGUGGCAUUUAGUUAGAAAGGGUAAUCACCAAUAACACAGUGAUACAGUGUACAUGUUAAACAUUGUUUGGUGUGUAUGAGACAGGGGUGGCCCCUCCCCCCACUACUAUAUGUAUUGGCUCUGAAUCCCCCCCGCCAGUCUAUUAGAACAGACCAUGAGAUCAAGGGGGUCGAAUUUCAUGGUAAUGAACUCAAAAUUAGUGCUUUUGCGGAUUACAUUCUCUUAUACAUAACGCAUCCUCAACAUUCAUCACCGAGAUGAAUGCACCUUAUCCACAAUUAUAUUAAAAUUUCCUACUACUCUCUAAACACAACCAAGACACAAGCAUUAAGUAAAUGAAUCCCUGCAUCGAUAGUACAAUCCCUGCAGCAGUCAUUCCCCUUUGAGUGGCGUGUGGAGAGUAUCGAGUAUUUAGGCCUUAGAGUAACUAAAAACCCUGCUGACCUUUUUCCGCAAACCAUAUUAAAGUAUGGAAACAUUGUACACACCUUGUGAGACAAUGGAAGUCACUAUUUUUAUUGUGGACAGAACACAUUCUAGCUAUUAAAAUAAUGCCUAGACUCCAAUACUUAUUCUACACUCUCCCCAUACAUAUUCCAUCUACAUUUUUCAAAUCUACCCACAAAGACCUAUCAGACUUUAUAUGGGCACAUAACAGAUCAAGAGUGUCUAAAGAUCUGCUGAGAGCUCCGACCAAGGUGGGCAGAUUGGUGGUCCAUCACUACCUCACUUCCUAUACCAGCCUCCUCCAAAAUGGGUCAACUUAGAAAACAAAUCUCUCUAUCCGCAUAGGGUGACUAACCUCCUGUGGCUGACCAAAGAUACCAGUCCCAUAUGAAAAUUAAUAUCACCGGUGACAGCACUUUUCCUGGCAGUGUGGGGCAAACACAAAAUUAUAUUAGUUUGCUCCACGGCUACCUCAAGCGCGAUGCCCAUAAUGUCAGUCCCAUAUGUUAUUCCUACUUUCAGUGCCAAACCCUGGCAUGAUAGAAGCACUACCUGUCUUUACCACCUGUUUCACAGAGUUUUUACACUACUCAGUUGCUACUCCUAUUUGCAUAAGCAUGGUACACGAGACAGCCCCCAGAGGCCCUCUAUGACUACUUUAAUGGUUUGGGAGCAAGUGUGCAUAAAUACGAGUUUGCCACAUUAGUGUAGACCAAUUUCUAUGUGUUACCAAAACCUGUCUGAGUAUACCCGUUUGCUAAUUCCAACCCAGCCCUUCAAUGGGAAGAGGAACUAGGUUGUUAUGUUACCCCUCAAAAAUGGAAAACCAAAGUUAACGCAUCGCAUUGGUUGGUCAGGUUCUCAGUACACCUGGAGCAGCACCGUAAAAUGCUGUACUGAUGGUACAUGGUGCGAUCAAAGCUACACAGGCUCUAUAAUACUGCCUUUCCGAUGUGCUACUUACUAUUAGAUCUCCCAGAUAGUAUAUCAUCAUACCAAAGAAAAAAAAUUGGUUAUUCAGAUACUUCUAUCCACACUCCAACUUAUUGAUAAAACAUGGAAAUUCACUAUACCCCCCCAACUAUCCACCCCCAAUAGCAGCAGUGGACGCUCAGCGCAUAUAUGAUAGGUCAUGCCUGUUCCUCUUCACAGUUAUAGCCAACAGCUCUAAGUUAUAUCUUUCAUUUUGAAUGAUUGAGAAGCAAUUAUGCCAAUGGACAUUACUUUUCUGGAAUACAGGAAAAUUCUGCAUAUUUUAAACAGGUUUAACUUGCAAAUAUGUCGAUAAUGACUGUGAUGGCCCCCUAACCACAACUAACCACAACACUAUGGUUCUGAGCCUGGACACCUAUUAAACUUUUAACCAGGUUACUUAGCUACAUCUUAUUUAAAAGAACAUGAUCAUUAAAAAAUAAAUAUAUAUAUUUCUAAUGUUACCGUCUCUUAUUUUAACAUUAUACCACCCUGUAAUGGAUCACCUGGCACCCCGAUUGGGAACCUCCAUUGACGGAUGCUUCCUAGUUGACAACGAGGACUAUAAGCACUGCACCAGACACCACAACCACCGCAGACUCCACAACCGCCGUAGCUUAACUGGAGUCUCGCCGUCUUCCUUCCACCCUGGAUCAACCUCUGACAUCCAGGACCGUGUUGGGGAGACCUCCCCUCCAGGAGAGCGUAACAGGAACAGCUUUUAAAAGAGCUAAGUGAUUAGAGCCCAGGGAAGUAUACAAAGUAUAGCAAUCCCCAGUGUGAAUAUAACAGUUCCCUACAAACACGAGACAAGGCUACGUAUUGAGGGUUAAGCAGAUCUGAGAGUUUAAUGUGCUAGGCUGGCUUUUUAUGCAACUUUUCCCACAAGGUUACCACCCAUGUGGACCUUGUGGGGCACCGAAAAAUACAUUCAACAGCCAAUAGUGUACAGUCACAAAGUUAAACACUCCCAUUCAUUUACAGUAAAUUCCUCCCCUCUGCUUGGGAGAUAAUUGAGUUAAUUAACGAAGACAAUAGACUAACUCAAUUAACUCUAAGCAGAAAAAAAACAUACAUUUUUACAAACCCCAAAAUGUACCCCAAAAUACAACAUAUCUCCACAUCCCCUGAUAGCCCCGAUCUGGGUGAACAACAUAUCCACAAACCCCCUGAUAGCCCCGAUCUGAGUGAACAACAUAUCCACAAAUCACCAAGAUCGGUUCAGGGGUUCAGGAAUUUCCUGGAAGUCUUAUUUUUGCCCCACUGUGCACAUGGUCCCAUGCCCAAAACAGUACACUCGACAACAAAACACUGCUGGACAAUUUAAGAUGGCCACCGCCACAUGUUUGAAUCUGUUCCAGGCAAUUGUGUACGUUCUGAUCCAAACAAGAAGAUAAAAUCUGGAAUUUUUACUAUAUGUCUGUUCAACCGAUUAUUAUCUCUUUCAUAUUAAGUGUACCCACACUUUAUUUUCAGGAGAAACAUGGCUUUUAUUUCACAUCAAAUAUUUAUAUAUUAAACAGAAAGAAAAAUUAGGACUUAGAGGUCCUGGACAGGAGAGUAAUAGAAAUGGGGAGGAGUCCCUACCUUUAAUAGUCCUAAGGCAAAACAGGUUAAAAAAUAAACAGGAAAAAGGUAAUAGAAAGGAUGUAUCUUAGCACAUCCAGACCAAAUCAAUAUCCAACUAAAGACAGCCUGGCUAAUCCUCAAUGUGCCGUGCAAGCCUAGGCUGCAUAAAUGAAAGCUAAUGGAUAAAAUAAAUCAGGUAGGUAGAGGAAAAACUGGUAUCACUGGUCUGAAUAAGAGAUAUAUAGAUUCCUGUCAAGGGGGGAUAACUUCCCAACAUCAAAACCCAAACAGAAACCACUAAUGAGAGAGUCCUGUCCCUGUUUACCUCGGCACUGUGGUAAACCGCAAGUGCCUACCUGCACACCUCUCCCUUCCUGUUCAGGUAACUAAAAAUUGAUUAAAUUAAGUAAAUUCAUAAAUAAUAAAGAAAAAUAAAUAAAUAGAAGCUUGACACGCUCUAGAACGCCAUCGUCAGGAGCAGUACAUUUUGGAAUGACCUUGUAUUGGUUUAUAUACCAGUUGUAGCAAUCAGCUUGUUAAGUAUUGACUGCCGUGUGUGUAAUACAGGCUGGAAAAAGGCUGGACAAAUGGCAGAAGAAGCACAUGAGAUGCACACACGGCAGUCAAUACUUAACAAGCUGAUUGCUACAACUGGCUGAUUGCUACAACUGGUAUCUAAACCGAUAUAAGGGCAUUCCAAAAUUUACUGCUUCUGACGACGGCGUGCUAGAACGCCGAAACGUACAUUGCGCUUCAAUUUAUUUAUUUAUUUUUCUUUAUUAUUUACUUUUCUCACAUUCUGGUUGCACCAAAGAAGUUAUGAAUUUACUUAAUUUAAUCCAAUUUUAUAUUGGUUUGCUGACCCUAAGUUGCCUUUUAAGGCCCAGAAAUGAGUAUUCAAAAUGUAGUAUAUCCAAUCAUUUUUAGUAGCCACUUAGUCAUAAACACUGGCCAAAGUUGACCCCUCUCCAAACAUAGCACUUAUGGUUGCGACCAUAAAGCUCUAUUAUUUUCCAGUCACUCCAAAUUACAGUGUGUCAGAAGCUGUGAGGAGUGUUAAGGUGUUAUUGGGCAUAUUGUAACCAGGAUUUUUUGUGGCAUUAGCGCAGCAAAGGCUUUUUUUCUGGUAACUUAACCAUGCAGUUCAUUUUUGUUCAAGUAUUGUUGUAUUGUGCUCUUUGAAACAACCACAAGGUCUUUUUACAGAGCAGCCUGUAUUUUUCCUGAGGUUACUUGUGGGUUUUUAUUUGUAUGCCGAACAAGUCUUCUGACAGAUGUGGCUGAAACUUUACUUGGUCUACCUGUCCUUGGCUUGGUGUAUAAAGAGAUCCCCAAAUUUUACACUUCUUAAUAAGUGAUUUAACAGUACUUUUCAAGGCUUUGAAUAUCUUUUUAUAUCCUUCUCCAUCUUUAUGAAGUUCCAUUACCUUGUUACACAGGUCUUUUGACAGUUCUUUUCUGCUCACGGUGGCUCAGUAUCUAGCUUUCUUGGUGCAUCCACGUGAGAGCUGUCAAACCUAUUGACUAUUUAUACACAGGCACUAAUUGCAAUGUAAGAAGCCACAGGUGUGGGGAAUUAACCUUUAAUUGCCAUUUUAACCUGUGUAUGUCAUCUUGUGUGUCUGUAGCAAGGCCAAACAUUUAAGGGUAUGUGAAUUUUUUAUCAGGGCCAUUUGGGUGAUUUCUGUUAUCAUUAUGAUUUAAAAAGGAGACAAACUAUGUGAUAAUAAAUGGCUUCAUAUGAUCACUAGCAUGAUCAGUCAUAUUUUCAAAAUCAAUGCCAAAUUUUCACAAUUUCUGCCAGGGUAUGCAAACUUUUUAGCACAACUGUAGGUACAGGGUGUGUUAUAUUGUAAUUUUUUUUGUCAAAUGUAUUCUGUGCUCUCCUUGUGUGCUCUAUAUAAAUUGGGCAUAUUUAGUUGUUGAGCCUGUAUAGCACCACAUGUUGGUUGUAAAAGAUCUUGCAAGCCUGUGCAGUGUCAUCUAUUGUUUGCAACAGAUUUGUGCAUUACUCAAAUAGAAACACUUAUUUAUUUGCAUAUUCAGUUAGAUUUGCAUAAUAUGGUUUAUUCAGGCAGAGGAGGUAUUUCUUAUCAUUGUUUGUCUUCCACGCCCCUUUAUAAAUAAUGUAUUGUGUUCUAUGAGUGCUUAUUAGAGUGCAGCGGACACCUGGAUGUUCGGGUUUGCCGAGUUCGGCUGAACUUCAUCAAAAAGUUCGACUUCAGACUCGAACUUGACCCCGAACCCGAACCCCAUUGAAGUCAAUGGGGACCCGAACCUUUGGACACUAAAAUGCCUCUAAAUAAAAUCCUGGAAAGGGCUUGAGGGCUGCAAAAGGAAGUAAAAUGGGGGUAAGAGUAGGACAAGUGCCCUGCAAACAAAUGUGGAUAGGGAAAUCACUUAAAAUAACAUAAAAUACAUAAAAAUUAAAAAUACAGCUGAGCCAUAAAAUAGCACAAGAUGGAAUCUUUGAUUUUAGCUUUGGAAGAACAUAAAUCAAAAUCUAAAGCAUGGCUAUCAUGAGGAUCAACGGAAUUUUCCAUUUGAGAGAGGGUUGGAGUGCAGAGAAUUCUCUGUCAUUGUUCAAACUGAGCUCAACUCCUGAUGCAUGGAGAAAAGGCCUUCACAAGUCUCUGCAAAUGUGUACAUAGUUUAUACUAAGUGACCCAUAGGUUGAGGAGGCGGUGACCGUGGCGGUGUAGGUGGAAGCGGCGGUGGAGGAGGAGGUAGCCAACAAUGUUUUCUAUUUAUUUAUUUUGUAUUUCUUUAAUUGGGGUAGCCCCCAAAAUAUUGGGACAUAAAAUAAAAGAAACAUUUGCGGCCUGCAGUGCAUUUCUUGCAGUCUAAUAAUGCCAUCAGGUUUUUAAAACUGUUCGUCUCCACCAGACGGAAUGACAGCAUUUUAAAGGCCAGGAAUUUUGAAAUGCUGGCAUUCACGGCCAGGGAUUGCUGGUGGGUAGGUGGGUACUUUAUCUUUCUCUCCAGUGUUUGGGAGAUGGACAGCUGAACGCUUCCAUGGGACAGUGUGGAGAUGCUGGACAAUUGUGUACCUGGCCUAUGCUGGUGCAGGAACCCACCCUCUGAGCCACUUGUGAAUGACUGGCCUGAUAACCAUGGAAAUUACCCCUCUUCCUCCUCCUCUUCCUCCUGUGCCACAUUCUCUUCUAUCAUCGCUAGUGAUGUCGCGAACCCGAAAUUUUCGGUUCGCGAACAGCGAACGCGAACUUCCGCAAAUGUUCGCGAACCGGCGAACCGCCCGAAACGCCAUUGACUUCAAUGGGGAGGCGAAUUUUAAAACACACAGGGACUCUUUCUGGCCACAAUAGGGAUGGAAAAGUUGUUUCAAGGGGACUAACACCUGACUGUGGCAUGCCGGAGGGGGAUCCAUGGCAAAACUCCCAUGGAAAAUUACACAGUUGAUACAGAGUCUGGUUUUAAUCCAUAAAGGGCAGAAAUCACCUAACAUUCCUAAAUCACAAUCAAUAUGGAUUGACACCUGACAUAUGACAUAUUGACACCUUGACAUAUGGAUUGACACCUGUCCUCAGAGCCCCGAUGCACACGGACACAGAGCAGAAUAGAGACUGGUCCCCCUACAUAGGGUCACUUGGCAGAUAUGGAUUGACACCUGUCUUAAGGAUCCCUGAUACACACUGACACAGAGCAGAAUAGGACCGUUCUCCUACAUCGGUCACUUUAGCAGAUAUGGAUUGACACCUGUCCUAAGGAUCCCUGAUACACACUGACACAGAGCAGAAUAGGGACUGUUCCCCCUACAUCGGGUCACUUGGCAGAUAUGGAUUGACACCUUGUUACAAACUGCUAUUUGUAACGGGCCCCUUAAAUGGCAAAUUGCCCUGUUUCCCUGGGUUGUGGAGAAGCCUCUUUGCCAGCCUCCUCCCGCAUGACUAUGGCCCCUGGGAGAUUGUGAAAAUGUAUGCACUUUUAUUUGGUGUGUAUGGCCCUUAAGACUGUCGGUGGGCAUAUUGGGGCUUAUGGACUCUUUAUGUGACUGGUGCUGGCCCUUUAAACACCUUUUUUGGGACAUCAGAAAGAUUGGGACACUGCCCCUUUAAGGCCGUGUCCCCAGACUUGUUGGGGACACGNNNNNNNNNNNNNNNNNNNNNNNNNNNNNNNNNNNNNNNNNNNNNNNNNNNNNNNNNNNNNNNNNNNNNNNNNNNNNNNNNNNNNNNNNNNNNNNNNNNNUGACACCCGAUCUAAUUAGUGUUACUAGUCAGCGUAUCCACUGUUAGCGUAACACACCCGCUUUAAGGACACUGACUGCUAUUCAAUCUAUAACAGUGAAAAAAGAUUAUUUUUUUUUUAAAUCCAAACUAUUGUGACACCAGAUCUAAUUAGUGGCACUUGUCAGUUUAUCCACUGUUAGCGUAACACACCCGCUUUAAGGACACUGACUGCUAUUCAAUCUAUAACAGUGAAAAAAGAUUAUUUUUUUUUUAAAUCCAAACUAUUGUGACACCAGAUCUAAUUAGUGGCACUUGUCAGCGUAUUCACUGUUAGCGUAACACACCCGCUUUAAGGACACUGACUGCUAUUCAAUCUAUAACAGUAAAAAAAGUUUUUUGUUUUUAAAUCCAAGUUAUUGUGACACCAGAUGUAAUUGGUGGCACUGACUGGGGAAAUGGGCACAGUAUGCACUGUGAGCCUGACACAGAAGCUGGCAGCAGUGGCAGACAACUGACUGCUAUUCAAUCUAUAACAGUGAAAAAGUUUUUUGUUUUUAAAUCCAAGCUAUUGUGACAUCAGAUGUAAUUGGUGGCACUGACUGGGGAAAUGGGCACAGUAUGCACUGUGAGCCUGACACAGAAGCUGGCAGCAGUGGCAGACAACUGACUGCUAUUCAAUCUAUAACAGUGAAAAAAGUUUUUUGUUUUUAAAUCCAAGCUAUUGUGACACCAGAUGUAAUUGGUGGCACUGAUUGGGGAAAUGGGCACUGUGAGCCUGACACAGAAGCUGGCAGCAGUGGCAGACAACUAAGUGCAUUUACAUUACAUAGAAAAAAAAAAUCCAAAAAAAGCAUACCCUUAUCCCUAACCUAGCUAUGCUUUUCCUUAUCUUAUGAACAGCAGCUACACUUUCCCUCCUCUUACUAAGCAUGCAGCUUGAGAAUGAAUCUAAAAUGGAUGCUGUCCAGUAGGUGGGAGGGUCUGCUAGGGAGGCUGUGCUGCUAAUUGGCUGGAAUGUGUCUGCUGACUGUGAGGUACAGGGUCAAAGUUUACUCAAUGAUGACGAAUAGGGGACGGGUCGAACCGCGCAUAUGUUCGCCCGCCGUGGCGAACGCAAACAUGCUAUGUUCGCCAGGAACCGUUCGCCGGCGAACCGUUCGGUACAUCACUAAUCAUCGCCCAAAGCAUUUUUUCAGGGAGACAUAGAAGCAGGAUUGUAAGGCUGAGAACGGCGUCAUUGGCACUGGCCAUGUUGGUGGAGUACUCGAAACAGCACAACAUUGCACACAGGUCUCACAUGGAGACCCACUUAUUGGUGGUGAAGUGGGGCUGUUCCACAGAGCAACUGACCCGUGCAUGCUGCAGCUGAAACUCCACUAUUGCCUGCUGCUGCUCGCACAGUCUCUCCAGCAUGUGCAAGGUGGAGUUCCACCUUGUGGGUAUGUCGCAUAUGAGGCGGUGAGCAGGAAGGCCGAAGUUACGCUGCAGCGCAGACAUGCGAGCAGCAGCAGGUUGAUAACACCGAAAGCGCGCACAGUUGCUACAGUGAAACUGCGAAUGGCUCAUUAAAUCAGUUAUGGUUCCUUUGAUCGCUCCAUCUGUUACUUUGAUAACUGUGGUAAUUCUAGAGCUAAUACAUGCCGACGAGCACUAGGGGAUGGUCGCUCCGCUUUUGCACCCUGCUCCCUCUUAUGCUGUGCUGGUGCCUCUGUGUGACCACCGCCUCUUCCUCCAAACUGCACACGUCACUCGCAUGACCUUCAUUCCAUGUGGGGUCUAGGACCUCAUCAUCCUCCACAUCAUCUUCCACCUACUCCUCAACCCUGCCCUCCUUGCCGGUCUGCACACUGCAGAAAGCCACAGCAGUUGGCACCUGUGUUUUUCCAGCGUGUAAAGUCUGCAAAGGACAUAUGGAAAUUGUUUUAGAAUUGUAUCCAGGCAACAGUUUUCCCUAUUAACAGACCUCUCAGUUUGACUUGUAAGGGCAUUGCCCCAGAAUUGCAAUAUUGUUUAAGUACCUCUUAGCUAUUGUCAGAAUAUUUAUAUCAGCAGACAUUUUGUGCUAAGAAAGAUAUUAAAAGUGUAUAUUGCCAGAGUCACUCAGAACAGAGCAGACUCCAUUUUGCUAGCUUCAGAAAUUCGAAGACACAUAAUUUCCUUGAUUUCACUAACCACUGAGCUAAAGGAAUGCAUUAUAUAAACACAGACACUAGUGACAGAGAAGACUAAUUAAUUAAUUUUACUUUCUAAAUUUUACAAGGUUCCAUUGUAAGUAAGGGGUGAAAUUGAGUUUAGAACUGUCAACUUUACAAAUUAUGAUCAAAGUAGUUGCCACAAAGACUGAGACAAACGCUUUGAACUGACAGCAAAUCUAAGUUAUGGUAGUCAUUUUAGAUAAGCCAAAUGACGUCAAAAUCGUCAUCAGGAAAAGUUAACUCUUUCCUGGAUAAGAAGGUUUAGUUAGACAAGACUGCCUUCUAUGGAUCAAAUACCUAAAUUGUGAUCCAUCGAUUGAACCCAUCUACAGUUUCCUAUUGGCUUAUCAACUAAUGACGUACAAAGAGUCUGGCCCUUUGAAAGUUAGGACAAAGGGAAGAGAGGUUAGUUGGCAGAGAGAGGGAGUUGAAGUUUGGGGAUUCCAACUCGGACAUGCAGAGAGAUCCAGGACAUUCUCUGGGACUAACACUCUACUCUUAAACUCUUUGACACUCAACUCUUAAACUCUUUAACACUUAGAAUUUUACUCUGACUUUCUAACCAACACCACUUUUCUCUAUCACUCACGCACCUCCAUACAACCAAUCAAGUUCCUGGGACUACCUACUCACCUGAUGAGAAUAUCUACAUAACUGGUAAUUAUGCUGGUUUUAUUUAAUUAAUUUAAAUUAAUUAAAAUUUACUAAUAGCAUGAUAUAUGACUGGAUAAAUCAUGGUCAGAUUUCAAUAUUUAGAAAUCUUAGUUAAUUAAAGAAUAUAUAGUUAUAAACAUUCCAUUCUGCAGGUGGAAUUAAGAAUAAUUAUAUAUUAAUGUGAUAUUAUCACCUGUUAGCAUACCGCUGUUUUUAUCCAGGUGUAUUGAUUUGCUCUAAUAUAAGAUAAGAUAUCUUUUUAGGCAAAUUAAAAUUCGGCUUUUGUAAAAAUCUGGUAGAUUAUUCUUAUUGGAUGGUUCCAGGAAAUGACUUAUGAGCUGGUUUGUAUGUUAUUUUAAUUGAAAAUCACAGGAGAAUAGGAUACUAUAUGCCUAUGAGGAUCUAGCCAGCAUUGAAAGGGUUACUCAGUUGAUUUAACUGUUAGCCAAGGUUUUCUGGCUUUUCGCUGUGAAAAGCUUUACUUUUUGUCCAUGAAGCUUACCCUCAUAAAUCUUAAGUGACAGAUGAUGCUGUUAGCCAUUGGAACGUGUAUAGCCAUUCCAUUGUAUUGCAUACUUAUGUUAUACUAAAUAUUCACUGAUUAAUAUCAUGCAUGCUGCCUAAUUUUAUUGUUAUUUUAUUGGUCAUAAUAAAUUAAAUCUAUUUUUAUAACACAUUGUGAUCUUAAUUGUAUGGAACACAUUUAACUUAUUUGAUAAACGAUCUCUAAGAUCUAAGAGAAUUGAAAUAGUGGGCGAUUCUCGACUGUUUAAUAUUAUCAUCCCAUAAAUAUCCCCACACUAUUGAUAACUGGUUUAAAUAUAGCAGCUUGUUAUCUGGUAGUUUCUAGUGUAGAAAAUAUCAAUCUAUUGUAUUUCUGAAAUUGUGUACUUUUCAUUUAAGUUGUAUUUCUUAAAUUGUGUACUUUUCAUUUAAGAGAUUUUGCAAACUGAAAUUUUUUUAGAAAUGGAAAAUAUUGUUUCUCAUACAAUGUUUCUUUAAUAAAUAGACUUCUUACCCAGAUACUCGAAUAAGAGGUUUAGACUUUAAGACACCCUUAUGUCCUUGAUUAAUGUCAGAUUAAAUAAAUUAGGUCCAGGCACACAGGAUUGCUGCAGGAAGGCAGGUUUAUUGAAACAAAAAGUGAAACAUUUCAGCCUACACAGAGGCCUUUAUCAAGCAUCAUGUUUAGCCCCAAACAAAGAUUUGUUUAACCAAUCAUUAAUAACAGGUGUAGUUCCAGAAGAUUGGAAGUUAGCGAAUGUUGUGCCCAUUCACAAGAAAGGUAGUAGGGAGGAGUCGGGCAACUAUAGGCCAGUAAGCCUUACUUCAGUAGUGGGGAAAGUAAUGGAAACCAUGUUAAAGGAUAGGAUUGUUAAAGGAUAGGAUUUCAAGAUCAGAGACAGCAUGGGUUUACUUUAGGGAGAUCAUGCCAAACUAAUCUUAUUGAUUUUUAAUAUUGGGUAACUAAAAUAAUAGAUAAGGGUGGUGCAGUAGACUUUGCUUACCUAGAUUUCAGUAAGGCUUUUGACACUGUUGCACAUAGAAGGCUUAUCAAUAAACUGCAAUCUUUAAGUUUGGAUUCCAAUAUUGUUGAAAGGGAAAGGCAGUGGCUGAGUGACAGGCAACAGAGGGUUGUAGUCAAUGGAGUAUAUUCGAAUCAUGGGCUUGUCACCAGUGGGGUACCUCAGGGAUCUGUACUUGGACCCAUUCUCUUUUUUAUUAGUGGUAUUGCAGAAGGUCUUGAUGGUAAGGUAUGUAACUUGGUUGAUGUUCCAGGAGGGAUAAGCCAAAUGGCAAAGGAUUUAGGUAAACUAGAAAAGUUGUGACAGCUGACAUUUAAUGUGGAUAAGUGCAAGAUAAUGCAUCUUGGACAUAAAAACCAAAGGGCAGAGUACAGAAUAAUUGAUAGAGUCCUAACCUCAACAUCUGAGGAAAGGGAUUUAGGGGUGAUUAUUUCUGAUGACUUAAAGGUAGGCAGACAAUGUAAUAGAGCAGCAGGAAACGCUAGCAGAAUGAAGGAACUUCACAUGUAUAGCUUGGAGGAAAGACGAGACGGGGGAUAUGAUAGAAACAUUUAAAUAAAUAAAUGGAAUCAACACAGUAAAGGAGGAGACUAUAUUUAAAAGAAGAAAAACUACCACAACAAGAAGACAUAGUCUUAAAUUAGAGGGGCAGAGGUUUAAAAAUAAUAUCAGGACGUAUUAUUACUUUACUGAGAGGGUAGUGGAUGCAUGGAGUAGUCUUCCAGCUGAAGUGGUAGAGGUUAACACAGUAAAGGAGUUUAAGCAUGCGUGGGAUAGGCAUAAGGAUAUCCUAACUAUAAGAUAAGGCCAGGGACUAAAGAAAGUAUUUAUAAAACUGGGCAGACUGGAUGGGCCGAAUGGUUCUUACCUGCUGUCACAUUCUAUGUUUCUGUGUUUCUAUGUUUCUAAAGAUUAAGAUGUCCAGGUCAUGACAAUAGAUUGAUUAAAGUUUUUACUUUAAUUUUCUCAUGUUAGCUGAUUUUAAUACAAGAUUUUUACUUUUUCUAACAUGACCUAAUUUAAAAUCUUGGGUAUGUGUACUUAUAAAUAUUCUAAAAUAUUUGUGCUUAUUAAUAUUUAACACAGAGGGGAGAAUUUGGAAGAAGAGAUACUGCUACAUUUUACAAGACUGAGAGGGUUUGUUAUUUUAUUUAUAUUGGAAGCAUAUACACCCUGUUCCUAAUUAUUAUGCAAAUUCUAUUUAAGUGUCACAAAGAUUAAAUAUUUUGUUUUUCCGUUUAACUCAUGGAUGGCAUUGUGUCUCAGGGCUCUUGAUCACUGAAAACAAUCUCGGACACCUGUGAUAAUUAGAUUGCUGGGUGAGCCCAAUUUAAGGAAAAACUACUAAAGGAGGGUGUUCCACAUUAUUAAGCAGAGCACCAUUUUCAUGCAAUAUGGGGAAGAAAAAAGAUCUCUCUGCUGCUGAAAAGAGUGAAAUAGUUCAAUGCCUCGGACGAGGUAUGAAAAUAUUAGAUAUUUCACGAAAACACGAAGCGUGAUCAUCGCAUUAUUAAGAGAUUUGUGGCUGAUUCAGAGCACAGACGGGUUUGUGUAGAUAAAGUCACAUUGAGGAAGAUUUCUGCCAGAUCCAUGCAUCGGAUCAAAAGAACAGCUGCUAAAAUACCAUUACAUAGCAGCAAACAGAUAUUUGAAGCUGCUGGUGCCUCUGGAGUCCCACGGACAUCAAGGUGUAGAGUCCUCCUGAGUCUUGCAACUGUGCAUAAACUUUCUAUUCGGCCACCACUAACCAAUGCUCACAAGCAGAAACGGCUGCAUUGGGCAGAACAAUACAUGAAGACUAAUUUUCAAACAGUCCGGUUCACUGAUGAGUGCCGUGCAACCCUGGAUAGUCCAGAUGGAUGGAGUAGUGGAUGGUUGGUGGACAGCCACCCUGUUCCAACAAGGCUGUGACGUCAGCAAGGCAGUGGUGGAGUCAUGUUUUGGGCCGGAAUCAUGGAAAGAGAGCUGGUCGGCUCCUUUAGGGUCCCCGAAGGUGUAAAGAUGACCUCUGCAAAGUAUGUGUAGUUUCUGACUGACCACUUUCUUCCCUGGUACAGAAGGAACUAUGCUUUCCGUAAUAAAAUCAUCAUCAUGCAUGAGAAUGCACCAUCUCAUGCUGCAAAGAAUACCUCUGCAUCAAUGUGUGUGGCCUCCAUCCUCCCCUGACCUCAAUCCUAUUGAGAACCUUUGGAGGAUCCUCAAACAAAAGAUCUAUGAGGGUGGGAGGCAGUUUACAUCCAAACAGCAGCUCUGUGAGGCUAUUCUGACAUCUUGCAAACAAAUUCAAGCAGAAACUGUAAAAAAAUUCACAAGUUCAAUGGAUGCAAGACUUGUGAAGCUGCUAUCAAAUAAGGGGUCCUAUGUUAAAAUGUAACGUGACCUGUUAAAAUGUUUAAAAAGUUAAAAUAUUGUUAUAAGAUUGAUUGAAAUAGCUUUUGAUUUCAGUAAAUAUGCUGCAAACACAACAAAGGACAAUUUUCAGUUCUUUACAACCUUUAUGGUGUUUUGAAACUUACUGUGCGUAAUAAUUUGAAACAAUGCAUUGUAAGUUUUUUAUGUUUAAAAAAAAAAUACUGUUAUUAGGAGGUUUGUUCAGCAACAUUUGAAUUGUACUCUUAAUAGUUGAUAACAUGAGAAUUAUGCUGAAUGUUAUUUACAUCAAUUAUUUAAGUAAAUGAGAAAAUAUGAUUUGCAUAAUAAUUUGAAACAGGGUGUAAAACUUGCACCAUAGAGCUCACUUUUUUCAAGUUUUAUAUAUAUGUAUUGUGACGAGAGCAAUCUCACCACAUUGCAUUGGAGAAUCCUGGUUGCUCGCCUGCUGCCUUUGGACUAUAGCCCCCAUGUUAAAAGACAUCUUUUUCACUGCAGAAAAGACUUAUUCGUGCUUUUCUGCCCGGUGUUCGGUAGAUUCUCGGAUUUCCUGAAUGAACUCUUAUAACCCAGAUAGGUAUGCCAUGGAGCCUAUUCAUGUAAUAAAAGACCUUGGCUCCAUGUCAAUUGAACUGUAUGUGUUUGUGGUCUGAGCGCCAUUCAGUAAUAAUAUGCGCUCAGACCUAAGCUAUCUGGACAUAUGUUACAUGUCUGUAUUUUAUGUCAUAAAUGUAACCUUGUGUAUUUUAUUGUAUUUUACUGUCUUUUUGCUGCCAUGUGUUCAAUGGAGUUUUGUCUCUGUCUUUGGAGAUAAUUGGAUUACUUCUAAUUAUCUCCAGGAUAGAAGACUCUGUGGAACUGGUUUUGGGCAGAAAAGCCAUGCUUCCUGUGGUCACAAAGGACUACGAUCUAUCUUUUGAACCACUGGACCAAUUUGUAUGAUUUUGACGUAUGUUUGUAUUUGGAGUAUGCUGAUUCUGAAAAUGUAAGUUUCAUGUGAAUGUGCUGCAUACUUUUCAAGUUAUGAAUAAUGUGGAAAAAUUGUAUUUCUCUGCUUGUGCUAAAUUACAUUACCCAUUGUGUAAGGUAAUUGAAUCACAAGCAGAGGGGAGGAAUUUGUGUGGGAGUGUCUGAGUGUAUUGUAUGUGUUUAUUGUUUGUGUUCCAAAACCCUGUGGGUGGUACUAAUGUGUAAGAAUGUGUACAUAAGCACAAUGAACCCACAGCUCUGUCUGUUCACUGCUUGACCCUCAACACGGAGCUUUGUCUUGUUCUUGGGGGGAUUUACUGUAUGCUGUUAGAGACUGAUUUCUAGGAGUGUAAGCCGCUUAGAUGCUUUUCCUAUUCGUCUGCUAGCAGCUAUUUGUGAGGUUCCAGUUUGGGAGUUUGGGGUGCUAUUUUGUAUGCAGUUCGGGAGUUUGGUGUUCUGCAGUAGCUGUGCCUGUAUCUCUGGAAAGGGGGGCGAUCGCCUAAACGGUUUUUACCCCUUGUGUACAAAUCGGUCCGUUACAUGUAUAUAUAUAUAUAUAGAUAUAUAUAUCUAUAUAUAUAUAUCUAUAUAUAUAUAUAUACAUACACAUGUAAAUUUAACACGUAAAAGGUCAUAAAUACAGUAAACCAUCAAACGUGCAUUCUGUAUUGAGGUAUGUAACCGCACCCCGUGCAUAAAAGGGGUUAAACGCCAUUUAGAGGAUAUUCCCCUUCCAGAUACACAGGCAGCUACCAAAGACACCAAUCUGCUGAACAAGAAACAAUUAGAAUGCCGUAAACAGCUGAACUGGAACCAUGGCUAUGGGUUUAUUGUUCUUAUAUACACAUUGUAUACACAUUCACAUCUUAUAUACACAUCUUAUAUACACAUUCUUACACAUUAGUACCACCCACAGGGUUUUGUAAAACAACCAAUAAACAUGUACAAUACACUCAGACACUCCCACACAAAAUCCUCCCCUCUGCCUGUGGUACAAUUACCUUACACAAUGGGUUAAUGUAAUUAUCACAAGCAGAGAAAUACAGUUUUUCCACAUUAUUCAUAACUUUAAAAGUAUACAUCACAUUCACAUAAAACUUACAUCAGAAUCAGCAUACUCCAAAUACAAACAUAUGUCAAAAUCAUCCAAAUUGGUCCAGUGGUUCAAAAGAUAGAAGUCCUUUGUGACCAAAUGAAGCAUGGCUUUUCUGCCAGUUAGACAGAGUCUUCUAUCCUGAAGAUAAUUGGGAAGUAAUCCAAGUAUCUCCAAGGACAGAGGCAAAACUCCAUUGAACACAUGGUAGCAAAAGACAAUAAAAUAUAUAAAAAUAUAUAACUGUGCAGCUAUUGCAUAAAACAGGUACAUUCAACAUAUCCCCAGAUAGCUUAGAUCUGAGUUCACAUUAUUACUGAAUGGCACUCAGAUCACAUACAUACAGUUCAAUUGCCAUGGAGCCAAAGUCUUUCACAUAGUCUUUCGUUAUACAAAUGGGCUCCAUGGCAUAGCUAUCUGGUGUAUCACUGUUCAAAUAGGGCAAGUGAUGAAUGAACCAGUUUUCGUGUCUUUGCAGGGGAAAAUCAAGCAUUUCAACAUGGGGCCAUAGUCUAAAGGCAGCAGGCGGGCAACCAGGAACCUCCAAUGCACAGUGGCGAGAUUGGUCUCGUCACAAGGUAUGUUGACAUAGAUCUCUUAAAAGAUUUUACAUUAAAUGAAGAUUUGACUGUGUCUCUGAGGUUAUUCCAUAAUUUUGGUGCUCUGUAGGAAAAUGAAGAUCUAGCCACUUUAUUUUUGUAUUGUAUGUAUGUUAAAUAUCGUGCUGGUACUGGAUCGAAGGUUAUAGGAGGUUGGAACAGCUGGGGAGAGCAUUCUACUCAGGUAGGGUGGGAGCUUCCCAGAAAAGCUCUUAUGCACAAGGUUGGAAAGAUGUAGUGAGUCGGGAUUCCAGGGAUAGCUGGUUUAGCUCUUUUAACAUGUCACAAUGGUGGGUGAAGUCAUUACCUUCUAGUACAAAGCUGCAUAACAUAUUUUACAAUGCAUUACGUUUAUGAUUAACAUUUGUUGCACUGCUUCCUUACUGUAGGGCUUAGGCAGGAUUUGUUUCUGUACAGGGCACCUGGUUUUGGAUAAAGUUUUGAAGAGAUUUUUUCAAUGUGAAGGCCAAAGGAUAAAUUUAGGUCUAGCAACAUACCUAGAUAUUUGAAAGAACAGACUGUGGUCAAUGAGCUAUUGUCAUUGUGACAGUUUUGUCAGUGUUUAGGAAGAGUUUGUUAACUGCAAUCCACUUUUCUACCUCUGUGAAUCUGUCUCGGAGCACAGUCUCAAGCUGCAGUAGAUUGGGUUUACUAGCGCAGAUUAUAGUGACGUCUGCAUACAUGUGUACAGAUGAGGAUUCACAGACUUUAGGCAGAUAAUUUAUAAAUAAUGUGAAUAGUAGUGGGCUGAGUAUGGAGCCUUGGGGAACACCACAUGUGAAUGGUAGACGGAAGGAGGCACUAUCAGAAGUGGUCACAUAUUAGACACGUGCAAUUCGUUUCGGGCCGAAAAUGAAUUCGAACGAAUUUUGGGCAAUUCGGACAUUUGGGUACUUCCGAAUAGCCGAAGUGCCGAAUUGCAGAAGUGCUGAAUUACCGAGGUGCCGAAGUUCCGAAAUUACAGAAUUUCCGAAGUGUCGAAGUGCCUAAGUUCCGAAGUGCUGAAGUGCAGAAGUUCCGAAGUUGCCAAAGUUCCGAAGUUUUGGCAACUUCGGAACUUCUGCACUUCAGCACUUUUUUGAUUUCAAACCAACCAAUCAGAGUGCUGUGACAGCUAAAUGUAGAGACUUACCUGUCAGUCUCUUCAUUUACCUGUCAGAGCACUCUGAUUGGAUGGCUUAAACCCACCAAUCAAAGUGCUCUGAGCCUAAUUGCAGGGCGGGGCAAGCCUUUAUAAGCCUUCCCCCACCCUGCAGAGCUCAGUCUGCGCGGAGCCCUCGCUGGGUGAAGAUGUUUUUUUUUUUUUUUGCGCUCAUUUCUUUUUUUUUUAAGGGCGUCGGUUAUUAUGGCUUUUUAUUUGGCCUUUUUUUAGGGCUGAAAAAAUAAGAUUUUAGAAGAAAGAAAACAUCAAAUGGUAAGUUUUUUUUUUUUCAGGAAUUUAGUUAAAUGGUUCCCCCUCAUUAUUUGUAGGGUGAGGGGGGUAGGCAGGGGUUAAUUUUUUGGGGAAGGGGGGUGACUAGGGGUUUGGGUACCCCUAGUCAUCUGGGGAGGGGGGUUAUUUUUUUAUUUAGGGCCCCCCACCCACCGCUCAGGGGUGGGGGCCAGGGUGGAGGACAUUAGGUCCCCCCUAAUUAGUAUUUAGGGCCCCCACCCGCUGCUCAGAGGUGGGGGCCAGUGGGGAGGACAUUAGGUCCCCCCUAAUUAGUAUUUUAGGGCCCCCACCCACCGCUCAGCGGUGGGGGCCGGGAGGAGGACAUUAGGUCCCCCCCUCAUUCUAAUUUAGAGCCCCCCCGCCGAUCAGGAGUGGGGGCCAGGGGGAGGACAAUAGGUCCCCCCAUUAUUUUACUUUAGGGCCCCCCCGCUGCUCAGGGGUGGGGGCCGGGGGGGAGGACAAUAGGUCCCCCCAUUAUUUUACUUUAGGGACCCACCCGUCGCUCAGGGGUGGGAUCCGGGGGGGGCAAUAGGCCUCCCCUUUAGUUUAAAAGCCCCCACUCAUGUGUCAUGGGUGGGGGCUUGGGAGGGGGGACCCAUUUUUUUUUUUUAACAGUGAGCAGCCACUGGCUCACUGUUUAAUAGACAUGCCCCUACUCGCGGUAUAGUAUUAGUAAAUUUGGCUGAAAGACCAUGGGAAUUAGGGAGUUAUCUACUAAGCAGCUGCAAGAGACGCUCCGAAAUUCCAAAGCCCCGAAGUCCCGAAAUGCCGAAGUCCCGAAGUGCCUAAUUGCCGAGGUCCCGAAGUUCCGAAAUUACCGAAUUUCCGAAGUGUCGAAGUUCUGAAGUUCCAAAGUGUCGAAGUGCCAAAGUUGCCGAAGUUCCAAUGUGUCGGAAUGCCGAAUUGCCGAAGCGCAGAAUUGCCCAAGUACCAAAUUUCGGAAUGCCGAACCAAACCGAAAAAUUUUCCCAUGCACAUGCCUAUCACAUAUUACAAUUGGUCUGAUACAUAUGAUCGAAACCAGGUUAGCGGACGAUCACCACCAAUACCCGAGUUUUUAAGUGUUUGCAAAAGAAUGCCAUGGUCUACUAUGUCAAAGGCAUUGGCUAAAUCAAGGAAAAUAGCUCUAGUUACGUUUCCUUGUUCCAUGCCAAUUUAGAUGUCAUUGCAAACUUUUAAGAGGGCAGUCGAAUUUGAGUGAUUUGGAUAAAAUCUGUUUGAUCAGGGGUCAGAUAGUUUGAUUGUUGAUAAUAUUCACAUAGUUGCAUGUGAGCGCAUUUUUCCAAUAUUUUUGACAAUACGGGGAGCAAUGAUAUUGGACAAUAUUUAGAUACCUGUCACUAGAUAGAUAAUUGUCACUACUUUUAUGGAUAGGUACUGUGACAGACCACCCUGUCCCUGGAUUAUAAAGCUUUUUGUCCCAUUCUCCUAUUUAUUCAGUGGAUUGCGUUCACCUCUUAUUUUAACAUUAUCCUGUUCGUAUACUGAACAAACCACCGAAUGUCAGACCACCCAUAUGUAAAGUGUGCUGCUUGUGGACCCUGUUAACCUCCGCCAACAUCUCACUAACCGCAAUAACACCAACGUUCUAAGCGGUCGGCUGGGUUGACGUCGUUCACAUGCGCGAACACAUGGCAGCGGCUAUCUUUAACCGCGAACACAGUGUUGAGUGUAUGGAACUAAAAUCAGACAUUCGACAAGCGAACACAACUGGAACUUCCACCUCCUUUGAAGUUCGGGAAAAGGUGUUGAAAUUGAAAGGCAUUCGGUGAGACACAAACUUGGCAUAUUCAUGAAUGUUUAUGUUCGGUACUUUAUUGCAUUUUGUACCCCCGAAGGAGACCGACCGUUCAGCCUAAUUUCAUGGAACUCUUUUGCGCAGGCACCUUGUGCGCGGUCUAACAUUUACCCCAGUUGCAUUUUGGCUGUGUUUGUGGGAUCUGAGCGCUUUCUGGAUAUGUUGGGCGCUCAGAUUCAGGCUAUCAGGUAUAUAGGACUUGAGGGAGUACUCAGUUAUUAAAUAUAUGUUUUGGGGAUAUAAUUAUUGUGUAUGUCCUGGAAAUGAGAGUUAAUGUAAUUAUUUGUGUGUUGUACAGUAGUCUUUUUCUCAGUGGGAAAUGCCCCUGAAAUAUGUUACAUGGGGAUUCACAUAAAAGGCUGUGUGUGUUCCCCAUUAAAUCAGUUCCAGUUUUACCCAUUAACACAGAGCCUUGUCUCGUGCUUGUAGGAAACAGGUAUAACAACUAUAUCACUGCUCUUGGUAUUAUUGCUUCUAGGAUUAUUGCAGCUCUACUUACACUGGAGGGAAAAAGAACAUCUCUGGUGGCGAAACCCCUCUUCCCAUCGGGGUGUCUGCAACAUCUGUGAUUCCUGGGGGUUCCUUGUAAGAAGUGGGGGGGGCACAAUGGCGGGGAUCUCUGGUCAUGGAGGGAGUCUUACUGUGUGUUGUUUAGUCUUUCGGGAAUCCGUGUACUCAUCAGCUAAGCGAGCCACCUCAGGUAGGUCACGUAUCUAUUCUUUAAUGUCAGGGUUGAGGGUGUUGACGAAAUGCUCCAGUAGAAAUAAUUGUAGUACGUCCUCCCCAGACACUGCUUGGCAACCGGUUACACAGUGGGACGCUGUCCUGCGGAGACAGCAGGCCUAUACGGUGUAAUAGUCAUUCCCUUGCUUCUUGGACUCUCAGAACUGCUGGCGGUGCGGCUCUGGGGUGAUGGUGUACCGGGCAAGCAACACCUCCUUUACAGCAAUGUAAUGCUGGAUCUCAUCACCGGGGAUGGUCCUGAACGCCUCUGCAGCUCUCCCUGAUAACUUCCCAGCCAAAAUGGUAACCCAUUCAUCUGUGGGUACUUUGUGUAAAGCGCAUUGUCUCUCAAAGUCUGCAAGGUACCCAUCUAUUUCUCCUUCUUGAAAAUUUCUAAAAGCAGAAAAGGGUACCUUCCUCCGUUCUAUAGUGGGUGGAAGUACCCUCACUGGUGAGUCUUCUAGUCGCUAAAGCUCCACCAAACGUAGCUGAUACUGAUGCUUCUCCCGGUCAUCAGUAUCUGCGCCAGCCAUCACUUGAGUAGCAAUGUCUGCAGGAGGAUUUGGCCCAUACAAUGCCAACCGCAACUGAAUGGAGCUUAGCAAGUUUUCCUCCGCAUUCCUGACAUCCAUUGUCAGUCCGGUCCAUUUCAAGCAGUUCGGCAAUUAAUUCCCUUUUCCUAUGGUUGUUUGCCAUUCGGCCGCGGCUCUCCAACAGAUCCUUUAAGGUGGAUGAUUUCAGUUGUCCAUACCGAUUCUCCAUCCACUAUUCCGCCUUUAGAGCUCAUUGUAGCAUCUUCUCUGCUGAAAAAGAACCAUCCUACUGCUGCCACAAUAUGUGGCGGACACCCAGAUGGGAAGAAGGGUUUCGCCGCCAGAGAUGUUCUUUUUCCCCCCAAGUGUGAGUAGAGCUACAAAAAUCCUAAAAGUGAUAAACCCAUGAGUGGUGAUAUAGCUGUUAUAGCUGUUCUUACAAACACAAGACAAGGCUCUGUGUUGAGGGUAAAACUGUAACUGAUUUAAUAGGGACCACACAUGGCCUUUUAUGUGCAUUCCCAUGAAAGCGGUUUACUGUAACAUAUUCCAGGGGCAUUCCCCACUGAACCUGAGAGAAGACUACUGUACAACACACAAAUAAUUACAUGAACUCUCAGGUCCAGGACAUACACAAUACUUAUACCCCCAAAAAAUAUAUUUAAUAACUAAGUACUUCCUCAAGUCCUAUAUCCCUAGAUAGCCUGGAUCUAAGCGCCCAACAUAUCCCAAAAGCAAUCAGAUCCCACGAACACAACCGAAAUGCCUUCUUCGGGGGUACAAAAUGCAAUAAAUUACAGAACAUAACCAUUUCUGAAUAUGCCUAGUUUGUGUCUCUUGUUCGGGGGUUUGUUCCCACCGAACGCCUUUCAAUUCCAACACCUUUUCCUGAACUUCGAUGGAGGUGUUUACGCUGUCGAGUUUCUGAUUUUAGUUCCAUACACUCGACGACCAAACACCACUUGUUCGCACAUACGAAUGACGACCAACCAGCCGACCGCUUAGAAAGUUGGUGUUAUUGCAGUUACUGAGGUGUUGGCAGAGGUUUACAGGGUCAACAAGUGGCACACAGUGUUGAGUGUAUGGAACUAAAAUCAGACAUUCGACAAGCGAACACCGCUGGAACUUCCACCUCCAUCGAAGUUCGGGAAAAGGUGUUGAAAUUGAAAGGCAUUCGGUGAGACCAAAACUUGGCAUAUUCAUGAAUGUUUAUGUUCGGUACUUUAUUGCAUUUUGUACCCCCGAAGCAGACUGACCGUUCAGCCUAAUUUCAUGGAAAUCUUUUGGGCAGGCACCUCGUGCACGGUCUAAAUUUUACCCCACUUGCAUUUCGGCUGUGUUUAUGGGAUCUGAGCGCUUUCUGGAUAUGUUGAGCACUCAGAUUCAGGCUAUCAGGUAUAUAGGACUUGAAGGAGUACUCAGUUAUCAAAUAUAUGUUUUGGGGAUGUAAUUAUUGUGUAUGGGUGGUCUGUUAUUCGGUGAUUUGUUUAGUAUUCAAACAGAAUAAUGUUUAAAAAAGAGAUGAGAACGCAAUCCACUGGUACUACUUUUUUUCCAUUGGUACUACUUUUGCAGUCAUCAAAAGUUUGGGUAUAUAUCCAGACACCAGGGAUUGAUUGAUUAGGGUAGUGACAGGUUUAGCAAUUGCUUGCGAAAUGAGCUACAGCAACAUUACUGGGCUGUGAUGUGGUCCACACUGAUUUUUCAUUUUUUAAUUAUUAAGAGCCAAUUAAUAUUAAAAUCUCCAAAAACUAACAGUUCACUUUUUUGGUUUUGAGCUACAGUUUCACAAAGGAAUUGGACUAUAUCGGAAAAAGCAUGCACUGGUUAGCUAGGUGGGCAGUAGAUUCCAGCAACAAUUAUAGUUUUUUGCUUUGUCAUUUCUGAAACAUGAAUAUCCAUAUACUGCAAUGGCAGAGUAUGGUAUUUUAGUUGUUAACCGUUGUUAGCUAGAGGUUGGAAACAAUCCCAAGAAAUUAUGAAUUCACAAUGGAAAGAUCAAAUCAUUUUCCAACUUAAGAUGGACAAUGGAGUUGAAUUAAUAACUCAUCAGCUAAAAACAAAAGAAUACGAGAACGUUGUCUUGAAAAAGCACUUAUGUUUUUCAGCUAUAAUAGUUAAAAGAGAGUUAUUUUUAUAAUGAUCUAAUAUAUAAAUUGCAUAGGAUAGAUACAUGCUUCUCUUAUAGAACUCAGCCUUCUCUCCUCUCAACUGUUUGUAGUAUGUUAUUGUAUUUUGUUGGUAAAUGUCUAUGCAUGCAAAAGUGUGGAUGUGAUUUUAUUACAGUUAAAAUAAAAUUAAGAUUAUUAAGAAUAAUAAUAUUAAAUAUGUGAUGUAACCACAAAAAAUACUAUUUAGGGGGCGGAGAAUGCCAUAAAAAUCUGAUCGAAUGCCAUUUCACUCAGUUUCUCAGGAAAUUUCCAUAUCUGCCUCAUCCUCACAAAACUAACACUGAUCCAGCUCCAAAAACCACCUAGCUUGAAAAUACUACACAGGCUGCAUUGAUAGAUGCCUUUCUUUAUUGCCCCAAAACAGCCUAAGAGGUAGUGCAAAUCUGCGGCCUACCACACACUGAGAUUCCGAGCCCUCGAAGAGUUCAUUGGUGGAAACACUGUGGAGAGACACGCUGUGGCUUCACCUCCCACGCCAUCUCCUACUCAAGACAACAAACCAACCAUGGGGUGGCGAUCACAAAAGCCCAAUUCCAUAGGAAACAUAGGGGCUAUAUUACAGAGGCCUGCCCAGCACAAGCCAGCACCAGUGACAGACCUGCCUGUAUCUGGCCAAGCUCCCACAGAGGGAUGUGAGGAGCUGGAGAAAGCACAGAACUCUCUGCAAUCUCCACCUGCCAACCCCUCAGAUGACUCAGCUCCUACCACCAAACGUGACCUGAGGGUCUUAUUAGUGGACAUCCAUAAACUCCUAACGGCGGACUCCGCUCUCCUUAAAACUGAAGUGCAAGCUGUCACAGACCAGGUACAGGCCUCAGAGGAGGACAUUGCUUAUAUACACACUAAAAUGACCACUCUCAGCGACUCAGUACACAACAAACAAAGAACCCUCUCAGUUAAAGUUAAGGCCAUGGAAGACCGCUAACGCCGCACUCAUAUUAAAAUUUGUGGCAUCCCAGCCACUGUAAUGGCAGAAGAAUUAGCACACUACAUCCAAUGCCUACUGGGUGCCAUUCUACCUCAUGCAGUGGCAAAGAGACUAACUAUCGAUGGAGCCUACCAUGUCGCCAGCAACAUCCACUCAAACCCAAAUAUGAUAAGAGAUGUCAUACAUCGCUGCAUCACCGUACAUGACAAAAUCCACAUAAUGACUGCCCUGAAAGGCAAAACACCUCUCACAUUUGAUGACCUUACAAGAGCCACUUUACCUUGGCGGAAAUCUUAUACACUUUCACAACCCAACUGCAAUCAGCAGGGCUGGCAUAUAGAUGGGGAACUAACAGCUCUCUGGUGGUAACCCACUCCUGAUCUGCACACAUCCUUACAUCGAUGGAGGAAGCAUCAACAUUCUUAAAAAAUGGGACUGUCCCUACCAGAUGUAACCACAUCUGAAACACAUCCAGUAACAUCUUGGGACCCUGAUAAUAUCACUCCCUUUGUCCCUAGGGCAAGAGGAUCACAAGCUUCGGUACCAUGAACUGGACUAAUUACUAGGCCUUCAACCUCUAAUAUAUGGCGUAAAACACCUGCCCCCCCUCACAGCCCCCUUGGUUAGGGGCUACUAACAUGCCUCCAUACUGACACAUCUAACUUGUCAAAGCUUGUCCUACACUUAUAUAUACGCCAACAAGCAUUCAGUUUACCUGAUACAAACCAGGGUAUAUUCCCAAGAUGUACAUAUAUAUUCCUCCAACAGAGGAUUAUCAGUACAUGUUUUCACUUAUUCACAAUCUCUAACAACUUGUAUUGUAUUCUGAUACCCUCGGUUUACAAUUACCUUGUUUAACAAAAAUAGUGCAUAAAUCCUGCUAAGUUUAACACGUCUUUAUUCUUGUCUACAUCACCGAUAUCGCUGAAUAACUUUAUGUAUGCAAUGCACUGCAAAAAUAAAGUAUUAUAAAAAAGCACUAUUUACUUUAGAUUUACCUGUUAACUCCACAACAAGAUUUACUUGUUGUUAACUCCAUGAUGAUGAGAUAAUGUGAAUACCAAUAAGAGAUAAGUCAAGUUUGUAACUUUUUUUUUUUUAUUGUUCAAAUGUUUUGGAUUGUGAUCAUGUUGAAAAUACAAACACACAAUUCUAGCCUGAGUUCAGAAGGUGUAAUAGGAUGAAAAAAUGGCUGUGAUUAUGGCUGAUGCAUUUGACUGGUAAAACCAACAUGAAUUUACUUUAGUAAAAAAUUGCAUGUUACAUGUAACCUCUAACAUCAUAAUAAUAAUAACCGGCCAUUCGGUAGUUUUGUUUAAGCUCACAUAGGGAUUCUAGCGAACACCAGGAUCACUGUGGAUGGCAAGGGGUUCGUGGGGUUUUAAUGCACGAACGGAGACCGACCGCAAGGCCAAAACUUAUGGAACUCUUUUCGGCUAGAAAACCUUUGCGGUAGGUCAAAACUUCAAAGAUCCAUAACUCCCGAACCCCUCAACCGAAUGGGCUGAAAUUUGGACAUGUUGUUCCCCUGAGUGAGAGCUAUCAAGCGGUGCUGGACUUAAAGGUGUACCCCCUGUUUUUGGGGUACAUCCAGAAUGUGGUUAAAAUUGUGUCUGUUUUAAUUAUGUUAUAUGUUAUCUGAGGGGAGGAGACGUGGGGGUUGAAUCAUUUAUCUAAUUGGCUGUUGUGUUAAUUAUGUGGGUGUAGCCUUUCAGAGGGCACCAUUGCAUAAAAGGAGACCCCUGUCAAUAAACAUCAGUUCUACUUGACCCUUCAAAAUGUAGCCUUGUCUCGUUCUUGGAGGGGAUUUAUGGUACCGUUACUCUGCCUUAUUUUACAGCACUGCCGGAUUAUACACUUGGAUAUCGUGGAUGGGAAUAAGAACUCCAUUACUUCACAGCAGCUUGCCUAGAAAAGGACGUCUCCAACGGCAGAUACCCCUUUCCAGCUGGGUAGCCGUUACAAUAACAAUAAUAAUAAUAUCUUUAAAAAAAAAAAAACUUAAACAAGUUGCAGAACAAUUGGCCUCAAUGUAAAAGCUUUUUUCUUUUUUUUUUCUAAAAUGUGCUUUAGAAUGCUUUUUCCAGGUCACAGUGGAAAUAAUCUAUUAAAAGAAAAGACCUGUCACAUUUUUCUCUAGAUCUCUCUUAGAACCAGGAACUGCUUGUUCCAGCAGGUAAACAAACAAAAAAAACAUAUAGGAUACAAUAGCUAUACUAAAGCAUAUAGUAUACAAUAGCUAUAGAUUUCAAUUACUGUUGAAAAGAAACCAGCUCACCAUUGCUUUCAAUGUAUUAGAGCAUCAGCAAGAUACAUGGUAUAUAAAGGCUCUUCAUUCUGUGUAACAGCACAACUUGCAUGAACAGAUCAACCAUCACUGAAAAUGGGAAAGGUAAGAUGAUCUGAACAUUGUAAAUAUUUGUAACACAAGAAAUAUUGGAAAAAAUAAACAGAUUUUUUUUUUUUAAAUGAACCAAACAGUUAAUAUUAAAAAAGCUUACACUGAAAGCCAGCAAACUUUAUCUGCUGAAUAAUAUACUGUGGUGACAUAAUUUAGGUCAAAAAGAUAACAACACAAUAUUCCGUAAACCAGUUUUGGACAUUUGAUGCCUCAUCGAAAAAGAAUUAAUCAGAACACAUAAUUCACAUUUUUCAGACUCAAGAUUAAGAUUGUUUCCGUGUUUGAUUAAAUUUUUUCUAGGAUUAUGUUAAAAUGACAGAGGAGUCCAUGGAAUACAAGAAGCAGGACAUUCUCAGUACUCACUAGUAGAUGCCACUAUUCACUGUAAUAAAUUGCUAUAAUUAUGUGAAAGUGAAUGCAAGCUCACCAAUCAAAAACACAAAAUGUACCAAAAACUUAUAUUCCAAUUCUACCCUAAACUUAUAUGUAUAAAUCUCCUACACUUUAUUAUUUAAACAGGGUAAUAGUUGGUGUUUUUAGGAAUCUAUAGCAUCAAGUAAUCAAACCAGAAACAUUUUUAAAUGAAAUUAUUAACCACUAAAACAAUUAUAAUCUGAAAAAUCUAAAAUGUUCAAAUGCAUGGUUCUUUCACAGAUUGUUUUCUACGAGGAUCGUAACUUCCAGGGCCGCUCUUAUGAGUGCAACUCUGAGUGUCCAGAUAUGUCCUCAUAUUUUCAUCGCUGUAAUUCUGUCCGAGUGGAAAGUGGAAACUGGAUCCUGUAUGAGCACCCCAACUAUAGAGGACACCAGUAUUACCUAAGCAGGGGAGAAUAUCCUAAUUUCCAGCAAUGGAUGGGUUUCAAUGACUCCAUCAGAUCUUGCCGUAUUAGCCCACAGGUAAAUAUAUUAACCAGAGCAUAUUAUAAAAAUAUUAUGAUUCAGUCCAAAAAAAAUUAUUUCCCAAUUAUCAAUUAAUUAUUGUUUUACCUUUGCAAAUAUAUCCUUUUGUUACCAUUAUUAAUUAUGUUAUGGAAUAUAUCUUCAAUUCACAAUUCCAUUGUCAGGUAACGGGGGGGGGGUUAACAUUGAUACAAAAAUCUAUACUAUUGUAUAGAUUUUUGAUGUUUAUAUGAAGUUAUAUAAUCAUUGUACUCUUGUUUAUAAAUAUUUUUUAUUCAUAAAGCACCAUGGAUCAUUCAGAGUGAAGGUCUAUGAGAGGGAAGAUUUUCAAGGUCAGAUGAUGGAGUUUACUGAAGAUUGUCCUAAUGUCAACGAGAGAUUCCGUUACCAUGACAUCCACUCCUGCCAGGUACUUGAUGGCUACUGGAUGUUCUACGAGGAACCAAAUUACAGGGGCCGCCAGUAUUAUCUUAGACCUGGAGAGUACAGAAAAUAUACUGACUGGGGUGCCAUAAGCCCAAGAAUUGGCUCAUUCAGGAGACUUCACUUUUUCUAAUAAGUUGUAUUAAUUGCUAAAUCAGCAUGUCAUUAAGAAUAUAAUAAAAGCUUUAAAUAAUUAUCUUUAAGGUCUAUAUUUAUUUCAUUUUCUAUUUUUGUUGUGGUCAUAUACAUUUUACUAAGUUAUUUUAAACCACAGUUCAGUAAAUGAGUUAUUAUUCUAACAAUGGUUCUUAUAAAAACAAAUAAUGAAUAAGUAAUAAGGUGAAUUAUAUUAUUUUUCCACUAUAGUCCCUCAGAAAGGUGGAGUUGUGACAGACAAAAUACUUAUUUUACUAAAUGGUUUGACAAAAAAAAAGUAAAGGUAUUUCUUAAAAGAAAAAUGAAAACAUCCUUUCAACAACACUGUCAUGUAUCAAAUAAUAUCUAUGGUGUUUUCAGGUAUGAUUUUUUUUUUUAAUGCUUUCUGUACAGAAUAUACUACAUUCUUAUAAAUAAAUAAAUAACAUUUGUUAUAUAUGUGUGUGUGUGUGUGUAUGUCCUAUAUGUAUAGGUCAAAGGUAAUAGAGAAUAUUUGUGAGUUAGAAUGAUGGAAGAAAUAUGACAUCCAACUACAACCUUUCACGCUUGACAUGUGAACACUCUACAGAAACUGCUGAAUUUGAAUAAGCAUUUAACAACACAGAACAUUCACUGACUCUCAGGAUUCAUAUAUCUGAAAGAUCAAUUCAUGUACAUGUUCAUAUUUAAUUGGAACAUGUACAAUGUGUAGAUUGUUUUUGUGAGCUACCAUAAUUUCUAAUUUCCUUAAUUAGGCUAAGUUAGACUGUUUAUACUUCAAGCUGUAGAGUAAGAUUUGUCAUAGCAGAUUUAUGUUUAUGCAAAAGCACAUGCUUUGAAUGUAAGAAAUAAACAAAAAAAAUUGCAAAACAAGGCAACAUUUAGCACCCACCGACUUUUACAAGAAAAUACUAUUUAAACAGUAUUGUAACCUCUAAAAUUACAUGUAGGUGGGUGGAGGUAACUUAGAAUAAGUUUCCUAAGCCACUGAAAAUCUUACAUAGAGACUUUGUUUUAUGUAUUCGUACAAUUCCUGACUGUCUGAGAACAGUCACAAUAUUCUUUUUAAGCCCAUUUUCUAACAUUUAAUUUGACACAAACAACUCUGGCCUGGGUACAAUUAUUGAAGCAUGACCAUAAGUCUGAGACCCUAAGGCAUCACAUUCUAAAUCUCCCAUGAUCACACAUGAGGAUUCCAUGCAAUAUAUUAGGUACUUGUCAGAAGUGAAUGCUUUCCUAAGAAGACUAGGGAUAUUUCCACUGUACAUUAAUAAUCCUGGAGGGGUUACAACAAGAUCUACCCAUUUGUAGGACAUGGAAAAGAUAACUCAAUUGACUUUGUUUGUGCACUUACUUUGCAAUAUUAUUGCAGUUUCACAGGAGCCCUACCUUAUGAGGUACAUUUGAGGGACUUGUGAGGUCCAUUUGAGUGCUAUUAGCUAAUAUCUGAAAAUCAAAUGACUAUUUUAAUUGCUCAUAUGUUACCACGGAGGAGUAACUAGAGAUAAUUUCUGUCUAUGAUGGUUUAUUCUUAGUUUUAUUAUAUUUAUUUUUUACAGUACUAGUAUUGUUUCUUUGUAUUGAGUAGCACUUUAUUCUCAGCCUAUAGUGCAGCUUAUUUUCAUGUCAUACUCUCUCUCAGACUUUCUAUAUCAAGUAUAAACACUUGUAACUGAUUGUUAUGUUCUCCCUUUUAAACUAACAAAUCACAAUAUAAAACUUGGUAGAUAUAAAGGAAUAGGAACGAAGAAAUCAGUGCAGAAAGCACUCUUUCUUUUUUUUACUGCCAAAUUAAGUUAAAGGUUACUAAAACAAUAAUUGGAUAUUCAACAAACAUAAACAAUAUCAAAGAGUUGAAAUUAAUAUGUAAUGCUAUGAGGUUUACAUUUAAAUGAUGAUAAUUAAAGGGUUUUAAAACACAGAUCAUACUUAUUCAAAAUGCCAACAUCAAUAAACAGUUCUAAGAGAAGGUACCAUGGCCAAAUAGUUAUGGCGCUAUCACAAUCCAAUUCAGAAUCUGAGUUUGUAAUAAAUAUGGAGAAUGUGGGGUAAAAAUGGGCAAUCUGAUGUUCAUUUAUUCAGUCCAAGUAAUUUCCAUUCCCAUUGUAGCAAUUUGAUAUGUAGGACAAUCUGAGAAUCAAAUUUGGAAACUUGGCUCUAAAGCAGUGUACCAAAGGGAAUCAACAAUGUGGGGGUAGGUGGGAGAGGCUAGUUGCUUCCAAGCCCAGAGAGGGCUAGAGGAAACAACCAGAGACUAGUUAAUUAGGACUCAAAAAUCAAGAUCUGAUUAGAGAAAAAAGACGGCUUUUACAGGGAAAAGAAGGUUAGGUAUUGAAAUGUCAAUUAAUUAUUCUGAAAGGAGAACAACAUUAGAAAUAUAAACAGACACGGGAGACAUAUAACAUGACAAAAGAAGGCAAAUAACAUGACACUGAUGGGUGAUAUUUUAAUUACUAUAAUGGGCUUAUGGCUCUUUAUGGUUUUUACUUCUAGCUCUAGUCUUUGUAAUUUUCUACCUUCUCAAUAAAUCGUGAUUAAUUUAGAUGGUAGUAAAGGAAAAAAUACAAAUUAAUUUAAGAAAUGCAGAUGAAACAUGAAUUUAACAUUGAAAGUGUAUUUACUUUAGCAUAUAUGUCAAAAAGUAUUUUCAAAAUAAAAUCACAUGUAUUUUAUAUCAGUAUGUGUCUAUGAAAAUCAUGGGCAGUAAUGAGUUAGCAGCAUCAGUGGUGUGUCCUUUGUAACUGGGAUUUGCAGAUCUACAGCCCCAUAUUCUGAAGAAAAAUAUAUAUAUUUUUAAUUUACUGCAAUUCUCUCCUAGUUGUAAGCACUUAGCAAGAUAGUAUCCAAUUUUGUUGUUAAAAGUAUUGGUGAGGAAUUUCCAUCUGCAAAUAUUUUAUACACAUGGGAGUCUGACUUGCAAUGGAAGUCUAAUACACAUGGGAGUCUGGUUUGCAAUGCUGGGUUAAAGGUUAAUAUCAACAGGCCUCCAUCAAUCAUUAUCUCAACAAGAACCAUAUGUGGCGACCAAUGAUAUACAGAUGAAUAAGGUCUCUCAGUUAUUGUGUCUGAAAAUACUUUGAAAUUAAAUGAAUUUCAACUAAUACAAAAAUGAUAAUAUUAAUAUCACAAAGAUAAAAUUCUACAACACAUCAGAUAUUUAAAGUUCAUUAAAUAUAUUUCAUCCCCCCCCGUGAUACUUUUAAAAAUGUAAUGCAUCAUAAUAACUUACUCCAAUUCCUUAUAGGAUUCUAACUUUGUUGUCAGAUAUUUACAUCUGUAUUCAACGUCUACCAUUUGAGACUGUAUACGAUUUACUCUUUUACACAUAUGCCAACUAAAGAAGAAUAACAUCUUAAUUAUAAUCAUUAAAAUUACUAAAUGAUGUGUAAUAAACCCAUACUAAUCCUGUCUUGUGUCCCCCAAACCACCGUUACCCCAUGAUUUGGUUUCUGAAAUGUAUUCAUGUUUUAUGCUUUUACCCAUCCCUUGCACGGGAUGUAUAUGCACUAAGGUGUUUUGUAUUUCAGGUGAAUCGUUAUCAAUUACCUAUAUUAAUUUGCAUUAUAUAUGUAAAAUCUUUGGUAAUAUUAAUGAUACCAUUCUUCCAUCAAUAGACUUAUUAUUAUUAUUAUGUUAUUAUUUAUAAAGUGCCAACAAAUUCUGCAAAGCUUUACAGUGGGUGGGCGAACAAACAUGUAGUUGUAACCAGACAAAUUGGACACACAGGAACAGAGAGGUUGAGGGCCCUGCUCAAUGAGUUUACAUGCUGGAGGGAGUGGGGUAAAGUGACACAAAAGGUAAGGAUAGUAUUAGACUAAUGACAGUUGCAAGAGAAGAAUUAGUCAGGAGCUAUUAACAGUUUAAUUGAUACGCUUUUAUGAAGAACAGGGUUUUUAAUGAUUUUUUUUGAAGGAGUGGAGACUGGGUGAGCAUCUAACAGAGGAGGGAAGUGAGUUCCACAAUGUUGUGGUCGUGACCUACAUAUGAAUAUUAAUCUCUUAAUACAUAAUAAUUAAGCAAUACGGAACAACAUUAAUAUUGUUAUAAUUCAUGGUAUUAUGGUCGAAUAUGUGGAUAGAAAAUACACAAAACGUUGUAAUAUUAAAUGUAUAUUUUAUAUAACUAUAAUAAAUAAACAGAUGCUAGCAGAAUGUCAAUUUACUACAAUAAUUAUACAAUACAAAACUACAACAUAUUACUUACAAAAGGUUGCUAAAUGUUACACAAAAGGCUAUUACAAUUGCUAAAUGUUCAUUUUACUUACAAGGCCCCAGCCCUUUGGCUGGGGUUAAGUCAGAGCUGGUACUACAUCUUAGGUUCAGUCAGGUACAGGCAAAGGGACAGAGUUUUCUCCUCCAUCUGGUUUUAUUCAGUGUAAGUAGGCUGGCCUGUGAUGUCACUGCCAGAAGCACAUGUCUUCCUACACACUCCCCCUAGUGGUGCCCCCAAAGCAUUACACUAAAUAUGCUUUCUUUAUGAUGUAAAGUCAUUAAUUAAUAAAUACCAUUACAAACCACCCUUUGACUUAUGUCAUAAAACAAGCAUUUAUAAAACCAGUACAUUUUGAAUUUUCCCCCAUUUUAACACUACCUGCCCUACAACAAAACCCACCUUUUGAAGAACGAUACCCAUUUACCCAUUAAUUAUUACCCAUUAACAUUUUAUUGCUUAUAUAAAUGUUCACCAUUGAGCACAUGCAUUACCAGUUGGGAAACAGGCACAUACCCACCCUUAUAAUAAUGAACAACUCAAACCAUGUUUUAUUAGAUUAACCAAUGAUAUUGUGUUCAUGUGAGGAUGUGUUCUGGAGCUUAAUAUAGUAUUAGACACCGCAAACUCAUAACACCUAUGAAUCAUGGCACAGACCGACUCGAUUUCUGUAGCCUCUGGCUGGUCUGUGUGCCUGGAGUUUUCAGAAACAUUAGUCCUGGAAACUGGAAUACUCUAUUCUUCGACAGUCUCAUAGAACAUACGCAUGGAGACAGGGAUGAAUGAAACAGUUCAUGCGAUCAAGGACUUUUGUGUGUUUGUGGUCACAUUGUUUUGUUUUUUCUUUCUUUAUACCAUUAACCACCUUGACGUAAAAGUUUCCUGCUCCUGAUGCAUUUUGUUCUGACUCUCACCACUCUUAGCAAUAUUUCUCCUUACAGCAACAGUUGAGCAUAGUGUCCAGUGCUUCUCCUUCUUCUGCUUAAAAUAUCCUUGCUUGAAAGUUCUUGAAUGAAAACACAGGCAAUGACGAACACAAACAUAAAUAAUAACUGUGCCAAUCAUCACAAGUACCAUUUGACUGUGGUGUCUUAACCAUAUUUUUUCCUAUGGCGUUUGGAUAAAUACCUACACACCUCUCUUCACAUCCAGCACACUCCUGAUUCACAGAUAAACACAAUAUCACUGCUGUAUCUACCAAUUUAACCCAAACACUCGUUAUUACUGCUGCAUUUACCAAUUUAAUCUAAACACUCGUUAUCACUGCUGUAUUUAACCAAUUUAAUCUAAACAUUAACCAAAACAAUUACAUUCCUAUUUACCACCCUUCUAUUUAAACAUGUAUAGAUAACCCAAAAUGCCUACUUUCUCUUAUCCCUCUUAUCAUUCUUCCGUUUUUUUUUUUGUUUUUUUUUGUACUGCAACCACUCAUGCACUUUACACAGACACAAAUCAAGCACCUACUGGACAAUGGGGUUCCCUCGUUAGAGCCCUCCCACCCCAGUUUGGUUUACACAAAAAUACCCCCUGGUCCCUAUGGGUCAAUUCCCCCCUUUCCCAGGCAAGCGUACAUACAUACAUACAACAAUAAUACAUAAGGGUUUCAAUUGCAAUACAAUCACUAGAAAUAAGAGAAUAGUAUGCACAAAAUCAUAGCAUAGACAUGUUAAAUAGACAAUAAAAUAAAACACUCAAUAGCUCAUCAAAGGUCAACAUUUAAACACUGGUCUCCAUCUGAUAUUCUAUCUGUGUUCCAAUGUCCACCUCUGGUUUCUGCUACAUCUGAAAAGGUUAGGAAACAGAUCAGGAUUACUUUCCUAGUCACUUAUAGAGUAUACUGCAAAUAUUUUACUUAGAAUAUAUAUAUAUAUAUAUAUAUAUAUAUAUAUAUACACACACACACAGACAUGUAAACACAUUCCUUCAGCUUUUCAUUUUAUAAACAAUUUUUUUCAACAAGAUAACAUUCUUAAUUUUUUUUUUUUUUUUUACAAGGCUCUUAAAAAACAAUAAGCUAAUAGCUGCUUUCUGCAUCUUCUCUGCAAUUCAGGAAACACAUUUCUAGCCAACCUAAACAUGUUUAAUAACUCUCCACCCUUUGGUUAAAUUAUAGAGGAGUGAACCACAACACCUCUUCCGCCUCUGAAAGGAUAUAGGUCAAUAUGUCUCAAAGUUCAACACUUCUGACAGCUAUGAGUGACUCCCUAUUAAUUUCUAGCCUUUCCACGGACAUGCUUGCACCUCGCGGCUAAGGGCCUGCACAACUAACCACCCUGUGAUGGCAGUGGCUUUCCGCAUGGGGGUGACUGCCCCCGCAAAAUUAUAGAGGAGCAAACAUACAGCAGCCUCUUUUCCGGCUCGAUUAAAGGUUCUGGGCCAAUAUGUCUGCAAUUUAACCAGUACACUCACGUAUCACUUAUUGUAUAUUUCCUGGUCUCUCAGGAAUUUCUAUUAAAUAGCGUAUCCCCUUCCCAGGGCAAUAUACAACAAAAACUAGUCACCAAGGGUCUCUAUGGUCAUGAUAGGCCACCCUACCACUAGUGUAAUACGCCCUUUUUUAAAUAUAUUUCCUGGUCUCUCAGAGAUUUUGCCUAUCCCUUUCCCAGAGCAAUAUAUAUAAACAAUUACAAAUAAGUUACAAAACGCUACUUAUAAGUAAUACAGGGUUUCAAAUAAUAAUACAGGAUAGAACUGCACAACAACUAUUGGGUAUGCUCCCCCUUAUCCGGACACGUUUAAAUACCCCCUAGCUCAGGUUCCCCACCCGCCACUGUAACUAAAAUCACAGCCCACGUUAUGGAGGUUCACCCGCUAGGCAGAUACACCCUAAUUCAAAGCAUGGAAAUAUUAAAAUCAGUUAUAGAUGGCUUCUAAAAUAAUAUAAAUCUUAAUCUGAGCCCCUACACUUACUUUGUUAAAAAUGCUAACUUGUUAAAAUAUUCAGACUAAAUAGGACAAAGGAAUUAUUUUACCAUUUUUUCAGUCCAUUUGUUACCAGUUCCUGCAUAUGUCCAGUAAUUCCUUAGUCCUGGAUAAUAAAGCUGAAAAACACUCCACAAAUUGAUUAGUUUAGGCAAUUAAAUUUACAAAACAAUGCAGUUUAUUUUUUCUCAUACAGCAAGACUACCCACCCCCAACAAGGACAAAUUCUCCCCCAGCUGUAGCUGAAAAGCAUGGUCACACAGCUGUUAAAAAGGUGGUCUCUCCUUCAUGAGUCAAAAUCAUAUAUAUUUAUACUAAUAUUCUGUGUAUACGCACACAUAAAUCUAUUAUUCACUGAAUCUGCUUUACUAAACGUAUCUUUUUCUUAACUACUAAUUUAAUACAUUUUGUCCAAAUCUCUUUUCAACUAGACAAAUCCAUGAAUGCCAAACAAAUGUAAAUUAGUACACAAACAGGGUCAAAUUUAGCAAUAAAACCUGGUGAACUAGUUUAGUGAAAAGUCUUUUCCUAUGCAAAUGGUAGCAAACAAUGAAACUAGGCCUCAACUCAUGCACAUCAUGUGGUCAAUGGUGGAUUAAAAUCCACAUGGUCAGACAAAAGGUAAAGUAUACAUAAGUUUUCUCCUAUAUACAAAUGACCAAAGAUUGGUGACAAGCAACACAAUAAUUCAUCACUAUGUUCUACAGCAAGAGAUACAUUAAAAACAAAUAUCUAAUCCCUAUUUGCUAUCUGCAUUCAUUCCAUUAAAACCAAAUCAUCAUUCAUUUAUUCAUUUGUAUACAGACAGACAAUUUACAGUAUGAUUUAAGCAAAAUGCAUAACAUUUAUAUUUUCCCCAAUAUUCAAGCAUAAUCCUGCCGACUACGCCAAAUGUUGUGGUCGUGACCUAAAUAUGAAUAUUAAUCUCUUAAUACAUAAUAAUUAAGCAAUACGGAACAACAUUAAUAUUGUUAUAAUUCAUGGUAUUAUGGUCGAAUAUGUGGAUAGAAAAUACACAAAACGUUGUAAUAUUAAAUGUAUAUUUUUAUAUAACUAUAAUAAAUAAACAGAUGCUAGCAGAAUGUCAAUUUACUACAAUAAUUAUACAAUACAAAACUACAACAUAUUACUUACAAAAGGUUGCUAAAUGUUACACAAAAGGCUAUUACAAUUGCUAAAUGUUCAUUUUACUUACAAGGCCCCAGCUCUUUGGCUGGGCUUAAGUCAGAACUGGUACUACAUCUUAGGUUCAGUCAGGUACAGGCAAAGGGACAGAGUUUUCUCCUCCAUCUGGUUUUAUUCAGUGUAAGUAGGCUGGCCUGUGAUGUCACUACCAGAAGCACAUGUCUUCCUACACACUCCCCCUAGUGGUGCCCCCAAAGCAUUNNNNNNNNNNNNNNNNNNNNNNNNNNNNNNNNNNNNNNNNNNNNNNNNNNNNNNNNNNNNNNNNNNNNNNNNNNNNNNNNNNNNNNNNNNNNNNNNNNNNUCUAUUCCCUCUCUUUCUCACCCUGUGUCUCAUUUUUCCCUCUUUCUCCCCCCUCCCCAUCUCUCUAUUCCCCCUCUUUCUCCCCUCUCUGUCUCUGUCUCCCCCAGUGUCUCAUUCUUCCCUCUCUUUCUCCCCAUCUCUCUAUUGCCCCCUCUUUCUCCCCCUCCCCAUCUCUCUGUUCCCCCUCUUUCUNNNNNNNNNNNNNNNNNNNNNNNNNNNNNNNNNNNNNNNNNNNNNNNNNNNNNNNNNNNNNNNNNNNNNNNNNNNNNNNNNNNNNNNNNNNNNNNNNNNNCCCUCUUUCUCCUGUUCCCCCCUCCCUAUCUCUCUAUUGCCCCCUCUUACUCAAGCCUGAGGGGGCCGGGGGCUGGCCGUUUCAUGCUGGAGCCGCCGGACCGGGUGGCAGCCUCUCACUAACGCUGAAGGAGGAGGAGGAGCAUGUCUCUCUCUGUCAUGCUCCUUUGCGGUUCCCACAUCCUGUGCUGGGAAUUGUGGGAACCGCAGGGAGCAUGACAGACACAUGCUCCUCCUCCUCCUUCAGUGUUAGUGAGAGGAAAGCCGCCGGAUCGGCGAGGCUGCCACCCGGGCCGGCGGCUCCAGCAUGAAAUGGUCGGCCCCCUCAAAGUGUGCCACCGGACCGGCCACCCGGUGGCACCUUGUUCUGCAGUCCCCAGAUGCCGCCCCCAAUCAUGUCCGAAGUGCCCGAUCGGUCAGUCCGCCCCUGCCUAUAUCUUACAGGAAACCAAUGUAAGGACUGACAGAAGGGUGAGGCAUUGGAGGUGCGGGCAGACAGGAAGAUGAGACUCGCCGCUGCAUUUAUUGUGGACUGUAAUGGUGCAAGUUGGGAGCACGUAAGACCAUUGAGAAGUGGAUUACAGUAGUCAAGGCGAGAAAGAACAGUGGAAUGGACCAGCACCUUAGUCAUAUCUGGUGUUAAGUAGGGUUGGAUGUGCGCAAUGUUUUUCAGAUGGAAAUGACAGGAUUUGGCGAUAGACUGGGCAUGAGGCAUGAAGGAGAGGUCAGAGUCAAAGAGAACACCUAGGCAGCGAGCCUGCAUGGUGGAGCUGAUAGUAGCACCGUUGACUUGGAGGGAGACAAACACAGGAGUAGCAACACUUGAGGGUUGUAAGACCAGAAUUUCAGUUCUGGUCAAGUUGAGUUUAAGGAAGUGGGCAGCCAUCCAGUUAGAAAUAGCAGAGAGGCAAUCAGAGACACUAGUCAAGAGGGACAGGGAGAGAUCAGGAGAGGACAGGCAGAUUUGCGUGUCAUCUGCAUAGAAAUUAUAUUGGAAGCCAAAGGAGCUAAUGUGUUUACCAAGGGAGGAUAGAUAAAGAACAAUAGAGGACCAAAGACUGAACCUUGGGGGACACCAACAGGGGGGAGUUGGGGAGAAGAAGCAGAGCCAGAAAAAGAAACACUGAAAGAGUGCUGGGAGCAACAGGAGAGAGCAAUAUCUUGAUAGGUCAUACAUGGUUUAAUGACAUGGCUGUCAUUAAAUUGAAAUUGUCCUUAUUUGUCUUAUCAGUUUAUAAGGAAAAGCCUUUAUUGAUUUAUCACUACAUUUUUUUUCCCUGUCAAAAUUGUCAAUCAACAAAUUAAAUUUCUCUUUUGAUUUGAUAUCAAUAACUUUAGGCAUUACAUUCUGCCUUAGUGACCUGUGACUUUUAACACUGCCAUUUCCAGUUGAGAAAAAUGGGAGGCAUUCAGCUGUCUGUAUCAUUUUUUUACACCGAGUCCAAGACGGAGGCUCCUCUCUGGACUUCCACCUUAAUUUAUCCAAGAAGAAAGCAACUGCUCUCAAAGUUCUAUUUUCUUUAGCAAUUACAAUUGUAGUUGGAUCUAGACUUUGAAUUUUUUCCUCAAAUUAAUUAAUUAACCUUGGGCAUUGAUUGUACCUAACAUGAUUAAUAACAGUAUAAUUUUUAGUAUGCUGUGCAACUGUAUACAUUUUACAUUAACCAGAAAAUAAAAUUGAUUUGAUUUAGUCCAUGAAAUAAUGUCCUCUCUAAUUGAAUCCACAAGCACAAUCUCUUUGUCCAUAAUGUCCUUUGAAAGUCCAAACAGUGUGUCCUUUUUAAAAUAAAACCGUUUUUGUCCAUGAAAAAACAUUAUUGGUUCUGUAAUAAAAAAUAAAUAAAUGGCAGUUUACUAUGCUUAUACAUUAAUUUCUUAUACAUUAUUAGUAAGUUUACAUUGAUCACUAUGCACAAUAAAUGACUUACUACAUUUUCUACCAACAUUUUUUUUAAUCUGUAUUCUAUUUUUUUUUUAGAUUAACAUAAGGACCUUUUCCAACUUGCUUUUUAAGGGAUCUGGUGUUUUAAACGAUUUUACCUUCACCUUAUUCUCUAGUUUAAACGUAUAUGCAUAGUUUCCCAGUGCUAUAUCUUUAAAGGGACACUGUAGGCACCCAGACAACUUCAGCUUCCAGAAUCAUAACAGACUUUUGGUUCGUUAUCUAAUGCUGGACAUCCCACGCUCUGGAUGAGGACCUCCAGCGUCAGAAUUUACCCAUAGUAAAGCAUUGAUUCAAUGCUUUAAUAUGGGGAUGGCUAAUGCGCACGCGGGAUGGAGGAGAGGCGGAGAUUCCACCCAGAACAGAGGGACAUUGGCGCUGGUAUAAGGUAAGUAAAUAAAGGGUUUUUAAGCCUCUAUUUACCAGGGAAUGGGGGGGAGGCAGAGGGAUCGGUAGUGCCAGUUAUACAGCUUUAUAUUCGUGGCACUAAAGUAUCCCAUUAACAGAUUUUUUACCAGAAGGGACAAUAUUUGAAGCAGCAAACUUUAAAACUGAUUGCAGCUGUUCCCGUAAUACUUUCAACUAUUCAACAUGUUCUGACGCUACUUUGAAAGUACUUGGAAUAAAAGAUUCAUUGGGGAAAGUGAUUGGCAUUGUUCUGCCUGUCAUUAAGUCAUGAGGGGACACUUGCAUUUUAGAGUUUGGAGUUGCACGAAUAUAUAUUAAUACUCUUAGUAAAUGUGUUACCCAACUACUCCCUUUAUCUACAAGCAUAUUUUUUUUCAAUUUAUAUUUUAAUAGAAACAAUUUAUAUAGGGUCCCAUGGUCCUUCUGCCACGGAUACCCUCUGCAAUUUUGAUUUCUAGUCUUUAGGUCUUGGAUUAAAUUGAGCACAUUUAAGACACUCCUGUACUAUAUUUAUACAUCAUUCUUUUAAAUUAGGAUGAUAACAUUUAUUUUGCAGGACCUUAAACAGUUUUUUUUCUGUACAGACUUAAACCCUGCCCGCAUUCUCCAUCAUAACAUGUAGAAUAUUAGCUAUUCCUGAGAUGUUUGUCACACCAAAGUUCCAAUAAUCGAAUCAGAUUGUAUUGCAGCCAAAAAUUAAUAUUUAUUCAAACAUACACACCAUGAGAAAGUAACACAAAGUCUUUGCACACAUCUGGACCAAUACAGCAAUGUAAAAGUCCAAGGGGCAGAAACAGUACUUUUGAACAUAGGUUAUCAUAGGGCCCAUAGUCCCAGGGCAGUGGCAAAGUUGCUUUCAUUACACCCAUAUAUUGCAAUUUGCAGAGUCUGGUAUUUUAGUUUUUAACCAUGAUUCUUAGAGCAAAGUGACUUUUGGUUGGUAAUGGGAACCACCAGUCUUGAUUUAAUAGCAAGAGGUUGGAAACAAUCCCAAGAAAUUAUGUAUUGACAAUGGAAAAAUCAAAUUAUUUUCCAAUGUAAAAUGAAAAACGCAAAUUGGAUUAAUAGUUGGAUUAAUAACUCAUCAGCUAAAAACAAAAGAAUACAAGUAUGUUGUCUUCAAAAAGCAUUUACGUUUUUCAGCUCUAAUAGUUAAAAGGGAGUUAUUUUUAUAAUAAUCUAAUCUAUAAUUUGCAUUUACAUGCUUCUAUUAUAGAACUCAGUCUUCUCUCCUCUCAACUGUUUUUGGUUUGUUAUUGUGUUUUGUUUGUAAAUGCCUAGGCAUGCAAAAGUGUGGAUGUAAUUUUAUUACUGCGGAAACAAAAUAAAGAUUAUUCAGAAUAAUAACAUUAAAUAUGUGAUGUAACCACAAAGAGCACCAUUUACUUUCUCGUUAACUCCAUGAUUAUGAGAUACUGUGAAUACCAAUAAGAGAUAAGUCAAGUUGUAACUUUAUUUUUAAUAGUUCAAAUGUUUUGGAUUGUGAUAACGUUGAAAAUACAAACACAAUUCAGGAGUUCAGGAGGUCUAAUGGGAUGAAUAAAUGGCAGUGAUUAUAACUGAUGCAUUUGACAUGAACAUACUUUAGUUUCAAAUUACAUCUUACAUGUAUCUAUUAUAAACAUAAUUAAUAUAAUAUGUAUGAUUUAGCCCCAUAAUAAUAAUAAUAAUAAUAAUAAUAAUAAUAAUAAUAAUAAUAAUAUCUUAAAAAACAGAACUUAAGUUGCAGAACAAUUGUCAAUAAUCUCUAACCUUGUUUUCUUUUCUUUUUGUAAAAUAUGCUUUAAAAUAUUUUUUUUCCAUGGUAGGAAUACAAAUAAUCUAUUUAAAAAAAGGCAUGUCACAUUUUCUCUAGAUAUCUCUUAGAACCAGGAACUGCUUGUGCCAGCAGGUAAACAAAAAAAGCAUAUAUGAUACAAUACAAUAGCAAUACUGAAGCAUAUAGUAUACAAUAGCUAUAUAUUCUAGUUACUGGUGAAAAGAAACCAGCUCAGCACUCUUUUCAAUGUAUUUAAGCAUCAGCAAGGUAAACAAUAUAUAUAUAUAUAUAUAUAUAUAUAUAUAUAUAUAUAUAUAUAGGCUCUUCGUUCUGUGUAACAGCACAACUUGCAUGAGCAGAUCAACCAUCACUGAAAAUGGGAAAGGUAAGAUUAUCUGAAUAUUGUAAAUAUUGGCAACACAAGAAAUUUUGAAAACAAUAAACAGAUUUUUUAAAUGAACAAAAACAAAUUAAAAUGUUAAAUGCUUACACUGAAUGCCAGCAAACUUUAACUGCUGAACAAUAUACUGUGGUAAAUUUAUCUAGUCCAGAAACAUGCCAACAAAAUAUCUUUCGUAAACCAGUUUUGGACAUUUGCCGCCUCCUCAAAUAAGAAUUAAUCAGAACACAUGCAUCACAUGUUUACUUUUUUCAGACUCAAGAUUAAGAUUUUUUUCUGUCUUUGAAAGUACUUUGUAGUGAAUGCCACUAUUCACCAUAAUAAAUUGCUAUAAUUAUGUGAAAGUGAAUGCAAAUUCACCAAUCGAAAACGCAAAAUGUACCAAAAACAUAUAUUCCAAUUCUUCCCUAAACUUAUAUGUUUAACUCCUACACUAUAUUAUUUGAACAGGAUAAUAGUAGAUGUUUUUAGGAAUCUGUAGCAUGAAGUAAUCAAACCAGAAACUAUUUAAAUGAAAUUAUUAACCACUAAAACAAUAAUAAACAAAAAAAAUCUAAAAUGUUCAAAUGCACGGUUCUUUCACAGAUUGUCUUCUACGAGGAUCGUAACUUCCAGGGCCGCUCUUAUGAGUGCACCUCUGAGUGUCCAGAUAUGUCCUCAUAUUUUCAGUGCUGUAAUUCCAUCCGAGUGGAAAGUGGAAACUGGAUUCUGUAUGAGCACCCCAACUAUAGAGGAAACCAGUAUUACCUCAGCAGGGGAGAAUAUCCUAAUUUCCAGCAAUGGAUGGGUUUCAAUGACUCCAUCAGAUCUUGUCGUAUUAGCCCACAGGUAAAGAUAUUUACCAAAAUAGUUAAGAACCUUACAUAAAUAUGAUGCAGUACAAAAAAACAUUAUUUUCCAAUUAUCAAUUAUUAUAGGUUUACCUUUGCAAAUAUGACCUUUUUUGACUAUUAUUCAUUAUUUUAUGGAAUAUAUCUUCAAUUCACAAUUCCAUUGUCAGGUAACAGGUGGGUUAACAUGGAUAAAAAAAAAAAUAUAUAUAUAUAUAUAUAUAUAUAUAUAUAUUCCCGUAUAGAUUUUUGAUGUUCAUAAAUAUUUUUUUCUUCGUAAAGCACCAUGGAUCAUUCAGAGUAAAGGUCUAUGAGAGGGAGGAUUUCCGAGGUCAGAUGAUGGAGUUCACUGAAGAUUGUGCUAAUGUCAAUGAGAGAUUCCGUAACCAUGACAUCCACUCCUGCCAGGUGAUUGAUGGCUACUGGAUGUUCUAUGAGGAACCAAAUUACAAAGGACGCCAGUAUUACCUGAGACCUGGAGAGUACAAAAGAUAUACUGACUGGGGUGCCAUGAGCCCAAGAAUUGGCUCAUUCAGGAGACUUCACCAUUUCUAAUAAGUUGUAUUUAUUACUAAAUCAGCAUGUCAUUAAGAAUAUAAUAAAAGCUUCAAAAAUGAUCUUUAAGAUCUAUAUUUUUUUCAUUUUCUAUUUAAGUUAUGGUUUUAUACCUUUUACUUUACAUGCAAAAUGCAAACACUUAUUUUAAACCACAGUUCAGUAAAUAAAUUAUUAAUAUAACAGAAACUACUAAAUGGAGUCAGGAUAACUCCUCACAAAUCGUUAAAUUACAGGCAGCUACAGGAGAUAGGGGCAUUGGGUAUUGACCUAGCAGGCUGCCUUACAGGAGCAUCAGGGGAUAGGGGUUUUUGGAACGGGUUAGUGACAGCCAGCGACUAUGUGACCGGAUAUUGGUAUUUAACAAACUCCUAUAACUUCUGUAAUUUAACGAUUUGGCAGUUAGUACUUUGAAGCAUUUAAUGCUUACAUAACAGCUGCAAUAUACAACAAGCUGGAUAGUCACUUGUGUGUAGCGAUUCUAACACUUCAGCCCGCUUUGGCGGUACUGCUCCUAAAAGCCCCCCUUUUUUUUUAACCAUCCCCUCCUCUACUUUGUUUGGAGCCGGGUACAAUGUGUCCACGCAUAGUGAACCCUUUGGUUAAUAUGGUCUAAUUAAGGGAUGUGCAAGAAUACCUAUACUUUGUAAACUGUGUAUAAAGUCCACUUAGCAACACUAUCUAAUUAGUACAACUAUGUAUCCAUUAGUGUGCGGUGGUUAACAGACUCCAUUUUACUGGAAGUUAGGUAUCAAUGCAAACGUGAUACAGUGUAAUAUCACUGUUUAUUGUUGAUUUGUCUGUCUGACCAUAUUCAGUUUAUUCCUUAGUUUUGGUUCAAUGUUUUACAAUCUCUACACUCUACAGCCACUCAUUAUUUGUACCUUCAUACUCUGGAGGUAUCUGAACUAUUCGAUUACUCAAAUUUGAGAUUACUUAUAAUAGCUAUUAAAAUCCUCUUACUACUUGAUGUGGCCUUUGAGACUACUUUACCAAGAAUUUUGAAGGUGUAUUAUCACUCUGUUUAUUCACAAUGUCACAUUUGUUUGGGUUUUGGUUUUUCACAUAGAACCUACUGUUCUAGUUAGGCUCUUUAUAUUUUAAUAUCCUAAUAUUAGGCUUUAAUAAAGGUUUAUACCUCAUACAAAUGUUUACUUUUAACUCCUUAAGGACCAAACGUCUGGAAUAAAAGGGAAUCAUGACAUGUCACACAUGUCAUGUGUCCUUACGGGGUUAAAGGUACUUCUUAUGAUGGAGUGGGAGGUCUUCCCAUCCCGCUUUAUUUUUCAUCUAUGCCAAAGGCUUAUACCAUAUUUAUGGAUACUUAAUUUGUUUAGAGGUUCUCGUUUAUGGAGAAGGGACUCCCCACAUAUUUGUGAGAAGUUAUCCUGACUCAAUUUAGUAAUUUCUGUUCAAUUUACUUUGGUUGAUGCCCUUGAAUUCCUCCGUAACUGAUUAGGAGGCACCAGUGCUGACUAGUGUAGCCCUGUUGCCUCUUCUUGUGUGGCUCAAAUUAUUAAUAUAGCAGUGGUUCUUAUAAAAACAAAUAAUGAGUAAGUAAUAAAGGUGAAUUAUAUUAUUUUUAAAUAUAGUCCCUCAGGAAGUUGAAGUUGUGACAGACAAAAUACUUAUAGCUUAUUUUACUGAAGGUGGUUUGACCCAAAAAAGUAAUGGUAUUUCUUAAAAGAAGAAUGAAAACAUUAUUUUAACAACUCUUUCAUGUAUCAAAUAAUAUCUAUGGUGUUGUUUUCUGGUAUGACUUUUUUAAUGCUUUCUUUACAGAAUAUAGUACAUUCUUUUAAAUAUAUAUAUUUAUAUGUUUAUAUAUGUCCUAUAUAUUUAGGUCAAAGGUAAAAAAUUCUUUGUGAGUUAGAAUAAUGGAAGAAAUAUGAUGAAAGACCUGGGCAUCCAAGUACACCUUUUAAGCCUCUACAGAAACUGCUGAAUUUGAAUAAGCAUUCAACAACACAGAACAUUCACCGAUUCUAAUGCUUCAUAUAUCUGAAAGAUCCAUUUAUGUACAUGUUCAUAUUUAAUGAAACAUGUUCAAUGUGGAGAUUGUUUUUGUGAGCUAUCAUCAUUUCUAAUUUCCUUAAUUAGGCUAAGUUAGACUGUUGAAACUUCAAGCUGCAGAGUAAGAUUUGUCCUAGCAGAUUUNNNNNNNNNNNNNNNNNNNNNNNNNNNNNNNNNNNNNNNNNNNNNNNNNNNNNNNNNNNNNNNNNNNNNNNNNNNNNNNNNNNNNNNNNNNNNNNNNNNNUCCCAACCAAUAGUUGAUUUCCAGUCUUUUGCCCCAAGCAGAUCUUUACCCAUAAAGCUUCCACAUUUUCCUCAUCACAUUCCACUUGCUUAAGGUUUGGCUUUAACUAAUGGUUGACAUACAAACUGUCGGGAUUACAGUAUGACCCAGCACGUAGAAUUGUGUGACACAGAGGACUGAUAGGUAAUGUAUACCGGACCUUAGAAUGGCCGGACUAACGUACCAAAGAAUAGUCAGGAAUAGCCGAGGUCAAUGGAUACAGAAAGAGACACAAUGAUAAGGAAAAGCCAGGGGUCAGAAAUGCCAGAAAACAGGGAAGUCAAAAACAAUGCCAAAGUCAAAUAACCUGAAAACAGAAAUUCUACUUACCGUAAAUUCUUUUUUUCUUAAUAUGGUGACAGUACCAUCAGGUUUUGCUCCUCCCUUUGGACAAGACAUCUAACAAGGAAUUAAUGAUCAAAAAGACCUUGCCCCAUAAAACGCCGUACCGCAAACCUACCCCAGUAUGUGACAAGAAAAAGAAACACAGACCAAAAUGUACUGCAAAGAAUUCUUUAAUAAAGAGGGAGGGAAGCCGUACUGCCACUAUAUUAAGAAAAAAAAAAAGAAUUUACGGUAAGUAAAAUUUCUGUUUUUUCUGUCAUAUGGUGGCAGUACCAUUGGGAUAUAGCAAGAUCCCCGUCCGGGUGGGACUUAGGCCACCACAGCUUGUAACACCUUACGUCCAAAAGCUGCUUCAGAGGUAGAGAAUGUGUCUAGCCAAUAGUGCUUGAUAAAAGUGUUAAAAGACGACCAGCAUGCUGCCUUGCAGAUGACCUUUGGAGAUGCAAGAGCUUUUUCUGCCCAUAAGGUAGAAUGGGCCUUAAGCAUAGCUAGAGCCUGAAGACCUGCUGUAGAGUACACCAAUUCUAUAGCUUGAAUGAGCCAACGGGAUAAGGUGCUGUGGGAAGCCACAUUCCCCUUGAAGUGACCCUGAAAAUUAAUAAACAGAUGAUCUGAAAUUCUGAAUUCUUUCGUUCUGGCUAGGUAUAUAAGUAAAGCUCUUAUGACGUCUAAUUUCUGCCAUCUGAGCUCUUGAGGAGAUGAGGCUUUGCUACAAAAUGAAGGUAAAACAAUCGGCUGAUUAAUAUUCUUUGAAGAUAAAACUUUAGGUAGAAAAGACAGUCUUGGAUAAAGAAAAACCUUGUCUUUGUGGAAAAUAGUAAAUUCAUCCGAGGAGGACAGAGCAUGAAGUUCUCCCACUCUUUUAGCCGAUGUGAUGGCUACCAGGAAUAAAACUUUAAGAGACAAAAAUGAACACAAAGAGCUUGUAGGAUCAGGGCUAAAUCCCAAGUUGGAAACAUCGAUCGUCUAGGAGGACGUUUGAGGCUGAUGGACCUAAAAAAAAAUAAAAAAUUAUUAUGAUGAAAAUAUUGGAGGCCAAAUCCUUAAUUAGAAAUAAACUUAAGGCUGAUAUCUGAACUUUGAGUGUAGAAACUCCCAGACGAGCUGCAAAACCGUCUUGUAAAAAAAUGGAAAAUGUUAUCUAUAGAAGGAUGUAAAACAAGGCACUGGUCUUCCUUACAACAGUGGAGCAACUUAGACCAAAUCCUAAAGUAUAUCUUCAAUGUAGACCUCCUGGUAGCGUGAAGUAAGACAGCUAUUCUGUCUUCUUGUAAACCUUAUGAAGGAUUAGCCUUGCAGUAGCCAAGCCGUCAACCUGAAUAUGUUUAGAACUUCCAAGGGCAGGUCCCUGUUCACAAUAUGGAAGUUUGAUAUGGGAAGUUCUCAUUGAGCAAUGGUCAUCUAUGGGUUUUCCCAACAUGGGAUUAUUGCCAAUACUCUCGCUCUGUCUGUUCUUAUCUUGAGAAGGACCUGUGGGAUUAAAAGGCAGAGGUGGAAACACGUAAGCCAGACGGAAGUUCCACUCUAUUGAUAGAGAUGUCGCGAACCGUCCGCGAACUCCGGUCAGCUGACACAUCCCAGCCAAUCUCCGGCAGACCCUCCCUCCCAGACCCUCCUACUUCCUGGACAGCAUCCAUGUUGAAGGCGGCUUUAAGUUAACUGUCCAUAAGGAAAAUAAGUGGAGUCAGAGUAAAAUAUAUAUAUAUAUAUAUGUAUAUAUAUUUAUAUAACCAGGGGGCUACACUCAACUUAACAUGCAUAAAUGGGGUGCUGCUGGUGGCCAAUUUAUACAAUACACAAGAUCCAGCACACUCACCUAUCCACUAAACAGCAACUUCAAUGUUGACACAUUUUAUUAGUUUUUUUUCUUUUUUUAAAGCACCUAAUCUAGGCAAAAAUAAUGGGGGUUCAGUUACAUAUAUAUAUAUAUAUAUAUAUAUAUAUAUAUAUCAAGAAAUAAAGUAACGAUAGCAUUCUAAGGACUUCGAAAAUAUUGUAAAAAAAAAAAAAACUUCAGGCAUCUGCCACAGAAGAUAAACGUUUCAGUUCUCUAAGGAACUUUCGUCAGGAAAAGUAUAUAUAAAAUGUGAUAAACUUCCAUCCAAAAUUAGAUCCCAUAUAAAAUGUACAGACAUAUGUGCCCUUAAGUUCUAAUGUCACCUACCUUGAAUAAAAUAAUUUAGGAAUAUAUGUAUCCAAAACUAUUACAAUAAAAUAAACUAAUUAAUAAACAUAGUUUUAGUGAAAUAUAAAUAAUAAAAUAAAAUACUCAAAAACAAAUUAAAUAAAAAAACAAUGUGAAAAAAAUAUAUAAAUAAAAAAAAAAGAAAAAGAAAAGAAAUUAAAUAAGCAUCUAUAAAAAAAUUCUAAGUUUUUAAUUUUAAAACUGUAGGGGACAAAGAAUUACAGAAAGACACAUGCAUAAAUAAAUGGACAACAUUUCAACUGUGAAGAUGAAUACACAUACAAAAGAUAUAUAAAUAUAGAAAAGAAGAUUGGAUCGGGCGACGUGAUGACUUGAUGACGCUCACGCCGGGAGGGGAGGAGGGAAGGACCCGAGAGAUCGGAGGGAAGAGAAGGCGAGACGCUAAGUCAAGAAACGCAGCAGCAUGUUAUCAGACAGGAUGACAGCUAGCUGAUCCAGGCGGACAUCCAUGCUGAUACCUGAUUUAGUGAGAUUGCUUCCCCUUUUUUUUUUCAUUAUCAUUUUCUGGCAUGCUAUGUUACUGGAUGGUCUGGAUGGUCUUGCUGACUCAGUUGCACACAUACAGCUGAUGCUGAUUGAUUGCCCUGGGCUACCUAGGACAUAGAGGGGAAUCAGUUAUUUUUUUUUGUGUUUCUCCUUCUUCCUAGUUUAAAAUAAGUUUUCCAGAUGGCAUAUUCUCUUUUAUUUUAUAAAUUUAAAGCGAUAUGUCUUCCAAAAAAGCUCAAGAGAGUAAAGUUUCAACAAAAGCUGAUAAGAAAGGCCAGAAGCAAGAGAAAAGACUAUCGGCUUUCUUUGUCCCACAAUAUAACCAAGAAUGCUUGGAGCAAUCAUCUCUGGAAUCUCUUCAUACAGGGGUUUCUACUUCACCUGCUAAAGCUCCUACUUUUUUAAAGAAAUGCUUGGAAGAUUUUUCUAAGGAUAUUAAAAAAUAUUUGAGUGACAAAUUUUCUGAUAUGAAAAUGGACUUAGCUGCGUUAACGGAACGUAUUCAUAAAAUAGAAGAAAAGGAAGAAGAUAUAGUAUUUCAGCUUCAGGAAGUAAAGGACAUUCAAAUUAAGAUGAUAUGGUAAUCGCAGAUUUGGUGGAAACUAAUAAGAGACCUCCGCAGAUUUGGAGAUUGGCAGAUUACUUGCUAAAAAAUAAAGCAAAUGUAGAACAUAUAGAGAAGUUAAUUGAUUUCUUUAUUAAGGAGAAAGCUUUGAAGUUCUGAAAAACUGGUUAGAUCUACCCUCUAGAGAAUUAUUAAAUUUUCUUCGUAUUAAGAGCUAUUUGAAAGAUAACAUAUUGGUAUUAGACGGCCAUUUUGGAAAAUUGUUUAGGAACAUUUUUUCAGGGUGUAAGGCUAAAAAGAUAUUCUCUAUUGCAGUUGAACUAAUAAAAACUAAGGAGACUCCAUUUAUCCCCAAAGCUUUAACCAAAUGGGAAACUGACCUAGCAACACCCAUUCCAUUUAAUAGUUGGUGUAAGUCUUUUAUGGGGACUAAAAAAAGCAUUCAUUGUCUGAAUAUUCUAGAGACUUUCACUAAAAUAUUGUAUAGAUGGUACUUGGUACCGACUAGAUUUGCUAAAAUAUCUAUUACUAAUCCAUCUAAUUGAUGGCGGUGUCUACACCCAGAUGGUUCUAUGUUUCAUAUAUGGUGGACCUGCCAUCGAAUUAAGUCUCUCUGGAAUAUUACAUUUGAAUUUAUAUAUAGAAUUGGAGGUAUACAUCUGGAACACAAACCGGAAAUUGCCCUACUCCACCUUAUGGGUUUUGAAAUAAAGGAUAAUCUUGAUAUUGUGAUUAUACAUUGUUUAAUGGCUACCAAAAUAUUAAUUGCCAGAUUUUGGAAAAGCACUGACAUUCCUACUAGAGAUCAAGUUAAAGCCCAACUCUUAUUCCAAGUCGAGAUGGAAAAGGGGUUGAUUCACAUGAGAGAAUAUUCCAAUUUUAAUAUUUUGACGUUUUAUUCCAGUCUUGUUGAAAAAAUUAAAGGGCUUUAAUGAGUUUGAGGUGGUGGGGUUACUUUCUAUGAUCACCUUAUGCCUAACCGAUGAUACCGUAGCGGGCACUAUUAUAGGGUUCCUUGACCACAUAUCUGAUAUUAGCUAAUGCAAUAUUGUAACUUUUUUUUUUUCAUCUUCUAUAUCUCUGCAAUAUAUUUGACCAGUUUGUUUUUGUUUUUGUUAUUGUCUGUCUUAUUUAUAUAGGUUUUAAGGCCGUUUUUGGACCUGGAUAUUCCCUUUUUGGGAUAUUAUUGUUAGUAUAUCAAUGUGUACUAGAUGGCUUAUCUCUGAUGUAAUUUGAAAUAGGUCUAUAUAUCUUUGUAUGUCUACUGGGGAUAGGAGUCCUUAUUUUUUUUUUUUUGUAUGGUUCCUUCCCCCAGUUGUUUGCUUUGUCUAUUAAUAUCACUAUAAAAAUUAAAAAAAAGACAGUGAGGGCUUUUCCAAGUAAAUCUCAAUAAAUAUCUAUAAAAAACACACCAUGUCAAAAUCAACUUUCAAACCUUCUGGUUGGAUGGUCUUUAAAGUAAAAAUCCAAAAGCCCUUCUGGUUGGAUGGUCUUUAAAAUAAAAAUCAAAAGUGUUAGUAUCCUCAUAUGGUGACAUCUUUUCUAUACCAACACAUGAAAAAACAUUAUAAUUAAAACUGGGGUAAUGAUUACAUUGGACAGGUCCUGAAUGGGUAAUCAACUUUUUCUAGCUAAAAUAUUUUCAAAUUUGUAAUUAUUUUAAUACAUUUUAAUUAUUUUAGGUGCAGGUGGGAAUAUGUCUUUAAGGAUAUCAUCUUCUAAUGAAAAGGGCCAGUGCUUUUCUAUAAUAUCUUUAGUCUUAAAAGCAUGUGUAUUAAAUUGUGAAUAAAAAUAGAAGUUAUAUUCUACUUCAAUGCCAGAAGGAACUUUUUGGUCCUUUAGUAAAUUGUUUCUAUCCAUUUACUUUAUAUGUGUAAUCUUAUCUUCUAAGAAUGCCCUGGAAUGGCCCUUUUCAAAAAAUAUAUUUAAAAAUUCAGCUUGGUUUUAAAAGCAAUAUUAAUUGGAACAACUCCUUUGUAUUCUAGUAAGCUAGCUGCGAGAAAUUCUUCUAAGCCAGCUAGGGUGAUGACCCCUUUUCUUAUUAGUAAAACUAUUCGCAUCUGUGGGAUUAAAGAAUGUUUUGGUUUUAAUUAGACAAUUUUUAAUGUAAAUAGUAAGAUUAUGGAAAUGUAUUUCUUUGAUCUCAAUCUGUAGGGUAAAAACUAAUGACUAGAGUUGAGCGUAUCCUAACCACAAAGUUUGGGUUCGACCCCGGACCCGAACACGGACAUUUCAGUGUAUGUUCGGGUUGGAGUUCGGUGUUCGGCGAUUUAAUGGCGCGUUUUGAAAGGCUGCAGGGCAGCCAAUCAACAAGUGUUUGACUCGUUUGCCCUUAGAAGCCAUCACAGCCAUGCCUACUAAUGGCAUGGCUGUGAUUGGCCAAUGCAGCAUGUGACCCAGCCUCUAUAUAUAAGUUGGAUUCACGUAGCGCCGCACGUCACAUGAGCUCUUAUUAGUGUAGGGACAGGAUGCUGCAGCUGCGAGGGACAGCUUAGGAAAGAAUUCUGGAGUUGAAUCUGCAAAUUAGAGCGAUUAUUCAAACUAGAGUGGCUAUUCAAACUAGAGCGAUUAUUUUAGUGGGUGCUAUACUACAUUUUUGUACACUGCCCUGAGCCCAGUGCCACAGAGAGUGCACUUGCAACUGCAUUUGCGGCCUGCAGUGCACUUCAUAUCUGACAGUCAAAUAGAACCGUCAAACACUGUGCUUACAGCGCACUUUCAAAAAUUAAAAUAGUUUUGGGUGCUAAUGCUAAAUAGUACAUUUGCGUCCUGCGGUGCACUUCAUACCUGAGAGUCAAAUAGAACCAUCAAAUACUGUGCUUACAGCAUACUUUCAAAAAUUUAAAUUGUUUUGGGUGCUAAAUAGUAUAUUUGCGUCCUGCACUUCAUAUCCGACAGUCAAAUAGAACCUUCAAACACUGUGCUUACAGCGCACUUUUAAAAAUUCAAAUUGUUUUGGGUGCUAAAUAGUACAUUUGCAGCCUGCGGUGCACUUCAUAUCUGUGUCAGGGUUUACCUGGGUUGGGAGUCCGGCAGGUAGAGAUAUAUGCUCACCCUUGCAAGAAAACACAGGCCGAGGUGGUCAGGUAAGAAUUCACCUGGCCUGUGAGUCAUUGCACGGGGGCUGUGCAGGGUAAACUCCAAGUAGCGGUACAGGAACGGAUAAAGCAGGAGAAUAGUCGUGGGAAGCCAAAGGUCAGAGGAUGCCAGAAGUCAGAAUCAACAAAACAACAAGCCGCGGUCAAGAGAUACACUGGAGAACAGGAGACAGCAAAUCGAUAACCAGAGUCAAGGAACUGACACUGCCUUCUGGGAGAUACAGUGUUUUAUACCUGGCUAACGAGACUAUCCACAACAGGUGUACCAGGAGUAAUUCCAAAUCAUGUCCAGCCCCCAGUACUGGAUACUAGACAGGGCAGGAAUGAACUUCCAGGCUGAAAGCAAGAACCAAAUGUGGUUCAGAGGCAGAGACACAGACCAAGAAUGCACAAAGCUUCACUGAUUCUCUGCAGAAGGACUAAGUGGUGGAACAUUUCCUUUCGUUAAUUUUCUUUUUCAUACGUGUAGGAGUGUUAUGUUACCCGAACACAUUGUAUUCGACUCCCGAAUGAGGACAACCCCUGUACCCCAUUAGAACGUUCACGCCAGCAAAUCAAGUGUGAAACCGCAAGGGAAGUAAUUAAUGAAUGUUUCCCUAGGGUGGCUGCAAUUUCGUGUAACCGAAUACCCAUGGCUGACAAAAGAAUGGCAGCCUUUUUGUCUCCAAAACCUGGGCAGCGGUACUUGGUCAUCGAGUGCCUGGAACCCUUUUCGGCUAGGCACUCGCACGAACCCCAGUAAAGAUUAUACCACUGCCCAUCCUACUUUCCGACCAACUAUGCGAACCAUGUUUGGGAGAUGGUAACUACUGACUAGAGGGAGCAUUCACUCCCUGAAAUCAGGAGAAUCCCUUGUAUGGUGUUUGCAGAGGAAACCCCAAACUGAGACCGACUGGGGCAUCUAUUUCCCUGGAACUAUUUUGGGCCAUCACCUUGUGGCCGGCUGGUCAAAAUUUUACAUCAGUGGCGAUCUGAUUCUGCCAAAUGGAUCUGAGUGAUAUUUGGCCAAUUUUGACACUCAGACCAAAGCUAUCUGGGGAUAUAACUCUUGUGGGGUUCCUGGUUAUAUUGCGGGUACUUUUGGGGGAUUGUAUAUAUUGCAUAUAUUUUCCUGUAACUGAGAGAUAAUUGAGUUAUAGUUUUCUCACUCAAUGAUUUCUCAGACAGAGGCUCUUGGGAGAAAAAAAAAAAUGUAAUUUUGUAUUGGAGACCCCAUGCUAGGGGUCAGUGCCAAAUAAAAAUCAGUUAACUCCCAUAAUUAUGUCUUGUCUAGUUACUGUGGGAAUGGAUGCUAUGCUUGAGUAUUUAAUUAUUCCAGUCUGGCCGAGAGGAGGAAUUAGCGGAGGUAACCAGUCAGGUUACCAGGGGUCUGCUACAGCACACUUUUAAAAAAUCUAAUUGUUUUGUGUGCUAAAUAGUACAUUUGCAGCCUGCGGUGCGUCUCAUAUCUGAGAGUCAAAUAGAACCGUCAAAUACUGUGCUUACAGCGCAGUUUGACCCAUUCACAUUUUUGGGGUGAUAAAAAGUAAAUUUGUGGUGUGCACUUCAUAUCUGAGAGUCAAAUAGAACCGUCAAAUACUGUGGUUACAGCGCAGUUUGACCAAUUCAAAUUUUUUUGGGUGCUAAAUAGUACAUUUGCUGCCUGCACUUCAUAUCUGACAGUCAAAUAGAACAGUCAAAUACCAAUAUAACAAUAUUGUAAUUCUGGGGCAAUACCCUCACAAGUCAAACUGAGAGGUCAGUUUAUAGGGAAAACUGUUGCCUGGAGGAAAUUCUAAAACAAUUUCCAUAUGUCCUUUGCAGACUUUACAUGCUGGAAAAACACAGGUGCCAACUGCUGUGGCUUUCUGCAGUGUGCAUUCCGGCAUGGAGGGCAGGGUUGAGGAGUGGGUGGAAGAUGAUGUGGAGGAUGAUGAGGUCCUAGACCCCACAUGGAAUUAAGGUCAUGUGAGUGAUGUGUGCAGUUUGGAAGAAGAGGUGCUGGUCGCACAGAGGCACCAGCACAGCAUAAGAGGGAGCAGGGUGCAAAAGCGGAGCGGCUGUCCCCUAGCGCUUGUCGGCAUGUAUUAGCUUGAGAAUUACCACAGUUAUCCAAGUAACAGAUGGAGCUAUCAAAGGAUCCAUAAUAGAGUUGCGCGAACCCGAACUGCAAAGUUCUGGUUCGUACCAGAUUUAACAAGCCAUUUGAAGUUUCACAUUGAGGGCAGCAGUCCGAUGACCGGGACCCAAACACUAUCUGGGCGGUGGUCGGACGACCGGGACCCAGUAUGCCUGAUGUUGAAGUUAGGAGUCACAGUGUGAAAUGGAUUAGCAGGGUCUGGUGCAGGGUAACCGCACGCCCCCUGGUGUUGAGCACCAGCGUUUGUGUGGCCACAUACCAGGACCCUGAUGCAGCUUCAGUAAAAAGAGUACUUGAUACCAGAAGCCAUCACCAGACUGAUCCGCAACUUGGAACAGGAUGUGACAUUCACUGUAGCGGCUGUGCGCACUUUUGGCGUUCUCACCCUGUGCUGCUCGCCUGUCUGCGCUGCAGUGUAACUUCGACCUUCCCGCUCACCGCCUCAUAUGCGAUGUGCCCACAAGGUGGAACUCCACCUUGCACAUGCUGGAAAGACUGUGCGAGUAGCAGCAGGCGAUAGUGGAGUUUCAGCUGCAGCACACACGGGUCAGUCACUCUGCGGAACAGCACCACUUCACCACCAAUGAGUGGGCCUCCAUACGAGACCUGUGUGCCAUGUUGUGCUGUUUCGAGUACUCCACCAACAUGGCCAGUGCCGAUGAUGCCGUUCUCAGCCUUACUAUCCCACUUCUAUGGCUCCUUGAAAAAACUUUUGAGUGAUGAUGGAAGAGGAUGUGGCACAGGAGGAAGAGGAGGAGGAAGAAGGGUCAUGUCCACGGUUAUCAGGCCAGUCAUUUACAAGUGGCUCAGAGGGUGGGUUCCUGCACCAGCAUAGGCCAGGUACACAAUUGUCCAGCAUCUCCACACUGUCCCAUGGAAGCGUUCAGCUGUCCAUCUCCCAAACACUCGAGAGAAAGAGGAAGUACCCCAUAGCCACCCGCGAUCCCUGGCCCUGAAUGCCAGCAUUUCAAAAUUCGUGGCCUUUGAAAUGCUGUCAUUCUGUCUGGUGGAGACGGACAGUUUUAAAAACCUGAUGGCAUCAUUGGACUGCGAGAAAUGCACGGCAGGCCUCAAAUGUUUCUUUUUUUAUAUGUGCCAAUAUUUUGGGGCUACCCCAAUUAAAAAGAUAUAUAUAUAUAUAUAAAAAUCAGUGUUGGCUACCUCCUCCACCGCUGCUUCCACCUACACUGCCUCCUCAACCUAUGGGUCAAUUAGUAUAAACUAUGUACACAAUAGCAGAGGCUUGUGAAGGCCUUUUCUCCAUGCAUCAGGAGUUGAGCUCAGUUUGACCAAUGAAAGAGAAUACCCUGCACUCCAACGAUCUCUCAAAUGGAUAAUUCUGGUGAUCGUCCUGACAACCAUGCUUUAGAUUUUGAUUUAUGUUCUUCCAAAGCUAAAAUCAAAGAUUCCAUCUAGUGCUAUUUUAUGGCUCAGCUGUAUUUUUAAUUUUUUUUUUUUUAUGUUAUUUUAAGUGAUUUCCCUAUCCACAUUUGUUUGCAGAACACUUUACAACCCUCUAGCCCUUUCCAGGACUUUUUUAGAGGCAUUUUAGUGCCCAAAAGUUCAGGUCCCCAUUGACUUCAAAUUUGAGGUCAAGUUCAAUCCCGAACUCGGACUUUUUUUCGAAGUUCGUUCGAAAUCAGGAGAGAGAUCUCUCAUCUCUCUCUGUCCCCUAACAAUACUUCCAACCUCACUCUAAACCGACUCUUAAAAAGCCCAACCUUGACCCUAACUCCCCUUCCAACUACCGCCCUAUCUUGCUACUGCCUUUUACGUCCAAGAUCUCUUACAGAGUUGUGUUUAGACUUCCUCGUGUCCAACUCUCUGCUCAACCCACUUCAGUCUGGUUUCCGUGCUCAGCACUCUGACCAAAGUAUCCAACUAUCUACUCGCUGCAAAAUCACUAUUCUAUAAUAAUUCUUCUGCUGCUUUUAACACUGUUGAUCAUCAACAGCUUCUUAUCAUCCUCCGUAAUCUCGGUCUAUUAGAUAUUGCUAUCUCCUGGUGCUCCCCCUACCUCUCCCAUUGAUCUUUCAGUGUUUCUUUCUUUGGCUCUGCCUCUUCUCCCCAACCCCUCUUUGUUGGUGUUCCUCAAGGUUCAGUCCUUAGUCUCCUACUGUUCUUGAUCUAUACUGCCUCACUUGGUACACUCAUCAGAUUAUUUGUCUUCCAAUAUCAUUUCUAUGCAAAUGACACACAAAUCAAUCUGUCCUCUCCUGAUUCCUCUCCGCUCCUCUUGACUAGUGUCUCUGACUGCCUCUCUGCUAUUUUUAACUUGAUGGCUGUCCACUUCCUUAAACUCAACCUGUCCAAAACAGAAAUCCUGAUCUUUCCUCCCUCAAAUGUUGCUACUCUUGUUUCUGUCUUCCUCCACGUUAAUGGUGCUACCAUCAGCUUCACCACACCUGCUCACUGCCUAGGUGUUCUCUUUGACUCCAACCUCUCCUUCACCCCUCAUGUCCAGUUGAUUGCCAAAUCCUGCCACAUACAUAUCAAAAACAAUGUGCUUAACAGCCCCUAUGUAACACCAGAUGAGGCUAAGGUGCUGGUCCAUGCCACUAUCCAGUCUCGCCUUCAUUACUGCAAUUGAUUUGUCAGUGGUGUUAUGUGCUCCCAACCUUCCCUAUUACAGUUUAUUAUAAAUGUGGAGGCGAGGCUCAUAUUUCUGUGUGGUCACACCUCGCACUCCUCACUCCUCUCAUUCCCUGAAUUGGCUUCCCUUAUGAUAUAUGACUCAAUUUAAAAUUCUGGUUCUUGCUUUCAAAUCUGUGUAUAAUGCUGCUCCUACCUAUCUAUCCUCCCUAAUACACGAGUAUGUCCCAUCUCGGCCCCUACACUCUGCCGAAGACCGAUGUCUAUCUUCUGUUCGUACUCCCGCCUCUGAUGAUCGCCUUUAAGACUUCUCUAGGGCAUCUCUGUUAGAUGCUCACCCAGUCUCCACUCCUUCAAAAAAACAUUAAAAGUUCACUUCAUUACAAAAGCUCGCCAGUUAAACUGUUAAGAGCUUCCAAUUGAGUCCUUUCCUGCAACUGUCAUAACAAAACAAAACACUAAGUCUUCAGUGAAUACUAUUGUAUCAAUCUACUUCUCUAAUACUAUGUGACGAAGUGCCCUUCGCCACUUGGUCCCGGAGAGGCCUGCUUGCCAGCCUCCUCCCCUGUGACUAUGACUCUUUGAUGUAUUUGGAUUUAAAGCCCCUAUUCUACCUUCAGACUGACUUUUUUUGUGUAGGUUGCUUUAUUUCUCUUAUGUUUUAGUCACCCUCUACCCAUUAUAGGUGCAGGGUGUGUGUAAUGUAAUUGUUUAUAGUGUGUGAGUACUGUGUAAUGUAUUGCCUGCUCUCCUGUACUGCUGAGGUUUGCUACCAACUAGGUGGGUUUGGCUAUGGAGCUUGACAAGUGCCCUCUGUUGGUAGCAACAGCAAUAUGCACUACCUGAAUAGCAAGACUGGUUCAUUUGCAUAUUUGGGUAGAUUUGCAUAUUGCUAAUUCUGCAGACACGUGAGAUAUUUUCUGUUAAAUAUUGUCUCCCCCACCCCUUUAAAAAUGUGCCAUUGUGUUGUGAUAAGUCACUGUGUGUUGCCUGCUAUGGUUUGACUGUUUGUGAUUUUAUUGCGUUUUCACAGCAAUGUUAAUGUUGUGACCCUAUGGGCUGAUCCCAAGGGAAAUAAAGGUUUAGACAGUUCUUCUUGAUCCCUCUAAAACAUAGCCUUGUCUCGUUAUUGGAGGGAGCCGUUAUAAUCACACUGGGGAUUGCUAUGCUCUGCAUACUCCCCUGAGUUUGAAUAACUAAGCUCUUUUAAGUGAUUGUUCCUGACACGCUCUCCUUGGAGGAGAGGUCUUCCCCACACAGUCCUGGAGAUUCAUACACGGUGGAAGGAAGAGGUCUUUCCCACACGGUCAUGGAGGACAGAAGCUGAUCCAGGGUGGAAGGAAGACGGCGAGACUCCAGUCAAGCUACAGCGGUUGCGGAGUCUGCGGUGGUUGUGGUGUCUGCUGCAGUGCUUGAAGUCCUCAAGAAGCGCUAGGUGCAUCCUUCAACGGAGGGUACUCAGUCGGACUACGGCGAGCCUUGUUACAUACUAUCCUUAGCUUUUGUGUUACUUUACCCCACUCCCUCUAGCACGUAAGCUCAUUGAGCAGGGCCCUCAACCCUUCUGUUCCUUUGCUUUCAACUUGUCUGGUUACAAUUACAUAUUUGUUUGCACACCUAUUGUAAAGCACUGCGGAGUUUGUUUGUGUUUUAAAAAUAAUGAUAAUAAUAACAAUUAAUAUACAGAACAAACUUAUGAAGAUCGUAUAGGUCCUCCAGAGCACCAAGUUCAUGCCAAAAGGACUAUAAGACCAGAUAUUCAUAGUUUCCCUAUAAUCAAAAAAGAUGUUACUAUAACUGGGUGCAAACACGGUGUCUAUAACUGUACCCUUUAAUUGAAGUAAAGAAUUCUGUAUUAAAAAUAAAAAAUAUAUAUUUUUAUUUAAUUUUUUAUUUUUUUAUUUUCAUUUUUACGUUUUUUUGUAUUUCUUUUUUAUUUCAUUAAUUUUGCGUGUUUUAUUUUUAUUAUUUAUAUUUUACUAAUACUAUGUUUAUUAAUUAGUUCAUUUUAUUGUAAUAUUUUUGGAUAGAUAUAUUCCUUAGGUAUUGUCAGGGUAUUUAUAUCAGCGGACAUCUUGUGCUAUGAUAGAAAUUCAAAGUGUAUAUGCUAAGUCACUUUUGAACAGAGCAGACUCCAUUUUGUUAUUUUCAAGCUAUCAAAAGACACAAGAUUUCUAUCUGUAAAACUAACCACUUUCCCAGAGCUAAAGGAAUGCAUAGUAUAUACAAACCGAGUGAUAAGGAGAACGGGGGUUGGACAGACUGUCUAAAAUGUUAAUGGAAUAGAUGCAUAUCUAAACACAGACAUUUGUGACAGAGGAGAUUAAAUAAUAAAAUUUUACUUUCUAUAUGUACAAGAUCCCAUUGUAAGUUACGGGUCAAAACUUAGUUAUAACUGUCAUAUUAGAAAUUAUAGCAGAAUUUGCCAGACACAUUGUCUGCACAAAACUUAAAGAAACUGUUUGAUCUGACAGAAAACUUAAAUUAUGGCAACCAUAUAGAUAAGCCAAAACGACGUCAAAAUCGUCAUCCGGAAAAGUUAACUCUUUCCUGGAUAGGAAGGUUUCGUUAGAUGAGACUGCCAUCUGUGGAUCAAAUACCUAAAUCGCGAUCCCUAGAUUGGACACACCUCCAGUGUUCCUAUUGGUCUAUCAACUAGUGAAUUUUCCCUUUAAAAGUUAAGAGAAAGAGAAGAGGGAGAGAGAGGAAGAAGAAGGUAGGCGAGGAAUGCAAGGGUAUGCAAAGGAAGCAAAGAAGUGAGCAGUCGGGAGAAAUGCAGAGAGGCCUAUGACAGAUAUACAUUCUAGGACACUCAGAAAUUCCUACACACCUCCAUGCAGAGAGACAUCCAAAUAAGAUCCUGAGACUAUCUACCAAUCGGAUGAAAUAUCUACUCAACUGGUAAUUAUACUGGUUUCAUUUAAUUAAUUAAAUUAAUUAAAAUUUACUAAUAGCAUGAUAUAUGACUGGAUAAAUCACGGUCAGAUUUCCAUAUUAAGAAAUCUUAGUUAACUAAAGCAUAUAUAGUUAUAAACAUUCCAUUCUGCAGGUGGAAUUAAGAAUAAUUAUAUAUUAAUGUGAUAUUAUCACGUGUUAGCAUACCGCUGUUUUAUCCAGGUGUAUUGAUUUGCUCUAAAAUAAGAUAAGUAGUGAUGUCGCGAACCCGAUAGACUUCAAUGGGCAGGCAAAUUUUAAAACACACAGGGACUCUUUCUGGCCACAAUAGGGAUGGAAAAGUUGUUUCAAGGGGACUAACACCUGGACUGUGGCAUCCUGGAGGGGGAUCCAUGGCAAAACUCCCAUGGAAAAUUACACAGUUGAUGCAGAGUCUGGUUUUAAUCCAUAAAGGGCAGAAAUCACCUAACAUUCCUAAUUCACAAUUAAUAUGGAUUGACACCUGACAUAUGACAUAUUGACACCUUGACAUAUGGAUUGACACCUGUCCUCAGAGCCCCUGAUGCACACGGACACAGAGCAGAAUAGAGACUGGUCCCCCUACAUAGGGUCACUUGGCAGAUAUGGAUUGACACACCUGUCCUAAGGAUCCCUGAUACACUGACACAGAGCAGAAUAGGGACAGUUCCUCUACAUAGGGUCACUUGGCAGAUAUGGAUUUGACACCUGUCACUCAGGACCAUGAUACACUGACGCAGGCAGAAUAGAGAAUAUUCCUACAUAGUGUCAUGACGGAAUGUAGUUGACACCUGUCCUAAGGAUCCCUGAUACACACUGACACAAGAGCAGGUAGGGACUGUUCCUCCUACAUAGGGUCACUUGGCAGAUGGAUUGACACCUGUCCUAGAGUCCCUGAUACACACACUGACAGAGCAGAAUAGGGAGUGUUCCUCCACACAUGGGGUCAUGGCUUUGAGAUAUGGAUUGACACCUGACACAAACUGCUAUUUGUAACUGGCCCUUUAAAUAUAGCAAAAUUGCCCUGCUUCCCUGGGUUGUGGGAGAAGCCUAUUUGCCAGCCUCCUCUCGCAUGACUAUGGCCCCUGGGAGAUUGUGAAAAUGUAUGCACUUUUAUUUGGUGUGUAUGGCCCUUUAAGACUGUCGGUGGGCAUAUUGGGGCUUAUGGACUCUUUAUGUGACUGGUGCUGGCCCUUUAAACACCUUUUUUGGGACAUCAGGAAGAUUGGGACACUGCCCCUUUAAGGCCGUGUCCCCAGACUUGUUGGGGACACUGCCCCUUUAAGACGGUGUCCCCUGUGUCCCCAGACCUGGUGCAAACCCUUUGUGCCUGCCUGGCUAUUUCCCACUUGGUUCAGUAAAUGGGGCUUACUGAACCAAGUACCACACAGGCAGACCACCCAGAAGUGGAAGUGUGCAGGCAAUUUACCUCCCAGAAGCUGCGGUUAACCGCAGCUUAAUUGACAAUGCUGGGAGGUCUUUGUUCGUUUGCUGAACACGUGGCGGCGGCCAUCUUUGAUCAUUCAACGAGGUCAGCGGUAUGUGUAGCCAAAUUCAUGGAACUAAAAUCGGCUACACAUUUCCGCGAACACCGCUGAGCUCUACCUUCUCCCCUACUGGUUUUACAGCUGCAGAGACUAAGUCCCAUUCGGCGAUGGGACUUAGUCGUUUUUUCAGCCUGAAAUAGACCGACCGCACAGCCCAAAUCUAUGGAACUGUUUUGGGCAGGAAAAUGUGCUUGCGGUCGGUCAUAAAGGGACCUCCAGCUAACUUUUUAACCCCUGGAUGGAUUUGGCUGAUUUUUGGUUAUGUUUAUGUUUUAAGUGUGCUGAUUCCAAAUAUGUAUAAAUAUAAUAAAUAUAAUAAAUAAUUGCUAUGAAGAUGGGAUGUGUAGUUUUAAAGUUACAGUGUAUGGAUAAAAACUGUAUUUUUACUGCCUGUGUUUAAUUAUGUUAACCCAUUGUGUACCAUAAUUAGAUCACAGGCAGAGGGGAGGUUUCUUGUGGGUAAUUGAUGGGAGUGUUUCUGGAAUGUAUGGUUAUUAUUGUUUUUUGUGUAAAACCCUGUGGGUGGUCCUAUCUCAGGGAAACCUGCAUAAAAGAAGGUUCUUUGUGUGCCAAUAAACAGAAUGACUUGACCCUCUAACUUGCAGCCUUGACUCAUGUUUGUAGGGGACAGCUAUAAUCACUACAGGGAUUGCUAUGCUCUUCCUACUCCCUUAGCUACUGAGCUCUUGUAAGAGCUCUUGUUCCUGAUCCUGCUUCACUCUACAGAAGGAAGAGGUUCACCUACUGGAACCUGGAGCCUGGUCGUAGGUCCAGGGCGGAUAGCAGACGGCGAGAUCCUAGCCCAGCAGCGGCGGUUCGUUGAGUCUGCAGUACUUAUGGUGUCUACGCAGUACUUAUGGUGUCUACGGUGCUGAUGGUCCUUUGGUGAGCGCUAGGAGCAUCCUUUAUACGGUCCAACUUUCAGCCAGCCUGGAGGCAACCGUAACACACCUGUCCUCGGGAUCCCUGAUACACACUGACACAGAGCAGAUGUGUUCCCCCUACAUCGGGUCACUUGGCAGAUAUGGAUUGACACCUGUCCUAGGGAUCCCUGAUACACACUGACACAGAGCAGAAUAGGGACUGUUCCUCCUACAUAGGGUCACUUGGCAGAUAUGGAUUGACUGUUCCCCCUACAUACACACUAUUGGAUCUCGCAAAACUUACCAAGGAUCUAAAUCAUGUUCCCGUAUCGUACAUGAAAAACCUACUCAUACAAAAUCUCUUCCCAAACGUCAUUUCGUUCUUAAGCAUCAUUUGAGGAGCCAUACAGGAGAGAAACCUUAUUUGUGGUGUGUUUAGUAUUGUUCUGAUCAGUUUAAUACCUUUCGCGUCUCCUAUCAGUGGACGUGUAUAUGGCAGCCAUUUUAGGAACCGCACACCUGGGACCCGAGCAAGGUCACCUCGUUCAACAGGCGACAACAUUUGUCCCUGGAAAACUAUCCUGGACAUUCUGUACAAUUUGUAUGGAUAUGGCAGUGAUUUCUGUAACAGGGAGAUGGAAGAAGAUGCUUGGUCGGUCCUCUUACUUCAAAUUUGGGGCACUGCGCGGUCAAGCCAAUGUGCCACCAGAUAGGAGUGGUGUGUUUAGUAUUGUUCUGAUCAAUUUAAUACCUUCCGCAUCUCCUAUUAGUGGACGUGUAUAUGGCAGCCAUUUUAGGAACCGUACACCUGGGACCCGAGCAAGGUCACCUCGUUCAACAGGCUACAACAUUUGUCCCAAAAACAGUCAAAGGCUUCCUCCAGAUUAGCCAUUAUUUGACUUUGUAAGUACUUCAGGUCAGCUUAGUGCCUCAUCCUGCCUUGAGUAACAUGAGCAGGGUCGUCCACCAUCUAGGACACUGCCACUCCUCGCCCACCGACAAUCUUUAGGGGUGAUCUGUGGUUCAGAAUAUCAAUGUGCCAUUGCCCAGCCGGGUCAGGGAUGACCCCCACUGGUCCGAUGGGGGCUAGCGUAAGUCGACGCUAUGAUCUGUAGCGCAGGGAAAGUGGCCGCCUAACCCCAGUUCAAGUUCUUGUAGGCCGCAAGCUUGCUUAACGUUCAUUUAGUCUUUGAAUAUAAUCCAGUAGGAAGUUGGAAAUGACUGGCUCUUUGGGAUCAGCAGCUUAAACAAAGAUAUAAGGUGUCUGCAUUGAUCAAUGAAUACUGUUCUUUGCAUUUGCUUUAUCCACCAACUCUAAGUAGACUUACAAUGCUUGUGUCAGCGUAUCCUCCAGGAAGAAGAGCCCGAACCUUUACCGGCUGCACGUGUCUUACCUGUACAUGGAAAGCAGCUCUGGUUCCUUGAUGAGCCAGCUGCCCAUGAGUUAACAUGUCCCGUGGAGAAGCACUCUGUCCUGUAAAGAAUCACCAAAAAAAAGGAGUGGUGUGUUUAGUAUUGUUCUGAUCAGUUUAAUACCUUCCGCGUCUCCUAUCAGUGGACAUGUAUAUGGCAGUGAUUUCUGUAACAGGGAGAUGGAAGAAGAUGCUUGGUCGGUCCUCUUACUUCAAAUUUGGGGCACUGCGCGGUCAAGCUAAUGUGCCACCAGAUAGGAGUGGUGUGUUUAGUAUUGUACUGAUCAGUUUAAUACCUUCCGCGUCUCCUAUCAGUGGACGUGUAUAUGGCAGCCAUUUUGUCAGAUUCAAGUUCUUGUGCCCCACAGUUCAAAUUAACAUUCAAAUGACAAUUCAUGACAGAUCACACAAGUGAAUAGCCCUGCCUGCCAACGUCGUCUCAGAAUUUUUUUGUUAUCUAAGAAGAAAUAGAAAUGCAAGAGCAGAAUAGAGACUGUUCCCCGUCCUCAGAGACCAUGAUACACACUGACACAGAGCAGAAUAGAGACUGUUCCCCAUCCUCAAAGCCCCUGAUACACACUGACAAAGAGCGGAAUAGAGACUGUUCCCCCUACAUAGGGGCACUGCGCGUGCAAUCUAAUGUGCCACCAGAUAGGAGUGGUGUGUUUAGUACUAUUCUUAUCAGUUUAAUACCUUCCGCGUCUCCUAUCAGUGGACGUGUAUAUGGCAGCGAUUUUUGGAACAGGGAGAUGGAAGAAGAUGCUUGUUCGGUCCUCCUAACUGGAGACUGUGUUGCUGUACGGGUGGCAGGUGGAGCCAUUUAUAAAGUACCCACUGCUUUGCAGACCAGAUAUCAGUGGUCAGAUGGACCCUUGCCCCAACACUGUGUGCCAGACAUGCCAUUACUUCCGUUUGCACAGUCGAGUACAGGUUGGGGAUUGCCUUUUGCGCAAAGACAUUUUGGCCGGGUACCUUCCAUUGCGGUGUCCCAAUAGCUACAAAUUUUUUGAACGCCUCAGACUCCACCAGAUUGUAUUGUAAAAGCUGGCGGGCUAAUAGUUCAGACAAGCCAGGUGUCAGACGCCGGGCAAGGGGGUGACUUUCUGACGCUUGCAGACAACUAACUGCUAUUCAAUCUAUAACAGUGAAAAAAGUUUUGAAGCCACAGUGCAGCACCAGAGGGCCUAAAAAUUAGGCAUGUACACAUGCCUGAAAAAUUCGGUAUUGUUGCAGCCGCUGCUGUAGCAGCGGCCAGAAAAAUUGAUGUUUGUUUCACAGGCAGAAAGUGCCCUAAAACAUGGCGGCUUGAACCCUAGUUGGUGGUGGAUAAGUCACGCAAGUCAACCGGCAUUCAGAGCUAAAAUACAGCAGCGUGUGGACCAUUUUUAGCCCAAGGCGGCUCAUCUCAUCAGGCCUUUUUUAAUCGAAUGUAUCACCCAGUGUCAGUCCCUUCGGGAUCCAUCCCUCAUUCAUCUUAAUAAAGGUGAGGUAAUCUAGACUUUUUUGACCUAGGCGACUUCUCUUCUCGGUGACAAUACCUCCUGCUGCACUGAAGGUCCUUUCUGACAGGACACUUGAAGCGGGGCAGGCCAGAAGUUCUAUCGCAAAUUGGGAUAGCUCAGGCCACAGGUCAAGCCUGCACACCCAGUAGUGAAGGGGUUCAUCGCUCCUCAAAGUGUCGAUAUCUGCAGUUAAGGCGAGGUAGUUUGCUACCUGUCGGUCGAGUCGCUCUCUGAGGGUGGAUCCCGCAUGUCCUCCAUCAACAACACGUCUUUAAAGCGUCCUGUCCUUGCCGGCGUGGUCGUGGGAGGAGGAGGAUGACUUCCACCUCUCCCCCUGUUAGAUUCCCGUUGUGCUGUGACAUCACCCUUAUACGCUGUGUAAAGCAUACUUUUAAAUUUAUUUUGCAAAUGCUGCAUCCUUUCCGACUUGUUGUAAUUCGGUAACAUUUCCGCCACUUUCUGCUUAUACCGGAGGUCCAGUAGCGUGGACACCCAGUACAGGUCGUUCUCCUUCAGCCUUUUUAUAUGAGGGUCCCUCAACAGGCACGACAGCAUGAAAGACCCCAUUUGCACAAGGUUGGAUGCCGAGCUACUCAUUUCACGUUCCUCCUCCUCACUGAUGUCAAUGAAGGUAUUUUCUUCCCCCCAGCCACGUACAACACCACGGGUACCAGAUAGGUGACAACGAGCACCCUGGGAUGCCUGUUGUGGUUGGUCUUCCUCUUCCUCCUCAAAGCCACAUUCCUCCUCUGACUCCUCUUCCAGCGUUGCCGCAGGUCCAGCAAGCGAUGCUGAUAAGGCUGGUUCUGGUGGUGAUGGUGACCACAACUCUUCCUCUUCACGCUCAUCUACGGCCUGAUCCAGCACUCUUUGCAGGGCACGCUCCAGGAAGAAAACAAAUGGUAUGAUGUCGCUGAUGGUGCCUUCGGUGCGACUGACUAAAUUUGUCACCUCCUCAAAAGGACGCAUGAGCCUACAGGCAUUGCGCAUGAGCGUCCAGUAGCGUGGCAAAAAAAUUCCCAGCUCCCCAGAGGCUGUCCUAGCACCCCGGUCAUACAAAUAUUCAUUAACGGCUUUUUCUUGUUGGAGCAGGCGGUCGAACAUUAGGAGUGUUGAAUUCCAGCGUGUCGGGCUGUCGCAAAUCAAGCGCCUCACUGGCAUGUUGUUUCGCCGCUGGAUAUUGGCAAAGUGAGCCAUGGCCGUGUAGGAACGCCUGAAAUGGCCACACACCUUCCUGGCCUGCUUCAGGGCGUCCUGUAAGCCUGUGUACUUAUGCACAAAGCGUUGUACGAUCAGAUUACACACAUGUGCCAUGCACGGCACAUGUGACAACUUGCCCAACUUCAAUGCAGCUAACAAAUUUGUUCCGUUGUCACAAACCACUUUGCCGAUAUCCAGUCGCUGCGGAGUCAGCCACUUUUCCACCUGUGCGUUCAGGGCGGACAGAAGUGCUUGUCCGGUGUGACUCUCUGCUUUCAAGCAAGUCAAACCCAAGACGGCGUGACACUGCCGUAUCCGGGAUGUGGAAUAGUACCUGGGGAGCUGGGGGGGUGCCGUUGAUGUGGAGCAAGAUGCAGCAGCAGAAGAGGACUCAGCGAGGAGGUUAUGGAAGAGGAUGGAGUAGGAGGAGUAGAGGAGGUGGCANNNNNNNNNNNNNNNNNNNNNNNNNNNNNNNNNNNNNNNNNNNNNNNNNNNNNNNNNNNNNNNNNNNNNNNNNNNNNNNNNNNNNNNNNNNNNNNNNNNNGAACUUUGGCAGGUAUUUCAGAUUUGGGUGUAUAGCUGUAAUUUGUCUUCCUGGCAUCAUGUGUUGUAAGGUAUAGCUGCCCUUUGAUGUUAGGAGCAUGGCAGAUCAAAGGUUGAGGAAGCAAUACUAGCAGCACUAUCAAUUUAUUUUAAACAGAUCAGAAUUAAUUGAAAACUGAUCUGCUAUUUUCUAACACCAGGUUUCUUCCAGCACACUUCUCUCUCAUUGUCUGGUUCUGCUGUCUAGCCAUGACACAAUUCUUCAUUUUAAAAAGGUCUCCUUCAAUGUAUGGCAUUACUCCAGUGAUGUAAUACGUGAUAUCAUGAAUCAUUCCAAUGUUGUCGGUGGCAUUCCUAAUCUAUGUAGAAUGGGCUAGUCAAGUGUGCAGUGAGGGAGUAUGAUGUUGUGGUGGCGGGACUGUGCAACAAUUUCGCAGAAAUCCUUUCAGUUUAGCCUGAAGUAGAAAAGAACUGGCUGUGUAGAAAGAAAGAUAAAUAUAGAUUUUAAAGACAUAUUUUUGCUGCAUGUAAUUUACUCUAAAUAAAUAAACAAUCCUUUACUAGUGUUACCCUCAGAAUUAACUACCAGCAUUAGAUUGCUGGAUUGGUUUUAUAAGGCAAAGAAGGUGAGCUUUUUAAAAAAAAAAAAUUGAAUUGGGGAGCACACAUAGAAUAUGCAUUUCUUAGCAGGGGUACUGCUGUAAAGAUCUGAAUAUUUACAGAAUGCAGAUUAGUUUGACACUGUAGGCACCGAGACCACGUAAGCUAAUUUAAGUGGUCUGGGUGCAGUGUCCCUUUUGCACUUAGUGCUGCAAUGUUAAACAUUGCAGUUCCAGAGAAACUGCUAUGUUUACAUUGCAGCUCUAAGUCUGCCCUCAGUGGCUGUCUAACAGACAGCCACUAGAGGGCUUCCGGAAUCGUAACAGACUUUUGGUCCGUUAUCUGACCUUGGGCGUCCUCACACUCUGCAUGAGGACCUCCGGAGUCAGAUUUUACCCAUAGGAAAGCAUUAAAUAAUGCUUUCCUAUGGGGAGGUCUAAUGCGUGUGGCCAUUGUCGUGCAUGUGUAUUAGGGAGGAGCCUGACGCAGCGCCGAUGUUCGGCGCUGAAUUCAGGUAAGUGACUGAAAGAGUUUUAACCCCUUCACCCCCGCAGGGGGACAAGGGAGGGGGGCACCUCAGAAACCUCUAGUGCCAGAAAAACAGGUUUGUUUUCCUGGCACUAUAGGAUCCCUUUAAAGGCAUACUAUAGGGCCAGGUAUACAAAGCUGUAUUCCUGUCACUGUAGCUCCCUCCGCAUCCCCACUCCCUUGAACCCCCCCUUCCUCCACCAUGGUGAAUAAAGUUAUUUCUUUCCUUACCCCAGCACCAAUGUCCCUCAAUGCUGGGUAGAGGCUUUGCCUCCUUCAACGUCACUCGAAGGGGGGGCCCUAAUACUCAUGCAUGGCAAGUGCUGUGCGUUCAUUAUGCCUUCCCUAUAGGAAAGCAUUGAAUCAAUGCUUUCUUAUGGAGAAAUAGCUGACGCUAGAUGUCGUCAUGCUGGAUGUCCUCAUGUCCUUGCCCUGCCGCAGUUAGUGGACCAAUGUCACGACUAUAUAAGAAGAACCCUGUGACAGACCCAUCUGUCUGGAUUAUAAAUGCUGUGUUCGCCUGUUUUGCCGGUUACAUGAAUUCCCCCAUUCGUAUGCUUUAUUCAAGGGAAUGUCGGUUUUGUCGAACGGAACUACCGAACGGAUGGCCACCCAGAAGAGAAGUGUGCUGCUGGUUAACCUAUUGAUCCCAAUUAGAACGUUGCGGUUAACCACAGACACUUCUCAAUUAAAACCGAAUGCCGGGUGGUCGUCGUUCGUAUGUCGACCACGAGGCGGCGGCCAUUUUGUCCAUGCGAACGACCAGCGGUGUUCGAUUAUUUCAUGGAUCGGAAAACGGACACUUUUUCAGCCGAACACCGCUGAAGCCGUCGACCUCCCCUUCUCAAUCGACAAAAGCAUACGAAUGCCAGCCGUUCGGGAGAUUCAACCACACGAAUGGACUUAACCCAGAUAGCCGUCCCAUGGAGUCAAUCGCAUACGAAGAACUGAAAGAGACUUUGACUCCAUGGCGAUUGAACUGUGCGAAUGGGAUCUGAGCGCUAUUCUCCAAUAAUGUGCCCUCAGAUCCAGGCUAUCUGGGGAUAUGCAAGACUGAUGUAAAAUGUUCAGCAGUUAUUAAGUUAUGGAUUUUUGUGUGUUUUUGUAACUUGUAUCUAAAAUGGCGAUUGCCUCUGCUCGGGGAGAUAAUUAAAUUACUUCCCAAUUAUUCCCCGAGCAGAGGGGAGGGAACUGUACUGCAUGCUGGGAAUAUUGUGGGGAUGUAUGUCCAGAAUGUCCCCAUGUCCCUCUGUGAUUUCAGUCUCCCAUUUGGUCCCCUAGGGGAGUGUCCACCAAGUGGGAGACCUGCAUAAAUACCGGGCAGGUAGCCCACAGUAAACCAGUUCGUGUUUUACCCUCAAAGCGGAGCUUGGUCUCGUUAUUGGGGGGAUUUGGAUACCAGCGGCGAGAGACUGCUUACUUGGAUUAUUUGCCGCUUGGGAGAUAUUGUCGUUCGGUUAUUAAUUGCCGUUCGUGGAUUUGCGGCUUGCGAAGGGAAUCAGCCGUACAGGUACCGUUCGGGAGUUUGGAGUGUUCCCUGGCUGGCGGUUCGCCUGGUUUUAUUAUACCCGCUACCCGACCACAUUAUUGCGAACGGGGAAUACUCGCUAAACGGCGGUUUGUACAUUUCAGUACUGGAGGUACCGUAACAACUGGUGGCAGCGGUGGGAUGAUCCUCAACGCCCAAAGAGACCACUACAACCAGGACUAAAUGGAAUUACAAUACCAAAACCUGAGGAGGGCUACCCUAAAGGAUUUAUUGGAGCAAAGAGGGGGACAAGCCAGUAACCUCAGGAAGAGGGAUAUUAUUGCGUUAUUGCUGGAAAUGGAUGGAGUACCAGCGGCAGAGGGAACCAAUGGACCCAGCGCAGCUGACAGAACCCCCGAGGAGGCAAGCUUUGACCAGGCGGUAAGAAUCAGGCUGGCACAUUAUGGUCCCAACCCGACUACAGAAACCAUUGACCGGGUCAUGGCAGCUGUGGAGGACAACCUGCUUCGCCAAAGCGGUGCUGCAGCAGCCCCAGUCACAGCAAACCCGGGAGAUAGGAAAAAGGUACCGUUUACUGCGUUUAAAGCCUUCAGUGAAACAGAAGGAGAGAUUGAUGGGUACCUUGCUGAUUUCGAGCGGCAAUGUGCCCUACACAAGGUACCCCUGGAAGAAUGGGUUACUAUAUUGUCCGGCAAGUUAUCAGGCCGGGCCAGCGAGGCGUUUCGGGCCAUUCCUGAUGAGGAGAUUGGGGAUUAUGUGGCCGUCAGGGAAGCUUUACUCUCCCGGUAUGCCGUUACACCUGAGGCGUACCGGAGGAGGUUCCGAGACACUGUCAAGACCUCUGGGGACUCAUACGUGGAAUGGGCAUGUAAGGUGCAUCGCACAGCCGCCCACUGGAUGGCGGGGUGCCAGGCUGUGUCCGGAGAAGAGGUGCUGCAGAUGUUUCUUUUGGAACAUUGUUUCGAUAAAUUGCCAGCCGGGGUCAGGGAGUGGGUAAGGGACCGUAAACCCUCCACUCUGCACGAAGCCGCUCGCCUGGCGGAUGAGUAUACUGACGCCCGCAAACUGGACAGUCUCAUCAACAAGGCUCCCGCCAGAGUGGAGUACAGGCCAGCAGCCCCACCAGCAGCCAACCUAUACCAGCCUCCAAUGCAUCGCCCAGCAGCACCUCCUCCAUCUGCACCGUACCAACAGCCACCUCGGUUCAAUUCACGGGAGUAUGCCCAACCCAUUCGGUGCUACCUGUGCAAGCAACUAGGGCACAAGCGACCCGAGUGUCCGAUGAACAGCGCCAACCAGAACCAGUCCUGGAGGAGACCAGCCGGCGGCAAUCCACGACCUCCCACCCCAGCCGCUCACUGUGUAGAGGAAGAAGAGUGCUGGGGCAUCCUGCAUGAGGCAGACCCCGUUCAGGCUGCCCACCGGGAUAACAGGCAGCACCACCGACAGUGUGUAAAAGUCAACGGGAAGGAGGUCAGUGGUCUACGGGAUACCGGGGCAACCAUGACCUUGCUCCAGAAGCACCUGGUAUCCGAAGCCCAACAUACAGGGGACACGGUCGCAGUGCGAGUGGCCGGGGGUGCCGUGUUUCGUCAUUUGGAUUGGGGAGUGGGCGCCAGACAUGUGAAUGUGGGGGUCAUGAAGGACUUACCCGCGGAUGUCCUCCUUGGCAAUGACUUGGCGCCCCUUGUUUCCGCCUACGCUCCCAUGGGUCCUGCUGAAGUGGAUGCUGUCACGACCCGUGCCCAGACCCGUGCCGCCGAGACCGGCCCACCUGCUGCUGAGACCCAGGUAAGACUCUCUACCCCAACUUGUACCUUAGACCAGGCCCCUUUAGGCUGGGAUACCCCAGAGAUGUACGGGAGGGAAACAAGGGAAGACCCGACGCUAGCCAAGUACAGGGCCAGGGCCGAUUCUGGGGGAGAAGGAGUAGAUGGGGAGCACUACGAGUGGGUGGGGGAUAGAUUGUACAGGAUCCCGAAACCGUCCCAGAAGCCGAGUACCCCCCCCCGCAGAAUCGACAGCUAGUGGUGCCUGCAAAAUACCGGCAGGAGAUUCUGCGGACUGGGCACGAUGUGCCAUUAGCAGGCCAUCUAGGUUCCCGCCGCACAGCUCAUAGGAUCACACAAAAUUUCUUCUGGCCCAAUUUUUAACCAAGAUGUGCGGGUUUACUGUAGCACGUGUGACACUUGUCAACGGGUAGGUAAGCGGGGGGAUCACCCAAAAGCUAGGCUUCAGUCGAUGCCUAUUAUUGGAGAACCCUUUUCCCGCAUAGCCGUUGACAUUGUGGGUCCACUGGCCAGGGCUAGCCCAUCAGGUAAGAAGUAUAUUCUCACCGUGGUAGACUAUGCCACACGUUAUCCAGAGGCAGUAGCGCUGUCUAAUAUAGAGGCAGAGACGGUUGCUGAUGCCCUGGUUAAAAUCUUCACUAGGGUCGGGUUCCCUCAGGAGAUUCUCUCCGAUCAGGGAACCCAGUUCACCGCUGUGCUUACCCAGCAGCUGUGGAAGGUGUGCGGUAUUAAACCUCUGCUUAGCUCACCGUAUCACCCACAGACUAACGGUCUCUGCGAGCGAUUUAAUGGCACCCUCAAACAGAUGUUGAGGACCUUUACUGACACUUGCAGAGAUUGGGAGCGAUUCCUGCCUCAUCUGCUAUUUGCAUACAGAGAGGUGCCCCAGGAAUCUACUGGGUUCUCCCCUUUUGAGUUACUCUAUGGGAGAAGGGUCCGUGGACCCCUAGAUCUCAUUAGAGGACACUGGGAGGGGGAGACAGAGCAAGAAGGGACCCCCAUAGUACCAUAUGUCCUGGAACUCCGGGACCGCAUGGAGAAACUAUCCCUGAUGGUCAGGGAGAAUCUCCAGGCGGCCCAGGGGAGACAGAAACGGUGGUACGAUCGGGGUGCCCGACAGCGGGUCUUCCAGGUUGGGCAGAAGGUUCUGGUACUCAAGCCUGUGAAGACAGACAAGAUGCAAGCAUCUUGGCAGGGCCCAUAUAAAGUGUUAGCUCAGGUGUGUGAUACUACCUACCUUAUAGCCAGCUGUUCAGAUGAAAGGAUUCAGCGAUCCUUCCAUGUGAACAUGCUGAAGGAGUAUCAGGAACGACCAGAGGAUGUUGCGGCGGUAUGUGCCCCAGCUACUGACGACCCCGAGAACUUACCGUUACCUGACUUGCUAGAGAGAGACCUCCAGACAGACCUUACUAGUCUUGUACAGCUAGGGGACCGGCUAAACCCGGCAGAGAAGGUACAGGCGAGACAGUUACUGUGGGAGAAGCAGGCGACGUUCUCCCAAGAACCCGGGUACACUACCCUAGCUGUACACAAGGUCGAGACACCCGGACAGAACCCCCUACGACAACCCCCGUACCGUAUCCCUGAAGCAGUCCGAGAAGGAAUGCGGACGGAGAUACAGGAGAUGACCAGGCUGGGGGUUAUCGAACACUCAGACAGUCCUUGGGCCUCGCCUGUAGUUCUGGUGCCUAAGAAAGAUGGGACCACCCGGUUCUGUGUGGACUACAGGCGGCUCAACGAGCGGACCACCACUGACGCCUACCCUAUGCCCCGGGUAGACGAGUUAUUAGACCGCAUUGCCAGGGGGCGCUACUUGACCACCAUUGACCUGUGUAAAGGUUAUUGGCAGAUCCCCCUGGCCGAGGAUGCUAUCCCUAAGUCGGCAUUCGCCACCCCAUUUGGCCUGUACCAAGUUAAGGUUAUGCCAUUUGGGAUGAAGAAUGCUCCGGCUACGUUCCAGCGUAUGGUGGAUAGGCUCCUCGAUGGCUUCCAGGAUUUUGCAUGUGCAUACCUCGAUGACAUUGCGAUCUACAGUGAGUCCUGGGAAGACCAUUUAGUACACGUGGGGGUGGUGCUGGACAAGAUUCGGGCCGCAGGCCUGACCUUGAAGCCAGACAAGUGCCAUCUAGGCAUGGCAGAAGUACAGUACUUGGGUCACAGAGUAGGCUGUGGGAGCCAGAGACCGGAGCCAGCCAAGGUAGAGGCGGUGGCUAACUGGCCCACACCUAUCACCAAGACCCAAGUGCUGGCCUUCUUGGGGACGGCAGGGUAUUACCGACGUUUUGUCCCUGACUACAGUACGGUUGCUAAGCCCUUGACUGACCUGACUAAGAAGAAUUUGCCUAAGCAGGUCCUGUGGUCUCCAGCUUGUGAAGCCGCGUUUCAAGCACUUAAGCAGGCUCUUGUGAAUGCCCCUGUCCUGGCUGCCCCAGUCCCUAACAAACGUUUUCUUGUACAUACAGAUGCUUCCAUGUAUGGACUGGGGGCUGUGCUAAGCCAGGUCGGGGAAGAUGGAGGAGAGCACCCUGUCGCAUACUUAAGCAGAAAGUUACUACCCCGGGAAGUAAGUUAUGCGGCAGUGGAGAAAGAGUGUUUAGCCCUGGUCUGGGCACUGAAGAAAUUGAGCCCAUAUUUAUACGGACAAGAAUUCUCCCUUAUUACGGACCAUAACCCCCUUGUCUGGCUUAACCGGGUCUCAGGAGACAAUGGCAGACUGCUGAGGUGGAGUUUGGCACUACAGCCUUACAACUUCACCAUCAGCUACCGACCCGGUAAGCAGAAUGGGAACGCGGAUGGGUUGUCCCGGCAAACAGACGUCCCUACUUCUUCCCAGUCCGGUCAUCCCCAAGUUGACCCGCCAAAGGGUCAAGCCGGGUCUGCCGGAGUGUUCCACAAGGGGGGAGCCGUGUGACAGACCCAUCUGUCUGGAUUAUAAAUGCUGUGUUCGCCUGUUUUGCCGGUUACAUGAAUUCCCCCAUUCGUAUGCUUUAUUCAAGGGAAUGUCGGUUUUGUCGAACGGAACUACCGAACAGAUGGCCACCCAGAAGAGAAGUGUGCUGCUGGUUAACCUAUUGAUCCCAAUUAGAACGUUGCUGUUAACCACAGACACUUCUCAAUUAAAACCGAAUGCCGGGUGGUCGUCGUUCGUAUGUCGACCACGAGGCGGCGGCCAUUUUGUCCAUGCGAACGACCAGCUGUGUUCGACGAUUAUUUCAUGGAUCGGAAAACGGACACUUUUUCAACCGAACACCGCUGAAGCCGUCGACCUCCCCUUCUCAAUCGACAAAAGUAUACGAAUGCCAGCCGUUCGGGAGAUUCAACCACACGAAUGGACUUAACCCAGAUAGCCGCCCCAUGGAGUCAAUCGCAUACCGAAGAACUGAAAUAGACUUUGACUCCAUGGCGAUUGAACUGUGCGAAUGGGAUCUGAGCGCUAUUCUCCAAUAAUGUGCCCUCAGAUCCAGGCUAUCUGGGGAUAUGCAAGACUGAUGUAAAAUGUUCAGCAGUUAUGAAGUUAUGGAUUUUUGUGUGUUUUUGUAACUUGUAUCUAAAAUGGCGAUUGCCCCUGCUCGGGGAGAUAAUUGAAUUACUUCCCAAUUAUCCCCCGAGCAGAGGGGAGGGAACUGUACUGCAUGCUGGGAAUAUUGUGGGGAUGUAUGUCCAGAAUGUCCCCAUGUCCCUCUGUGAUUUCAGUUCUCACCGCGGGGAGACCUGCAUAAAUACCGGCAGGUAGCCCACAGUAAACCAGUUCGUGUUUUACCCUCAAAGCGGAGCUUGGUCUCGUUAUUGGGGGGAUUUGGAUACCAGCGGCGAGAGACUGCUUACUUGGAUUAUUUGCCGCUUGGGAGAUAUUGUCGUUCGGUUAUUAAUUGCCGUUCGUGGAUUUGCGGCUUGCGAAGGGAAUCAGCCGUACAGGUACCGUUCGGGAGUUUGGAGUGUUCCCUAGCUGGCGGUUCGCCUGGUUUUAUUAUACCCGCUACCCGACCACAUUAUUGCGAACGGGGAAUACUCGCUAAACGGCGGUUUGUACAUUUCAGUACUGGAGGUACCGUAACAAACCCAAAACACACAGACCCUAAUCUGCUAAAGGAAAGGUAUAACAUAUUGCCGGGCCUUAGAAUGUCCGGAUUUAAUGUAAAGAGUAGCCAAGGAGAAAGCCACGGUCAAACGUAGGGGAGAACAGCAUACAAGCCAAGUAGACGCGCAAGCAGAGUGUGCAGCAUCUGACCCGUCGCUGGAUCGGGGAGCUCCGGAACAGGUAAGCAUGACAACCAAAAGUCCAAUAAAAUUCCGGAAACGUCUGGCUGUCUGGUACGAAUGCAAUAGGGACAAUUGGGACACUGCACCCAGUCCUGUUCAAUUAGUUGAAGUUGUCUGUGUCCCUUUAACCCCUUAAGGACACAUGACAUGUGUGACAUGUCAUGAUUCCCUUUUAUUCCAGAAGUUUGGUCCUUAAGGGGUUAAGGAAUAACACACACACACACACACACACACACUCUCUCGCUCAGCAGUGGCGGAUCCAGAGCCUGAUCUCGGGAGGGGCACUUGUAGAUUAUUUAAAGAAAUAAUCCAGACACAAUAACUACUACAGCUCAGUGUAGUGGUUAUGGUGUCAAUAGUGCCGGGACCCCCUCCUAGAGUAAGUAGUCAAACAGGUCUGCUGGGAAAUGGGGCGGUAGUAGGGCAUAGGAGCAGUGGCGUGUGUGAGUGGUGCAAUGUGUAAGGGGUGUAGUGUGUGUGUGUGUGAGGGGGACAGUGUGUGAGCAGUGUGUGUGUGUGUGUGUGAAGGUUGUAGUGUGUGAGUAGGGGGGCAGUGUAUGUCAGGGAUGCAGUGUAUGUGUGGGACAGUAUGUGUGUGUAACAGUUGCAGUGUGUGUGUGAAUGUGGGCAAAGUGUGUGUAUGGGGCGGCAGUGUAUGGGGGCAGUGUGUGUGUAUGGGGAGCAGUAUGUGUGUAUGAGGGCAGUAUGUGUGCAUUGGGGGCAGUAUGUAUGCAUGGGGGGCAGUNNNNNNNNNNNNNNNNNNNNNNNNNNNNNNNNNNNNNNNNNNNNNNNNNNNNNNNNNNNNNNNNNNNNNNNNNNNNNNNNNNNNNNNNNNNNNNNNNNNNAUAUUUUACUUUGUCUACUUUUAAGAAGGCUCCCUGUAUUUUCUCAACUAUUAGGAUUAUUUGUACCAUAUUAAAUACAUAAAAGGAAUAUGUAAAACUGAAUUCUACGUUAAAUUGAAUUAAUCUCAUGUUACUCUUGUCAUUAUGUCAGAGGAAAGAUAUCUUAGCAGGAUUUCCAAUUAUUAAAGUAAUCUAUGAUAAGUGCAGUUAAGUAAAAUGCAAUGAAUGUAAGUGUGAAAGUGGUCUUUCAUGUUUACACAUUAUUAUUUAACGUUCUACUGGAAUUUAAACACAAAUGUGAAGCUGCUAGACUUGGCAGAUCAUUUAAAAGCUUACAGGAUUUUCUAACCAGUCAUUUGAAAUGACAUUUUCACUACCUAAAUAUUUGUCUAUGAAAUGGGUUGCAUGGCACACGUUCUGGCAAAGGAACAGGUUCCUUGUGAGUUCGAAAACAGCACUGUUUCCCCAUAAACCUGUCAUGCUUUAUUUUAAUGAAACAUAUAUAAAAUGAGAUGAUGUUUGCCACGUCUCAGCAAACUAAUUCACUUUGGCUUUUCCCUGUUGAGUUCCACUAUUAGCACUUUAAUCAUUUUGUCUUUAAGAAGCAAGGCAGAAAAGUUUUACUUUUGGAACUCCAACAAAAAAUGUUAGAAGGUGUUUAAUUUCCAGGUAUUCCAUCCAUUUGUAUAAACACAGAAAUAUGGCCUUAUUCAUAGAGUCUUAUGCACAAGGCUAUGUGUUUAGAUAGUGUAAACCACUUUGCUGAUCGGGUUGCACUAGUGGUUACAUUAUGGUGUUGGUGGUAGACAUUGUUGAGUAAAACGUUGAUGAGUAGAACUGCUUUCUUAAGUAUUAUACUAAAGUUUCAUUUCUCUCCACUAGGAAACUUAAUAUAUUUUAAAAUAACACCUACCACCCAACUGCUAGAAAAAUAUCACAUUUUUAACACAAUAAUAUCCAACUAUCGUAGUGCCGUCACUUUCGAAACCAUGGUACUUUACGGUGAAGGACAAUCAAACUGCCUACCUCUGGUUACCACUUUAUUAUAGCACGAGUGCAGUUGAGCUGCCUUUACCCCAUGAAUUGGACUCCGUGGGUGAUGUGUGAAAGGUUAAUUGCAAAAAUAAUAGGGUUUGGGUUGUAAAACGUAUCAAAGCUAUUUACAGUAACACUCAUUUAAAAAUGAAAGUCCUGUCUAACUUUAUAAAUCAAAAAUAUUGCCAGGUGCAGGACAAGGGUUGGCAACCUGUUAAUCUGUAGUAGUUGUUUAAAUGCAACUCCCUUGAUCCCCAGCCAUCAAUAACCAGAGGAGCUUAGGGAUGAAUAGGAGGUUGGGUUUGUGUUUCAAGAGCAAUAAUUCCCUAGGCCUGUAUUUUCUUGCCUCUUUCACUUGUACUUUUCCAUCCAUUAUUUUAAGGUAUUUUAAUUCUGUUCAAUAUUGAAAGUAUGUAUGGUGAAAAUAUUUUAUCUCCAUAAAAAUGCAGGUGGAAGGGGGAGUCAUAGUAAGUUGAUUACUAAAUGGUAUAAAUGUUCUGGUAUGUGACUAAAAUAAACAAAAGUAAAAGAGCUAGAAGGUUUCAAUAGCUGGUACCCCAAAUGCAGGUCUUUAUGUAAAGUAAACAUAGGAGCUGAUCGGAUGGUAUAACAUGGAACAGGCAUAUGGGCAAUUGCUCUGGGAGCAAAGUUUUUAGAGGCGCAAAAUUUCAAAAGAAAAAAGAAAGUAGUUAUAAUACUAACUAUAAUAGCACACCAUCCUUCUCACACAGAACAUCUCCCAAAGUUUGAACAUUCUACACAGUUUUUCAACUUGACAAGGCAAAUAAACAUUGCCACAUAACAUUUUACAGUUUUUUUUAGCCUCGCUUUUGCUUCCAUACCUGCCUUGUCUCCAGUGGCGUACACAUGACCCAUGGGGCCCCGGUGCAAAAAUUGAUCCGUGGGCCCCCUCUCAAGGCUACUACUUCAGCUGGGUCCCUCAGUGGCCCCUCUUCCUCGCCAGCUACUCAGCUACUGGUCGGAUCGCAACACAUGGUGGCGGGCACCUGGUCGCAGGGGUUGCAGGGCUGCAACCCCGCGACCGCGGUAUGCACACACACUUAAAGGACCACUACAGACACCCAGAUCACAUCAGCUCAAUGAAGUGGUCUGGGUGCCAGGUCCCUCUAGUUUUAACCUGCAGCUGAAAACAUAGCCGUUUCAGAGAAACGGCUAUGUUUCACUGAGGGUUAAUCCAGCCUCUGGUGGCUGUCUCAUUGACAGCUGCUAGAGGAGCUUCCGCGAUUCUCACUGUGAAAAUCACAGUGAGAAGACACUGAACGUCCACAGGAAAGCAUUGAGUAAUGCUUUCCUAUGGGCGGUUUAAAUGCGCGCGCGCCUCUUGCCGCGCAUGUGCAUUUCGGAGCUGAGUGGCAGACACUGGGGAGUCCUACGCUGGAGAAAGGUAAAUGCUGAAGACACACACACACACUCUCACGAACAGACGCAUACACACUAGCUAACAGACACACACAUUUACUGACAGAGACACACUCAGCGACAGACAUACAUACACUUUCACUGACAAACACACACUCACUAACAGACAUCAAACACACUCAGUAACAGACAUACACAGUAAUACACUCACUAGCAGACACACACCCAAUAACAGACACAUUCACUGACACACACACUAACACACGCACUAACACAAACAAACACUGACACACUAACACACACACACUCUAAUACACACACACUAACACACACACACUCUAACACACACACACUCUAACACACACACACUAACACACACACACUAACACACACUCUAACACACACACACCCCCACACACACACCAACACACACACCCCCAACACACACACACCCCCAACACACACACCAACACACACACACUCUAACACACACACACUCUAACACACACACACUAACACACACACACUAACACAUUUUUUUUUUCAAAUGUAAUCCCCCCAGCCUCCUUACCUUUUGGAGUGCUGGGGGGAUUCCCUGGGGUCCAGUGGUGCUGCUGACCCCAGGCAGGCGGAUGGCCGGUCGGGCAGGCGGGCGGGCGCGCGAGGGAGCACUCAGUGCUUCCUCUUCAGCUCCCUCGCGCGCCGCGUAGGGAUGCCGGAGCCGGAAGAUGACGUCAUCUGCCGGCUCCGGUAUCAUUGCGGUGCGCGAGGGAGCUGAAGAGGAAGCACUGAGUGCUCCCUCGCGCGCCCGCCCGCCUGCCCGACCGGCCAUCCGGGUGUCAGCAGGGCCAGCCUCAGAGGGGCCCUGGGUCGGUCGGCUCCUGGGCCCCCCAGGGGAAGAGGCUGGCCCUGUGGCUACAUACCGGGUCGCAGGGGCGGCCGGGCCCCCUGGUGGGCCGGGCCCGGUCGCAACCGCGACCCCUGCGACCCUGGUAUGUACGCCACUGUUUGUGUUAUUUUCUCAUGGUGUGUAUGUUUGAAUAAAUAUACAUUUUUGGCUGUAAUACAAUCUGAUUUGAUUAUUGGAACUUUGGUGUGACAAACAUCUCAGGAACAGCUAAUUUCCUACAUUUAAUGAUGGAGAAUGUGAGCAGGAUUUAAGUCUGUACAGAAAAACUGUUUAAGAUCCUGCAAAAUAAAUUGUAUCAUCCUAAUUUAAAAGAAUGAUGUAUACAUAUAGUACAGGAGUGUCUCAUAUGUGCUCAAUUUAAUCCAAGACCUAAAGACUAGAAACCAAAGUUACAGAGAGUAUCUGUGGCAAAAAAGGACCACGGAACUGUAUUUAAAUUGUUUUACAUUAACAUUUAAAUUGAAAAAUAAACGCUUGUAGUUAAAGGGAGUAGUUGGGUAACACAUUUACUAGGAGUAUUAAUGUAUAUUCGUGCAACUCCAAACUCUAAAACGCAAGUGUCACCUCAUGAGUUAAUGACAGGCAGAACAAUGCCAAUCACUUUCCCCAAUGAACCUUUUGUUCCAAGUACUUUCAAAUUUGCAUCAGGACAUGCUGAAUAGUUGAAAGUAUUACAGGAACAGCUGCAAUCAGUUUUAAAAUUUGCUGCUUCAAAUAUUGUCUCUUCUGGUAAACAAUGGGUUAAAAUGAUACUGUAGUGCCAGGAAUACAAAGCUGCAUUCCUGGCACUACCGAUUCCUCUACCUCCCCCUUGCCUUGUGCCCCCUUCCCUAGUAAAUAGAGGGUUAAAAACCCUUUAUUUACUUAACUUAUCCCAGUGCUGAUAUUCCUCGGUGCUGUGUGGAAGCUCCGCCCCCUCCUCCACCCCGCGACAAGCAGGGUCUAAUGCACAUGUGUGGCAAACGCCGCACGCGCAUUAGACCUAUCCUUCGGAAAGCAUUGAAUCAAUGCUUUGUUAUGGGGAAAAUCUGAUGUCCUCAUGUAGAGCGUGAGGACGUCCAGCGUUAGAUAAUGGACCAAAAGUCUGUUACGAUUCUGGAAGCGCCCCCGGUUACUCUCUGGUAGCCAGCCACUGAAGGCAGACCUAGCGCUGCAAUAUAAACAUUGCAGUUCUCUAUUGUGAUUUUCUAGCUUAAAAGGGAGAACUUGACAAUCAGUUACAAGUGUUUAUACUUGAUAUAGAAAGUCUGAGGGAGAGUAUGACAUGAAAAUAAGCUUCACUAUAGAAUGAGGAUAAACUGCUACUCAGUACAAAGAAACAAUAGUAGUACUAUAAAAAAUAAAUAUAAUAAAAAUAAAAAUAAACCAUCAUAGACAGAAAUUACCCGUAGUUACUCCUCUGUGGUGACAUAUGAGCAAUUAAAAUAGCCAUUUGAUAAUCAGAUAUUAGCUAAUAGCAGUCAAUUGGACCUCACAAGUCCGUCUAAUGGACGUCAUAAGGUUAAGCAUCUAUGAAACUGCAGGAAUAUUGCAAAGUACGGGCACAAACAAGGUCAAUUGAGUUAACUUCUCCAUAUCCCAUCAAUGGGGAGAUCUGGUUGUAACCCCUCCAGGAUUAUUAGUGUACAGAGGAGUCCCUAGUCUUCUUAGGAAAGCAUUCACUUCUGACAAGUACCUAAUAUAAUGUAUGGCAUCCUCAUGUGUGAUCAUGGGAAGUUUAGAAUGUGAUGCCUUAGGGUCUCAGACUUAUGGUCAUGCUUCAAUAAUUGUCUCCAGGCCAGAGAGAUUUGUGUCAAAUUAAAUGUUAGCAAAUGGGUUUCAAAAGAAUAUCCUGACUGUUCUUAGACAGUCAGGAAUUGUACAAAUACAUAACUCAAAGUCUCUAUGUAAGAAUUUCAGUGGCUUAAGAAACUUAUACUAGUAUGUGAAAAAAUCCAUUAAUGCUAGUGGAGUUUGUUUGUUUAUGAGAUAAAACAGUUCAUAAUAGGCAUGGAAUAAAAUUUGUCCAUUCUUCCAAAAAAAAUUCCUCUUAUACCCCACACAUUUUUUAAGCAACCCACAUUCUCCACCAGACACACCCUGUGAUGGAUGAAAGUGAACAGAUUUGAGAUUUGCCUUUUCCAGAUAUCACCACAGUCCUUCAAUGUUGCCUGUUGUCCCGCAGUAGGGCUUUAAUUUCCCUUUUGUAUUUGGUCUUCCUUAUUAUCCUUUAGCAUGAUGGCAACUAUGUUGUGGUAGGUGAUUAGACGGAUCCCGCCCAAGAAGAACUUCUCNNNNNNNNNNNNNNNNNNNNNNNNNNNNNNNNNNNNNNNNNNNNNNNNNNNNNNNNNNNNNNNNNNNNNNNNNNNNNNNNNNNNNNNNNNNNNNNNNNNNUUUAGUCUUAAUGUGCCAUUUUAAGUACAAGGUGGCUGCAUAAGCAUAAUAUCUAUAAGUUGUGAACUUGGGUCAGGAUCUGAUACCGCUGUUAAGAGCAUUCCCCAAUCCUGUCAAGUUAAUAUUUAAGCUUCUGAAAACAGAUAAAUACAGGUAAAUGUGUUUUUUUUGCUGCCAAAAUACUGAGAAUCUUGGAUCCCAAACAAUAUCUGAUCUGCUGGAAAUUACCUCCACCCACCUACAUGUAAUUUUAGAGGUUACAAUACUGUUUAAUUAGUAUUAUUUUGUAAAAGUCGGUGGAUACUAAAUGUUGCCUUGUUUUUUCAUUUUUUUUGUUUAUUUCUUACAUUCAAAGCAUGUGCUUUUGCAUAAACAUNNNNNNNNNNNNNNNNNNNNNNNNNNNNNNNNNNNNNNNNNNNNNNNNNNNNNNNNNNNNNNNNNNNNNNNNNNNNNNNNNNNNNNNNNNNNNNNNNNNNAGUCCUGGAUGCUGGAGGUUCGUACAGGGUGGAAGGAAGAGUUCUUUCCCACACAGUCCUGGAGGACAGAAGCUGAUCCAGGGUGGAAGGAAGAGGGCGAGACUCCAGUCAAGAUACGGUGGUUGCGGAGUCUGCGGUGGUUGUGGUGUCUGCUGCAGCGCUUGGAGUCCUCAGGAAGCGCUAGGAGCAUCCGUCAACGGAGGGUAUUCAGUCGGAGUACAAGGAGCUCCGUUACAAGCACUAUUUAAUUUGUUGUUAAUUCCAUGAUCAUGAGAUAAUGUGAAUACCAAUAAGAGAUAAGCCGAGAUGUAACUUUAUUUUUAAUAGUUCAAAUGUCUUGGAUUGUGAUAACGUUGAAAAUACACAAAAACACAAUUCUAGCCUGAGUUCAGGAGGUGUAAUGGGAUGAAUAAAUGGCUGUGAUUAUAACUGAUGCAUUUGACUGGUAAAACUAACAUGAAUGUACUUUAGUUUCAAAUUACAUGUCACACAAUAUAAUAUAUAUAAUUUAACCUCCUAAUAAUAAUAAUAAUAAUAUCUUUAAAAACAGAACUUAAACAAGUUGCAGAACAAUUGGCAAUGAUGUCAAACCUUUUUUCUUUUCUUUUUGUAAAAUAUGCUUUAAAGUAGUUUUUUCCUCAGUAGGAAUAGAAAUAAUCUAGUUGAAAAAAAGGCCUGUCACAUUUUCUCUAGAUCUCCCUUAGAACCAGGAAAUGCUUGUGCCAGCAGGUAAACAAAAAAGCAUAUAGGAUACAAUACAAUAGCUAUACUGAAGCAGAGUAUACAAUAGCUAUACAUUCUAAUUACUGAUGAAAAGAAACCAGCUCAGUACUGUUUUCAGCAUCAGCAAGGUAAACAGUAUAUAAAGGCUCUUCAUGCUAUGUAACAGCACAACUUGCAUGAGCAGAUCAACCAUCACUGAAAAUGGGAAAGGUAAGAUGAUCUGAAUAUUGUAAAUAUUUGCAACACAAGAAAUUUUGGAAACAAUAAACAGAUUUUUUUUUUUUUAAAUGAACCAAAGCAAAUUCAAGUUUAAAAUGCUUACAUUGAAUGCCAGCAAACUUUAUCCUAUACAAUAUAUCCUGGUGAGUUUAUCUAGGCCAGAAACAUGACAACAUAAUAUUCCAUAAACUAGUUUUGGACAUUUGCCGCCUCAUCAAAUACAAAUUCAUCAGAACACAUGCUUCACAUGUUUACUUUUUUCAGACUCAAGAGUAAGAUUUUUUCAGUUUUUGAAAGUACUUUCUAGUGAAUGCCACUAUUAACCGUAAUAAAUUGCUAUAAUUAUGUGAAAGUGAAUGCAAGUUCACCAAUCUAAAAAAACACAAAAUGUACCAAAAACAUAUAUUCCAAUUCGGUCCUAAACUUAUAUGUUUAACACCUACACUUUAUUAUUUGAACAGGAUAAUAGUAAAUGUUUUUAGGAAUCUAUAGCAUCAAGUAAUCAAACCAGAAACUAUUUUUUAAAUGAAAUUAUUAACCACUAAAACAAUAACAAACUAAAAAAUCUAAAAUGUUCAAAUGCAUGGUUGUUUCACAGAUUGUCUUCUACGAGGAUCGUAACUUCCAGGGCCGCUCUUAUGAGUGCAACUCUGAGUGUCCAGAUAUGUCCUCAUAUUUUCAGCGCUGUAAUUCCAUCCGAGUGGAAAGUGGAAACUGGAUUCUGUAUGAGCACCCCAACUAUAGAGGACGCCAGUAUUACCUUAGCAGGGGAGAAUAUCCUAAUUUCCAGCAAUGGAUGGGUUUCAAUGACUCCAUCAGAUCUUGUCGUAUUAGCCCACAGGUAAAGAUAUUUACCAAAAUAGUUAAGAACCUUACAUAAAUAUGAUGCAGUACAAAAAAACAUUAUUUUCCAAUUAUCAAUUAUUAUAGGUUUACCUUUGCAAAUAUGACCUUUUUUGACUAUUAUUCAUUAUUUUAUGGAAUAUAUCUUCAAUUCAAAAUUCCAUUGUCAGGUAACAGGUGGUUAACAUGGAUAAAUAUAUAUAUAUAUAUAUAUAUAUAUAUUUAUAUAUAUAUAUAUAUAUAUGUAUAUAUAUAUAUAUAUAUAUAUAUAUAUAUAUAUAUAUAUAUAUAUAUAUAUAUAUAUAUAUAUAUAUAUAUAUAUUCCUGUAUAGAUUUUUGAUGUUUACAUGCAAUUAUACAAUUAUUUUACUCUUGUUUAUAAAUAUUUUUUUCUUCGUAAAGCACCAUGGAUCAUUCAGAGUAAAGGUCUAUGAGAGGGAGGAUUUCCGAGGUCAGAUGAUGGAGUUCACUGAAGAUUGUGUUAAUGUCAAUGAGAGAUUCCGUUACCAUGACAUCCACUCCUGCCAGGUGAUUGAUGGCUACUGGAUGUUCUAUGAGGAACCAAAUUACAAAGGACGCCAGUAUUACCUGAGACCUGGAGAGUACAAAAGAUAUACUGACUGGGGUGCCAUGAGCCCAAGAAUUGGCUCAUUCAGGAGACUUCACCAUUUCUAAUAAGUUGUAUUUAUUACUAAAUCAGCAUGUCAUUAAGAAUAUAAUAAAAGCAUCAAAAAUUAUCUUUAAGGUCUAUAUUUUUUCAUUUUCUAUUUAAGUUGUGGUUUCAUACCUUUUACUUUACAUGCAAAAUGCAAACACUUAUUUUAAACCACAGUUCAGUAAAUAAAUUAUUAAUAUAACAGUGGUUCCUAUAAAAACAAAUAAUGAGUAAGUAAUAAGGGGAAUUAUAUUAUUUUUUACAUAUAGUCCCUCAGGAAGUUGAAGUUGUGACAUCAAAAUACUUAUAGCUUUUUUUACUGAAGGUGGUUUGACCCAAGAUAUUACAAGAUAAUACUAAUGAAACAGUAUUGUAACCUCUAAAACUACAUGUAGGUGGGUGGAGGUAAUUUCCAGCAGACCAGAUAUUGUUUGGGAUCCAAGAUUCUCAGUAUUUUGGCAGCAAAAAACACAUUUACCUGUAUUUAUCUGUUUUCAGAAGCUUAAAUAUUAACUUGACAGGAUUGGGGAAUGCUCUUAACAGCGGUAUCAGAUCCUGACCCUAGUUCACAACGUAUAGAUAUUAUGCUUAUGCAGCCGCCUUGUGCUUAAAAUGGCACAUUAAGUCAAAAGAGAAGUUCUUCUUGGGCGGGAUCCAUCUAAUCACCUACCACAACAUAGUUGCCAUCAUGCUAAAGGAUAAUAAGGAAGACCAAAUACAAAAGGGAAAUUAAAGCCCUACUGUGGGACAACAGGCAACAUUGAAGGACUGUGGUGAUAUCUGGAAAAGGCAAAUCUCAAAUCUGUUCACUUUCAUCCAUCACAGGGAGUGCCUGGUGGAGAAUGUGGGUUGCUUAAAAAAUGUGUGGGGUACAAGAGGAAUUUUUUUUGGAAGAAUGGACAAAUUUUAUUCCAUGCCUAUUAUGAACUGUUUUAUCUCAUAAACAAACAAACUCCACUAGCAUUAAUAGAUUUUUUUCACACACUAGUAUAAGUUUCUUAAGCCACUCAAAUUCUUACAUAGAGACUUUGAGUUAUGUAUUUGUACAAUUCCUGACUGUCUAAGAACAGUCAGGAUAUUCUUUUGAAACAUUUAAUUUGCUAACAUUUAAUUUGACACAAAUCACUCUGGCCUGGAGACAAUUAUUGAAGCAUGACCAUAAGUCUGAGACCCUAAGGCAUCACAUUCUAAACUUCCCAUGAUCACACAUGAGGAUGCCAUACAUUAUAUUAGGUACUCUUCAGAAGUGAAUGCUUUCCUAAGAAGACUAGGGACUCCUCUGUACACUAAUAAUCCUGGAGGGGUUACAACCAGAUCUCCCCAUUGAUGGGAUAUGGAGAAGAUAACUCAAUUGACCUUGUUUGUGCCCGUACUUUGCAAUAUUCCUGCAGUUUCAUAGAUGCUCAACCUUAUGACGUCCAUUUGACGGACUUGUGAGGUCCAAUUGACUGCUAUUAGCUAAUAUCUGAUUAUCAAAUGGCUAUUUUAAUUGCUCAUAUGUUACCACAGAGGAGUAACUACGGGUAGUUUCUGUCUAUGAUGGUUUAUUUUUAUUUUUAUUAUAUUUAUUUUUUAUAGUACUACUAUUGUUUCUUUGUACUGAGUAGCAGUUUAUCCUCAUUCUAUAGUGCAGCUUAUUUUCAUGUCAUACUCUCCCUCAGACUUUCUAUAUCAAGUAUAAACACUUGUAACUGAUUGUCAAGUUCUCCCUUUUAAGCUAGCAAAUCACAAUAGAUGACUGCAAUGUUUAUAUUGCAGCUCUAGGUCUGCCUUCAGUGGCUGUCUACCAGAGAGUAACUGGGGGCGCUUCCAGAAUCGUAACAGACUUUUGGUCCUUUAUCUAACGCUGGACGUCCUCACCCUCUACAUGAGGACGUCAGAUUUUCCCCAUAACAAAGCAUUGAUUCAAUGCUUUCCGAAGGGGAGGUCUUAUGCGCGUGCGGCGUUUGCCACACAUGCGCAUUAGACCCUGCUUGUCGCAGGGUGGAGGAGGGGGCGGAGCUUCCACACAGCACCGAGGAAUAUCGGCACUGGGAUAAGUUAAGUAAAUAAAGGGUUUUUAACCCUCUAUUUACUAGGGAAGGGGGCGCAGGGCAAGGGGGAGGUAGAGGAAUCGGUAGUGCCAGGAAUGCAGCUUUGUAUUCCUGGAACUACAGUAUCCCUUUAACACAUUGUUUACCAGAAGAGACAAUAUUUGAAGCAGCACAUUUUAAAACUGAUUGCAGCUGUUCCUGUAAUACUUUCAACUAUUCAGCAUGUCCUGAUGCAAAUUUGAAAGUACUUGGAACAAAAGAUUCAUUGGGGAAAGUGAUUGGCAUUGUUCUGCCUGUCAUUAACUCAUGAGGUGACACUUGCGUUUUAGAGUUUGGAGUUGCAUGAAUAUACAUUAAUACUCCUAGUAAAUAUGUUACCCAACUACUCCCUUUAACUACAAGCGUUUAUUUUUCAAUUUAAAUGUUAAUGUAAAACAAUUUAAAUAGAGUUCCAUGGUCGUUUUGCCACAGAUACUCUCUGUAACUUUGGUUUCUAGUCUUUAGGUCUUGGAUUAAAUUGAGCACAUAUGAGACACUCCUGUACUAUAUGUAUACAUCAUUCUUUUAAAUUAGGAUGAUACAAUUUAUUUUGCAGGAUCUUAAACAGUUUUUAUGUACAGACUUAAAUCCUGCCCACAUUCUCCAUUAUUAAAUGUAGGAAAUUAGCUGUUCCUGAGAUGUUUGUCACACCAAAGUUCCAAUAAUCAAAUCAGAUUGUAUUGCAGCCAAAAAUGUAUAUUUAUUCAAACAUACACACCAUGAGAAAAUAACACAAAGUCUUUGCACACAUCUGGACCAAUACAGCAAUGUGUAAGCACUUCAAGAUAAUAUUCAUUUUUGUUGUUAGAAGUAUUGGUGAGGAAUUUCUAACUGUAAAUGUUUGUAUAUGUCUAAAAUUCAGUUACUCACGAGGCGUACACAUAAGGUUACCUGACACUUUAAAAUAUGUGGCCAUCAUAGAAAAAGGUUGUGGCUUAACCAUUCUGUCCAAUCUCUGAUUAGAGCCAGACAUUAUACAAAUGGUUAGGAAAUAGAGGUAGGUGAUGUAUAGAGUCCCACAAGGGGAAACUAACAUCAGGAGAGCUCCACUGUUUAAGAAAUGAGGAAUGGGGCCCUCCCUUUAAUCAAUCUAAGGAUAAAAAGGGAUAUGCAAACAAAAAGUAUAACUUGAAAAAAGGGAGACAUACUAAAUGGUGCCCAGGGGAAUACUAACUAGCAUCUACGUUCCAGUUCCCCUAGUGUCCUCAUUGGAGCUCCCUAUUAGGUGGUUACAGUGGUGCAGCUCAUGAGCCCUUGACUUGUAUCCAGACUCCUGACCUGCACUCUGUUUACUUUAUUUCUCCAUUUUGUGUUUUAUACAAAUGUUUAUACUUGGGGGGUAAAAUAUAAUUUACACGAAGGUCUUUCUGUUUACAUGAUUAAAUGAAUUUCUUCAAAAAGAAACUUCCUAAUACACAUGGGAGUCUUGCUUGCAAUACUAGGUCAAAAGGUAAUAUCAACAGGCUUUCAUCAAUCAUUAUCUCAACAAGAACCAUAUGUGGUGAACAUUGGUAAACAAAUAAAUAGGAUCUCUCAGUUCUUGUGUCUGAAAGUAUUUUAAAAGGAAAUUAAUUUCAACUAAUACAAAACUUAUAAUAUUCAUAUCACAAAGAUAAAAUCCUACAACACAUCAGAUAUUUAAAGUUCAAUACAUAUAUUUCAUAACCCAGUGCAGGUGUGUCCCUUUAUUAACAUUAUUAACAUCUCCAAAAAUCAACAGUUCACUUUUUUGGUUUUGAGCUACAGUUUCACAAAGGAAUAGGGCUAUGUCUAAAAGUAAUACACUAGGAAGCUAGGUGGGCGUUAAAUUUCUGCAACAAUGAUAGUUUUACUGAAAGGGAUCUUGAUUGUGUCAGAGAGGAAAUCAAAGGUGGCAAGGGAGCCAAUAGUUUUUUAAAAGGGUGAACGUUAGAAACAAUCCCAAAAAAUUAAGAAAUCCAAAGGAAAGAUCAAAUUAUUUUCCAAUUUAAGAUGAAAAACAGACUAAGUUGGAUUAAUACCUCAUCAGCUAAAAACAAAAGAAUACGAGAAUGUUGUCUUCAAAAAGCAUUUACGUUUUUCAGCUCUAAUAAUUAAAAGAGAGUUAUUUUUAUAAUAAUCUAAUCUAUAAUUUGGAUAGGAUAGGUACAUGCUUCUAUUAUUUAACUCAAUCUUCUCUCAACUGUUUCUGGUGUGUUAUUGUGUUUUGUUUGUAAAUGUCUAGGCAUGCAAAAGUGUGGAUGUAAUUUUAUUACUGUGGAAACAAAAUAAGGAUUAUUAAGAAUAAUAACAUUCAAUAUUUUAUGUAACCACAAAGAGCACUGUGACGAAGUGCCCUUCGCCACUUGGUCCUGGAGAGGCCUACUUGCCAGCCUCCUCCCCUGUGACUAUGACUUUUUCAUGUAUCUGGCUUUAAAGCCCCUAGUAUACCUUCAGACAGACUAUUUAUGUAGGCUGCUUUAUUUAUCUUAUGUUUUAGUCACCCUGUACCCAUUAUAGGUGCAGGGUGUGUGUAAUGUAAUUGUUUAUAGUGUGUGUGUGUGUGUGUACUGUGUAAUGUAUUGCCUGCUCUCUUGUAUUGCUGAGGUUUGCUACCAACUAGGUGGGUUUGGCUAUGUAACUUGUCUAGUGCCCUCUGUUGGUAGCAACAGCAAUAUGCACUACCUGAAUUGCAAGACUGGUUCAUUUGCAUAUUCAGGUGGAUUUGCAUAUUGCUAAUUCUGCAGGCAGGUGAGAUAUUUACUGUUAAAUAUUGUCUCCCCAUACCCCUUUAAAAAUGUGCCAUUGUGUUGUGAUAAGUCACUGUGUGUUGCUUGAUUUGGUUUGACUGUUUGGGAUUUUAUUGUGUUUUUACAACAAUGUUAUUGUGGUGACCCUAUUGGCUGGUCCCAAGGGAAUAAAGGUUUUGACAGUUCUUCUUGAUCCCUCUAAACGUAGCCUUGUCUCGUUAUUCGAGGGAGCUGUUAUAAUCACACUGGGGAUUGGCAUGCUCCCCUGAGCUUGAGUCACUUAGCUCUUUUAAGAGCUUGUUCCUGACACGCUCUCCUUGGAGGAGGGGUCUUCACCACACAGUCCUGGAUGCUGGAGGUUCGUACAGGGUGGAAGGAAGAGUUCUUUCCCACACAGUCCUGGAGGACAGAAGCUGAUCCAGGGUGGAAGGAAGACGGCGAGACUCCAGUCAAGAUACGGCGGUUGCGGAGUCUGCAGUGGUUGUGGUGUCUGCUGCAGCGCUUGGAGUCCUCAGGAAGCGCUAGGAGCAUCCGUCAACGGAGGGUAUUCAGUCGGAGUACAAGGAGCUCCGUUACAAGCACUAUUUAAUUUGUUGUUAAUUCCAUGAUCAUGAGAUAAUGUGAAUACCAAUAAGAGAUAAGCCGAGAUGUAACUUUAUUUUUAAUAGUUCAAAUGUCUUGGAUUGUGAUAACGUUGAAAAUACACAAAAACACAAUUCUAGCCUGAGUUCAGGAGGUGUAAUGGGAUGAAUAAAUGGCUGUGAUUAUAACUGAUGCAUUUGACUGGUAAAACUAACAUGAAUGUACUUUAGUUUCAAAUUACAUGUCACACAAUAUAAUAUAUAUAAUUUAACCUCCUAAUAAUAAUAAUAAUAAUAUCUUUAAAAACAGAACUUAAACAAGUUGCAGAACAAUUGGCAAUGAUGUCAAACCUUUUUUCUUUUCUUUUUGUAAAAUAUGCUUUAAAAUAGUUUUUUCCUCAGUAGGAAUAGAAAUAAUCUAGUUGAAAAAAAGGCCUGUCACAUUUUCUCUAGAUCUCCCUUAGAACCAGGAAAUGCUUGUGCCAGCAGGUAAACAAAAAAGCAUAUAGGAUACAAUACAAUAGCUAUACUGAAGCAGAGUAUACAAUAGCUAUACAUUCUAAUUACUGAUGAAAAGAAACCAGCUCAGUACUGUUUUCAGCAUCAGCAAGGUAAACAGUAUAUAAAGGCUCUUCAUGCUAUGUAACAGCACAACUUGCAUGAGCAGAUCAACCAUCACUGAAAAUGGGAAAGGUAAGAUGAUCUGAAUAUUGUAAAUAUUUGCAACACAAGAAAUUUUGGAAACAAUAAACAGAUUUUUUUUUUUUUAAAUGAACCAAAGCAAAUUCAAGUUUAAAAUGCUUACACUGAAUGCCAGCAAACUUUAUCCUAUACAAUAUAUCCUGGUGAGUUUAUCUAGGCCAGAAACAUGACAACAUAAUAUUCCAUAAACUAGUUUUGGACAUUUGCCGCCUCAUCAAAUACAAAUUCAUCAGAACACAUGCUUCACAUGUUUACUUUUUUCAGACUCAAGAGUAAGAUUUUUUCGGUUUUUGAAAGUACUUUCUAGUGAAUGCCACUAUUAACCGUAAUAAAUUGCUAUAAUUAUGUGAAAGUGAAUGCAAGUUCACCAAUCUAAAAAAACACAAAAUGUACCAAAAACAUAUAUUCCAAUUCGGUCCUAAACUUAUAUGUUUAACACCUACACUUUAUUAUUUGAACAGGAUAAUAGUAAAUGUUUUUAGGAAUCUAUAGCAUCAAGUAAUCAAACCAGAAACUAUUUUUUAAAUGAAAUUAUUAACCACUAAAACAAUAACAAACUAAAAAAUCUAAAAUGUUCAAAUGCAUGGUUGUUUCACAGAUUGUCUUCUACGAGGAUCGUAACUUCCAGGGCCGCUCUUAUGAGUGCAACUCUGAGUGUCCAGAUAUGUCCUCAUAUUUUCAGCGCUGUAAUUCCAUCCGAGUGGAAAGUGGAAACUGGAUUCUGUAUGAGCACCCCAACUAUAGAGGACACCAGUAUUACCUUAGCAGGGGAGAAUAUCCUAAUUUCCAGCAAUGGAUGGGUUUCAAUGACUCCAUCAGAUCUUGUCGUAUUAGCCCACAGGUAAAGAUAUUUACCAAAAUAGUUAAGAACCUUACAUAAAUAUGAUGCAGUACAAAAAAACAUUAUUGUCCUAUUAUUAUAGGUUUACCUUUGCAAAUAUGACCUUUUUUGACUACUAUUCAUUAUUUUAUGGAAUAUAUCUUCAAUUCACAAUUCCAUUGUCAGGUAACAGGUGGGUUAACAUGGAUAAAAAAAAAUAUAUAUAUAUUCCCGUAUAGAUUUUUGAUGUUUACAUGCAAUUAUACAAUUAUUUUACUCUUGUUUAUAAAUAUUUUUUUCUUCGUAAAGCACCAUGGAUCAUUCAGAGUAAAGGUCUAUGAGAGGGAGGAUUUCCGAGGUCAGAUGAUGGAGUUCACUGAAGAUUGUGCUAAUGUCAAUGAGAGAUUCCGUUACCAUGACAUCCACUCCUGCCAGGUGAUUGAUGGCUACUGGAUGUUCUAUGAGGAACCAAAUUACAAAGGGCGCCAGUAUUACCUGAGACCUGGAGAGUACAGAAGAUAUACUGACUGGGGUGCCAUGAGCCCAAGAAUUGGCUCAUUCAGGAGACUUCACCAUUUCUAAUAAGUUGUAUUUAUUACUAAAUCAGCAUGUCAUUAAGAAUAUAAUAAAAGCAUCAAAAAUUAUCUUUAAGGUCUAUAUUUUUUCAUUUUCUAUUUAAGUUGUGGUUUCAUACCUUUUACUUUACAUGCAAAAUGCAAACACUUAUUUUAAACCACAGUUCAGUAAAUAAAUUAUUAAUAUAACAGUGGUUCCUAUAAAAACAAAUAAUGAGUAAGUAAUAAGGGAAUUAUAUUAUUUUUUACAUAUAGUCCCUCAGGAAGUUGAAGUUGUGACAGACAAAAUACUUAUAGCUUUUUUUACUGAAGGUGGUUUGACCCAAAAUAUUACAAGAUAAUACUAAUUAAACAGUAUUGUAAAAUCUAAAACUACAUGUAGGUGGGUGGAGGUAAUUUCCAGCAGACCAGAUAUUGUUUGGGAUCCAAGUUUCUUAGUAUUUUGGAAGCAAAAAACACAUUUACCUGUAUUUAUCUGUUUUUAGAAGCUUAAAUAUUAACUUGACAGGAUUGGGGAAUGCUCUUAACAGCGGUAUCAGAUCCUGACCCUAGUUCACAACUUAUAGAUAUUAUGCUUAAGCAGCCGCCUUGUGCUUAAAAUGGCACAUUAAGUCAAAAGAGAAGUUCUUCUUGGGUGCGAUCCGUCUAAUCACCUACCACAACAUAGUUGCCAUCAUGCUAAAGGAUAAUAAGGAAGACCAAAUUCAAAAGGGAAAUUAAAGCCCUACUGUGGGACAACAGGCAACAUUGAAGGACUGUGGUGAUAUCUGGAAAAGGCAAAUCUCAAAUCUGUUCACUUUCAUCCAUCACAGGGUGUGCCUGGUGGAGAAUGUGGGUUGCUUAAAACAUGUGUGGGGUACAAGAGGAAUUGUUUUUGGAAGAAUGGACAAAUUUUAUUCCAUGCCUAUUAUGAACUGUUUUAUCUCAUAAACAAACAAACUCCACUAGCAUUAAUGGAUUUUUUCACAUACUAGUAUAAGUUUCUUAAGCCACUCAAAUUCUUACAUAGAGACUUUGAGUUAUGUAUUUGUACAAUUCCUGACUGUCUAAGAACAGUCAGGAUAUUCUUUUGAAACAUUUAAUUUGCUAACAUUUAAUUUGACACAAAUCACUCUGGCCUGAAGACAAUUAUUGAAGCAUGACCAUAAGUCUGAGACCCUAUGGCAUCACAUUCUAAACUUCCCAUGAUCACACAUGAGGAUGCCAUACAUUAUAUUAGGUACUUGUCAGAAGUGAAUGCUUUCCUAAGAAGACUAGGGACUCCUCUGUACACUAAUAAUCCUGGAGGGGUUACAACCAGAUCUCCCCAUUGAUGGGAUAUGGAGAAGAUAACUCAAUUGACCUUGUUUGUGUCCGUACUUUGCACUAUUCCUGCAGUUUCAUAGAUGCUCAACCUUACGACGUCCAUUUGACGGACUUGUGAGGUCCAAUUGAGUGCUAUUAGCUAAUAUCUGAUUAUCAAAUGGCUAUUUUAAUUGCUCAUAUGUUACCACAGAGGAGUAACUAUGGGUAGUUUCUGUCUAUGAUGGUUUAUUUUUAUUUUUAUUAUAUAUUUUAAUUUUUUUUAAUUCUUUAUUUUUCUUGUGCAUGUUAAUACAGUUAACAUUUUGCCUUGCGAUGCCACAACAGCAUUAGCAGGCCAGUUAGGUACAGUGGAAUUGACAUGGCAUGCGGUUUGAAAGCACAUUUUUAUAUUGAUAUCAGAGUUGUAACGAUUAUGUCAAAAUAAGAGAUGCGAUUUUAAACUAAAGGGUAUGAUAAUUCAAGUUUAGAUUAAUUUUUAACGUUUACACAACUAUACAUUAACAUCGCUUUAGUUCUUUAAAAUAAGAGGGCUUAAACGUGUUAGAUAACGCUUCAUAUUACAGCACUAUUGGGCUUAUUUGUGCAUAAGUGAGAGAUACGCAAUUUAUAUACUAGCAACAGGUCUGAUGUGUGAUAACACUGAUUAAGUAAAACAUUAAGGCUCACAUAAUGUAAGACUAGUCUCGUUGCUAGGAUUUGCAUAUAUGAGAGUGAUGUACAGCAUGGGGGACUCAGUGCACAGCUACAUUAAUAUGAGACAAAAUGUGAGAAAAAAUGGUGAGAGGAAAAACAUAAAAAUAAGGGAAGAAGAAGAAAUCUUGAGCUGUGCCCAUAGUGAUAGCUGCUCAGAGUGUGAAGAGGUCGUUGUUACUUAUGUAGAAGACAGAAGGGACAGGAGCCAUCCCCAUGAUCCGCAGCACAGUCCCCGGGGGAUUCCCACAGACAGUUCAUGCUUAUCUGACCUCGAUCUACUAAGCCUUUGGCUUGACAAGAGUGGGUCCAGCAUAAUAUAUAAGGAUGAGUCCAUCAUAUUGCUUGGUGAGAGGGGUGAGUGUGUUUAAUCCCUUGCUGCUUCCCAUUCCUCCAUGGGAGAUAGCUGGAGCACAGGAGUGUCUGUCUGUGCGGCAGGGUUGGUAGUGUUGCGUGGUGAGGGGUCAGGAAGCAGACACCGGCUGUUCGUCACUGCUGGAUCCGUUUGCAGGUCGGGAAGCUUAGGUGCGUUUGUGUUGGGGAACCCCUCUGCCUCACCAUCAUCCGUGCUUCCCCAAGAUUUUCAGUCAGCUGAGCCUUGAAGGUUUCUGGCUUUGCCGCCAUUUCGGUUUUGCCCGCCAUGACUGCCAUUUUGUUAAUGGAGGGUCUUCCUCGCUCCAGGUGCCUAGGGUUGCGGGAACAGUCUCCUGGGACCGGGAUGACCCCCACUGAUCCAAAGGGGGGUGAUACGGGGCCCCUACCAUGUGGCGUCAGAGUUCCGAGGGUAAACCGCAGAGUAGGAUAGCGAGGUGGCGGCUGUCCACCUCACUCACCGCCCGGAUAGGCCCCAGAUGUGGCUGUGCCUUUUCCGAGGUCAAAUCGCUUGUGGUCUGGUUGGCCUCAGCACCAGCCCCUCUUUGCCCACAGGACCGUUGCUUCCAGACUGCAGAUAAGUAGUUUUGUGUGUUUUACAAGCUUUAAGGUCGUUUUUCUGCAGGAGCUCGCCUUGUGUGUGACCUCUCAGCAUGGCGGUCGGGCCCUGCCCCCCUAUAUUUAUUUUUUACAGUACUACUAUUGUUUCUUUGUACUGAGAUGCAGUUUAUCCUCAUUCUAUAGUGCAGCUUAUUUUCAUGUCAUACUCUCCCUCAGACUUUCUGUAUCAAGUAUAAACACUUGUAACUGAUUGUCAUGUUCUCCCUUUUAAGCUAGCAAAUCACAAUAUACAACUUGGUAGAAAUAAAGGAACAGGAAAGGAGAAAUCAGUGCAGAAAGCCCUCUUUCUUUUAUUUACUGCCAAAUUAAGAUAAAGGUUACGAAAACAAUAAUUGGAUAUUCAACAAACAUAAACAAUAUCAAAGAGUUGAAAUUAAUAUUUAAUGCUGUGAGGUUUACCUUUAAAUGAUGAUAAUUGGAGGUUUUAGAUUACGGAUCAUACUAAUUCAAAAUGCAUGUGUAUUCCUAAUUUCACAAGCCAUUUAACACCUUCAUUUCUGGACUCCCACCUUUAUCUAAUAAGAAAGCAACUGCUCUCAAAGUUCUUUUUUCUUUAGCAAUUACAUUUGUAGUUGGAUCUAGACUUUGAAUUUUUUCCACAAAUUAAUUAAUUAACCCUGGGCAUUGAUUGUACUUAACAUCAUUAAUAACAGUAUCAUUGUUAUUAUGCCAUGCAAUUGUAUACAUUUUACAUUAACCAGAAAGUAAAAUAGAUUUGAUUUAGUCCAUUAAAUAAUGUCCUCUCUAAUUGAAUCCAUGAGCACAGUCUCUUUGUCCAUAAUGUCCUUUGAAAGUCCAAACAAUUUGUCCUUUUUAAAAAGCAAACAUUUUUUGUCCUGAAUAAACAUGACUGGUUCUGUAAUAAAAAAAAGCAGAUGGCAGUCUGCUAGUUUUAUACAUUAGUAAGUUUCUUAAACAUUAGUAAGUUUACAUUGAUCACUAUGCACAAUAAUUGACUUACUACAUUUUCUACCAACAUUUGUUUUUUUUGGGGGGGUGAGGGGGGUUUGAACCUACUUACUUUCAAGGGAUCUGCAACUUGCUUUGAAGGGACCUGGUGUUUUCAAUGAUUUUACCAUCACCUUAUUCUCUAGUUUAAACGUAUAUGCAUAGUUUCCCAGUGCUACAUAUUUAAAGGGACACUGUAGGCACCCAGACCACUUCAGCUUAUUGAGGUCGUCUAGGUGCUUUUUCCCUUUUGAACAUAGUGCUACAAUGUUAAACACUGCAGUUCCAGAGAACUGCAAUGUUUAUAUUGCAGCACUAGGUCUGCCCUCAGUGGCUGUCUACCAGACAGCAACUGGGGGCGCUUCCAGAAUCGUAACAGACGUUUGGUCCAUUAUCUAACAUUGGACGUCCUCAUGCUCUACAUGAGGACGUCAGAUUUUCCGCAUAACAAAGCAUUGAUUCAAUGCUUUCCUAAGCGGGGUUUGCCACGCAUGCGCAUUAGACCCUGUUUGUCGCAGGGUGAAGGAGGGCGCGGAGCUUCCACACAGCACCGAGUAAUAUCGUCACUGGGAUAAGUUAAGUAAAUAAAGGGUUUUUAACCCUCUAUUUACUAGUGAAGGGGGCGCAGGGCAAGGGGGAGGUAGAGGGAUCGGUAGUGCCAGGAAUACAGUUUUGUAUUCAUGGCACUACAGUAUCCCUUUAACCCUUUGUUUACCAGAAGAGACAAUAUUUGAAGCAGCAAAUUUUAAAACUGAUAGCAGCUGUUCCUGAGAUGUUUGUCACACCAAAGUUCCAAUAAUCAAAUCAGAUUGUAUUGCAGCUAAAAAUGUAUAUUUAUUCAAACAUACACACCAUGAGAAAAUAACACAAAGUCUUUGCACACAUCUGGACCAAUACAGCAAUGUGUAAGCACUUCAAGAUAGUAUUCAUUUUUGUUGUUAUAAGUAUUGGUGAGGAAUUUCUAACUGUAAAUGUUUUUAUAUGUCUAAAAUUCAGUUACUUACGAGGCGUACACAUAAGAUUACCUGACACUUUAAAAUAUGUGGCCAUCAUAGAAAAAGGUUGUGGCUUAACCAUUCUGUCCAAUCUCUGAUUAGAGCCAGACAUUAUAAAAAUGGUUAGGAAAUAGGGGUAGGUGAUGUAUAGAGUCCCACAAGGGGAAACUAACAUCAGGAGAGCGCCACUGUUUAAGAAAUGAGGAAGGGGGGCCCUACCUUUAAUCAAUCUAAGGAUAAAAAGGGAUAUGCAAACAGAAAGUAUAACUUGAAAAAAGGGAGACAUACUAAAUGGUGCCCAGGGGAUCAAUUGUCUGGAGUACUAACUAGCAUCUACGUUCAGUUCCCCUAGUGUCCUCAUUGGAGCUCCCUAUUAGGUGGUUAUAGUGGUGCAGCUCAUGAGCUCUUGACUUGUAUCCGGACUCCUGACCUGCACUCUGUUUACUUUAUUUCUCCAUUUUGUGUUUUAUACAAAUGGUUAUACUUGGGGGGUAAAAUAUAAUUUACACAAAGGUCUUUUUGUUUACAUGAUUAAAUGAAUUUCUUCAAAAAGAAACUUCCUAAAACACAUGGAAGUCUUGCUUGCAAUACUAGGUCAAAAGGUAAUAUCAACAGGCUUUCAUCAAUCAUUAUCUCAACCAGAACCAUAUGUGGUGAACAUUGGUAAACAAAUACAUAGGAUCUCUCAGUUCUUGUGUCUGAAAGUAUUUUAAAAUGAAAUUAAUUUCAACUAAUACAAAACUUAUUAUAUUCAUAUCACAAAGAUAAAAUCCUACAACACAUCAGAUAUUUAAAAUUUAAUAAAUAUAUUUCAUAACCCAGUGCAGGUGUUCCCCUUUUAUUCACACUCUAUGCAGUGGGACAUGCAAAUUCUAAACAUGCAAGGUUUUGGACUGAAAAAAUUCAAUUGCAGAGUCUAGAUCUGGAAUUAGACAUAAUCUGUGCCGUGGUUGGUACUUGAGAUUGUUUAGAAAGGAUUGAAGAUUACAUUUCUUGAAAUCCCUGGUGAUUAUAAUCUUGGUAGAGAAUUUAGUGGCCUUUAUUUUGCGUAUUCAGUACACUAAACAGUGGUCACUGAAACUGUUAGUGAGAACUACCACCUACUGGAUUCUAUCAGGACAACUGGAUAUAAUCUGAUGUAGCAAGGUAUGGUUAUGGCUUAUCAUCUUAAUGAGCGUUGGGGAGGAAAUUAAUUGUGUUAACUGCAACAUGAUUUAUUAUUUUUAGGAUUCAGCAAAUCAUUAUUAACAUCUCCAAAAAUCAACAGUUCACUUUUUUGGUUUUGAGCUACAGUUUCACAAAGGAAUUGGGCUAUGUCUUAAAGUAAUGCACUCGGAAGCUAGGUGGACAUUAAAUUCCUGCAACAAUGAUAGUUUUACUGAAAGGGAUCUUGAUUGUGUCAGAGAGGAAAUCAAGGGUGGCAGGGGAGCUAUAGGUUUUUUUUUUUUUUUUUUAAAGGGUGAACUUUAGAUACAAUCACAAGAAAUUAUGCAUUCCCAAAGGAAAGAUCAAAUUAUUUUCCAAUUUAAGAUGAAAAACAGACUAAGUUGGAUUAAUAACUCAUAAGCUAAAAACAAAAGAAUACGAGAAUGUUGUCUUCAAAAAGUAUUUACGUUUUUCAGCUAAUAAUUAAAAGAGAGUUAUUUUUAUAAUAAUCUAAUCUAUAAAUUGCAUAGGAUAGGUACAUGCUUCUAUUAUAGAACUCAGUCUUCUCUCCUCUCAACUGUUUCUGGUGUGUUAUUGUGUUUUGUUUGUAAAUGUCUAUGCAUGCAAAAGUGUGGAUGUAAUUAAUUACUGUGGAAACAAAAUAAAGAUUAUUAAGAAUAAUAACAUUCAAUAUUUUAUGUAACCACAAAGAGCACUAUUUACUUUGUUCUUAAUUCAAGAUCAUGAGAUAACAUGAAUACCAAUAAGAGAUAAGCCGAGAUGUAACUUUAUUUUUAAUAGUUCAAAUGUUUUGGAUUGUGAUAACGUUGAAAAUACACAAAAACACAAUUCUAGCCUGAGUUCAGGAGGUGUAAUGGGAUGAAUAAAUGGCUGUGAUUAUAACUGAUGAAUUUUACUGGUAAAACUAACAUGAAUGUACUUUAGUUUCAAAUUACAUGUCACACAAUAUAAUAUAUAUAAUUUAACAUAAUAAUAAUAAUAAUAAUAAUAUCUUAAAAAACAGAACUUAAACAAGUUGCAGAACAACUGGCAAUGAUGUCAAACCUUUUUUUUCUUUUCUUUUUGUAAAAUAUGCUUUAAAAUAGUUUUUUCCUCAAUAGGAAUAGAAAUAAUCUAGUGAAAAAAAAGGCCUGUCACAUUUAUUCUAGAUCUCCCUUAGAACCAGGAACUGCUUGUGCCAGCAGGUAAACAAAAAAGCAUAUAGGAUACAAUACAAUAGCUAUAAUGAAGCACAGUAUUCAAUAGCUAUACAUUCUAAUUACUGAUGAAAAGAAACCAGCUCAGUACUGUUUUCAGCAUCAGCAAGGUAAACAGUAUAUAAAGGCUCUUCAUUCUGUGUAACAGCACAACUUGCAUGAGCAGAUCAACCAUCACUGAAAAUGGGAAAGGUAAGAUGAUCUGAAUAUUGUAAAUAUUUGCAACACAAGAAAUUUUGGAAACAAUAAACAUAUUUCUUUUUUUAAAAUGAACCAAACAAAUUCAAAUUUGAAAUGCUUACACUGAAUGCCAGCAAACUUUAUCCUAUACAAUAUAUCCUAUCCUAUCCAAUAUACUGUGGUGAGUUUAUCUAGGCCAGAAACAUGACAACAUAAUAUUCCAUAAACUAGUUUUGGACAUUUGCCGCCUCAUCAAAUACAAAUUCAUCAGAACACAUGCUUCACAUGUUUACUUUUUUCAGACUCAAGAUUAAGAUUUUUUCAGUUUUUGAAAGUACUUUCUAGUGAAUGCCACUAUUAACCGUAAUAAAUUGCUAUAAUUAUGUGAAAGUGAAUGCAAGUUCACCAAUCUAAAAAAACACAAAAUGUACCAAAAACAUAUAUUCCAAUUCGGUCCUAAACUUAGAUGUUUAACACCUACACUUUAUUAUUUGAACAGGAUAAUAGUGGAUGUUUUUAGGAAUCUAUAGCAUCAAGUAAUCAAACCAGUAACUAUUUUUUAAAUGAAAUUAUUAACCACUAAAACAAUAAUAAACUAAAAAAUCUAAAAUGUUCAAAUGCAUGGUUGUUUCACAGAUUGUCUUCUACGAGGAUCGUAACUUCCACGGCCGCUCUUAUGAGUGCAACUCUGAGUGUCCAGAUAUGUCCUCAUAUUUUCAGCGCUGUAAUUCCAUCCGAGUGGAAAGUGGAAACUGGAUUCUGUAUGAGCACCCCAACUAUAGAGGACACCAGUAUUACCUUAGCAGGGGAGAAUAUCCUAAUUUCCAGCAAUGGAUGGGUUUCAAUGACUCCAUCAGAUCUUGUCGUAUUAGCCCACAGGUAAAGAUAUUUACCAAAAUAGUUAAGAACCUUACAUAAAUAUGAUGCAGUACAAAAAAACAUUAUUUUCCAAUUAUCAAUUAUUAUAGGUUUACCUUUGCAAAUAUGACCUUUUUUGACUACUAUUCAUUAUUUUAUGGAAUAUAUCUUCAAUUCACAAUUCCAUUGUCAGGUAACAGGUGGGUUAACAUGGAUAAAAAAAAAUAUAUAUAUAUUCCCGUAUAGAUUUUUGAUGUUUACAUGCAAUUAUACAAUUAUUUUACUCUUGUUUAUAAAUAUUUUUUUCUUCGUAAAGCACCAUGGAUCAUUCAGAGUAAAGGUCUAUGAGAGGGAGGAUUUCCGAGGUCAGAUGAUGGAGUUCACUGAAGAUUGUGUUAAUGUCAAUGAGAGAUUCCGUUACCAUGACAUCCACUCCUGCCAGGUGAUUGAUGGCUACUGGAUGUUCUAUGAGGAACCAAAUUACAAAGGACGCCAGUAUUACCUGAGACCUGGAGAGUACAAAAGAUAUACUGACUGGGGUGCCAUGAGCCCAAGAAUUGGCUCAUUCAGGAGACUUCAUCAUUUCUAAUAAGUUGUAUUUAUUACUAAAUCAGCAUAUCAUUAAGAAUAUAAUAAAAGCUUCAAAAAAUAUCUUUAAGGUCUAUAUUUUUUUCAUUUUCUAUUUAAGUUGUGGUUUUAUACCUUUUACUUUACAUGCAAAAUGCAAACACUUAUUUUAAACCACAGUUCAGUAAAUAAAUUAUUAAUAUAACAGUGGUUCCUAUAAAAACAAAUAAUGAGUACGUAAUAAGGGGAAUUAUAUUAUUUUUUAGAUAUAAUCCCUCAGGAAGUUAAAGUUGUGACAGACAAAUUACUUAUAGCUUUUUUUACUGAAGGUGGUUUGAACAAAAAAAGUAAUAGUAUUUCUUAAAAGAAGAAUGAAAACAUUCUUUCAACAACUCUGUCAUGUAUCAAAUAAUAUAUACGUGUUGUUUUCUGGUAUGACUUUUUUUAAUGCUUUCUUUGCAGAAUAUAGUACAUUCUUAGACAAAUAUAUAUUUAUAUUUAUAUAUUUGUGUAUAUGUCCUAUAUGUAUAGGUCAACGGUAAUAGGGAUUCUUUGUGAGUUAGAAUAAUGGAAGAAAUAUGAUGAAAGAACUGGACAUCCAACCACAACCUUUUACGCUUCACAUGUUAAGACUCUACAAAAACUGCUGAAUUUGAAUAAGCAUUCAACAACACAGAACAUUCACUGAUUCUAAGGAAUCACAUAUCUGAAAGAUCCAUUUAUGUACAUGUUCAUAUUUAAUGGAACAUGUUCAAUGUGGAGAUCGUUUUUGUGAGCUAUCAUCAUUUCUAAUUUCCUUAAUUAAGCUAAGUUAGACUGUUGAAACUUCAAGCUGCAGAGUAAGAUUUGUCAUAGCAGAUUUAUGUUUAUGCAAAAGCACAUGCUUUGAAUGUAAGAAAUAAACAUAAAAAAAUGACAAAACAAGGCAACAUUUAGUAACCACCGACUUUUACAAGAUAAUACUAAUUAAACAGUAUUGUAACCUCUAAAAUUACAUGUAGGUGGGUGGGGGUAAUUUCCAGCAGACCAGAUAUUGUUUGGGAUCCAAGAUUCUCAGUAUUUUGGCAGCAAAAAACACAUUUACCUGUAUUUAUCUGUUUUCACAAGCUUAAAUAUUAACUUGACAGGAUUGGGGAAUGCUCUUAACAGCGGUAUCAGAUCCUGACCCAAGCUCACAACUUAUAGAUAUUAUGCUUAUGCAGCCGCCUUGUGCUUAAAAUGGCACAUUAAGUCAAAAGAGAAGUUCUUCUUGGGCGGGAUCCAUCUAAUCACCUACCACAACAUAGUUGCCAUCAUGCUAAUGGAUAAUAAGGAAGACCAAAUACAAAAGGGAAAUUAAAGCCCUACUGCGGGACAACAGGCAACAUUGAAGGACUGUGGUGAUAUCUGGAAAAGGCAAAUAUCAAAUCUGUUCACUUUCAUCCAUCACAGGGUAUGCCUGGUGGAGAAUGUGGGUUGUUUAAAAAAUGUGUGGGGUACAAGAGGAAUUUUUUUGGAAGAAUGAACACAUUUUAUUUCAUGCCUAUUAUGAACUGUUUUAUCUCAUAAACAAACAAACAAACUCCACUAGCAUUAAUGGAUUUUUUCACAUACUAGUAUAAGUUUCUUAAGCCACUGAAAUUCUUACAUAGAGACUUUGAGUUAUGUAUUUGUACAAUUCCUGACUGUCUAAGAACAGUCAGGAUAUUCUUUUGAAACCCAUUUGCUAACAUUUAAUUUGACACAAAUCACUCUGACCUUGAGACAAUUAUUGAAGCAUGACCAUAAGUCUGAGACCCUAAGGCAUCACAUUCUAAACUUCCCAUGAUCAUACAUGAGGAUGCCAUACAUUAUAUUAGGUACUUGUCAGAAGUGAAUGCUUUCCUAAGAAGACUAGAGACUCCUUUGUACACUAAUAAUCCUGGAGGGGUUACAACCAGAUCUCCCCAUUGAGGGGAUAUGGAGAAGAUAACUCAAUUGACCUUGUUUGUGCCCGUACUUUGCAAUAUUCCUGCAGUUUCAUAGAUGCUCAACCUUAUGACGUCCAUUUGACGGACUUGUGAGAUCCAAUUGACUGCUAUUAGCUAAUAUCUGAUUAUCAAAUGGCUAUUUUAAUUGAUCAUAUGUUACCACAGAGGAGUAACUACAGGUAGUUUCUGUCUAUGAUGGUUUAUUCUUAUUUUUAUUAUAUUUAUUUUUUAUAGUACUACUAUUGUUUCUUUGUACUGAGUAGCAGUUUAUCCUCAUUCUGUAGUGCAGCUUAUUUUCAUGUCAUACUCUCCCUCAGACUUUCUAUAUCAAGUAUAAACACUUGUAACUGAUUGUCAAGUUCUCCCUUUUAACCCCUUAAGGACGGAGCCAAAUGUACACGUUGUGAACAAAACAAAAUGUAAACAAAACCUGGCAUUUGCUCUACAUGUCUGUCCAACCGUAAUUCAUCUCUUUCAUAUUAAAUACACCCACCCUUAUUAUAUAUCAUUUUAUUCAGGUGAAACAGGGCUUUCAUUUAAUAUCAAAUAUUUAGCUAUGAAACAUAAUUUAAUAUGAAAAUAAUGGGAGAAAAUACGAUUUUUUUCUGAUUUUUUUAGUUCUACAUGACAUUUUAACGGUCAAUGUCAUAAUACUGUUUACUUUUACUGCAAUAAAAUACACAUAUUUGAAUUCAGCAAAGUCUCACGUGUAAAACAGUACCCCCUAUAUACAGGGUUUAUGGCGUUUUGGGAAGUUACAGGGUCAAAUAUAGCACGUUACAUUUGAAAUUGAAAUUUGCCAGAUUGGUUACGUUGCCUUUGGGACUUAAUAGUAGCCCAGGAAAGAAAUUUACACCCAUAAUGGCAUAUCAUUUGCAAUAGAAGACAACCCAAGGUAUUGCAAAUGGGGUAUGUCCAGUCUUUUUUAGUAGCCAUUUUGUCACAAACACUGGCCAAAGUUAGCGUUAGUAUUUGUUUGUGUGUGAAAAAUGCAAAACACGCCAAUUUUGGCCAGUGUUUGUGACUAAGUGGCUACUAAAAAAGACUGGACAUACCUCGUUUGCAAUACCUUGGGUUGUCUACUAUUGCAAAUGGUAUGCCAUCAUAGGGGUAAUUUUCAUUCUUGGGCUACCAUAGGGUCUCAAAGGCAACGUAACCAAUCUGGCGAAUUUUAUUGUGAAAAAAAUGAAACACAAGCCUAAUAUUUGAUGCUGUAACUUUUGAAAACACCAUAAAACCUGUACAUGAGGGGUACUGUUGUACUCGGGAGACUUCGCUGAACACAAAUAUUUGUGUUUGAAAACAGUAAAAAGUAUCGCAGCAAUAAUAUCGUCCGUGUAAGUGCUGUUUGUGCGUGAAAAAUGCAAAAAACUUCACUUUUACUGGCGAUAUCAUCGUUGUAAUACAUUUUACUGUUUUGAAACACUAAUAUUUGUGUUCGGCGAAGUCUCCCGAGUAGAACAGUACCCCCAUGUACAGGUUUUAUGGUGUCUUGGAAAGUUAUAGGGUUAAAUAUAGUGCUAGCAAAUUAAAUUCCCUUUUGCUUUCGGCAUGGGUUGUCAGGCAGUUCCCGCUAAUUGUAAUUAUUUAAGAUACCUAAUUAUGUAAAAAUAUUAUAUAAAUAUAUAUGUAGAAUUAAUAUAUGUAUAUAUAUAUAUAUAUAUAUAUAUAUACGUAUGUGAAUAUAUAUGUAUAUAUGUAUAUAUAAUUUUUUUUAAAUAUUUUUAAUUUAUAUAUAGGUAUAUAUAUAGUGAUAUAUACAUAUAUAUUUAUGUAUAUAGAUAUAUAUAUAUUAUUUCGUUCUAUGUGUAUUUUGAUAUAAAUAUAUAUAUAUUAAUAUCACAAUACAGUUAGAACGAAAUAACACACAUCUAUAUAUUUUUUAAUAAUUUUUUUAAAUAAUUUUUUUAAUUAAAUUUUUUAACGUAUUUACAAAUUAAUUUUUUUUAUAUUAUAUAUAUAUAUAUAUAUAUAUAAAACAAUAAUUAUAUAUAUAUUUAAUCAGUAUCAGUCUACAUGUAAUUUGAUAUUAAUAUAUAUAUAUAUAAUUAUAUAUAUAUUAAUAGUAAAAUACACCUAGACAGUGUAUGUGUGUGUAUGUAUAUGUGUAUAUAUAUAUACUUAGAUCAUAUAUAUACAAUAUAUAUGAUCUAAGUAUAUAUUUUUUUUUUUACACUUAUUUAACUUUUAUUAAUUUAAUUUAAUUUGAUUUCCAGCCAGCAGGGGGACCACUUGUCAUUACAAGCAGCCCCACUGCUGGCAAUGCAGGAGGCAGCUAACCCUGCCUUGUGAUUGUGAGGUCCUCGCAAGGACCUCACUCUCACAUGGCUGGGGGGGCUGCCAGGAGGUCGGACGGGCGGCGGGGGCUCCCUGGGUGUCCCCCCAACUGCGAUCGCCAGUGUGGUAUCGCCGGCGUGGGAUCGCCGGCGACCGGGUAAGUAUAGAAAGACCGGAGGACGUACUAUUACGCCCGGCGGCGUUUAGAGCCACCUAAAAUAAGGGGUUAAGCUAGCAAAUCACAAUAAAGAACUGCAAUGUUUAUAUUGCAGCUCUAGGUCUGCCCUCAGUGGCUGUCUAACAGAGAGCAACUGGGGGCGCUUCCAGAACCGUAACAGACUUUUGGUCCAUUAUCUAACGCUGGACGUCCUCACGCUCUACAUUGGGACGUCAGAUUUUCCCCAUAACAAAGCACUGAUUCAAUGCUUUCCUAAGGGGAGGUCUAAUGUGCAUGCGGCGUUUGCCGCACAUGCGCAUUAGACCCUGCUUGUCGCGGGGUGGAGGAGGGGGCGGAUCUUUCACACAGCACCGAGGAAUAUCGGCACUGGGAUAAGUUAAGUAAAUAAAGGGUUUUUAACCCUACAUUUAGUAGGGAAGGGGGUACAGGGCAAGGGGGAGGUAGAGGAAUCGGUAGUGCCAGGAAUAGAGCUUUGUAUUCCUGGCACUACAGUAUCCCUUUAACAAAUUGUUUACCAGAAGAGACAAUAUUUGAAGCAGCACAUUUUAAAACUGAUUGCAGCUGUUCCUGUAAUACUUUCAACUAUUCAGCAUGUCCUGAUGCAAAUUUGAAAGUACUUGGAACAAAAGGUUCAUUGGGGAAAGUGAUUGGCAUUGUUCUGCCUGUCAUUAACUCAUGAGGUGACACUUGCGUUUUAGAGUUUGGAGUUGCACGAAUAUACAUUAAUACUCCUAGUAAAUGUGUUACCCAACUACUCCCUUUAACUACAAGCGUUUAUUUUACAAUUUAAAUGUUAAUGUAAAACAAUUUAAAUAGAGUUCCAUGGUCAUUUUGCCACAGAUACUCUCUGUAACUUUGGUUUCUAGUCUUUAGGUCUUGGAUUAAAUUGAGCACAUAUGAGACACUCCUGUACUAUAUGUAUACAUCAUUCUUUUAAAUUAGGAUGAUACCAUUUAGUUUGCAGGAUCUUAAACAGUUUUUCUGUACAGACUUAAAUCCUGCCCGCAUUCUCCAUCAUUAAAUGUAGGAAAUUAGCUGUUCCUGAGAUGUUUGUCACACCAAAGUUCCAAUAAUCAAAUCAGAUUGUAUUGCAGCCAAAAAUGUAUAUUUAUUCAAACAUACACACCAUGAGAAAAUAACACAAAAUAUUUGCAAACAUCUGGACCAAUACAGCAAUGUGUAAGCACUGCAAGAUAGUAUUCAUUUUUGUUGUUAUAAGUAUUUGUGAGGAAUUUCUAACUGUAAAUGUUUUUAUAUGUCUAAAAUUCAGUUAUUUACGAGGCGUUACCUGACACUUUAAAAUAUGUGGCCAUCAUAGAAAAAGGUUGUGGCUUAACCAUUCUGUCCAAUCUCUGAUUAGAGCCAGACAUUAUACAAAUAGUUAGGAAGUAGGGUUAGGUGAUGUAUAGAGUCCCACAAGGGGAAACUAACAUCAGGAGAACACCACAGUUUAAGAAAUGAGGAAGGGGGGCCAUACCUUUAAUCAAUCUAAGGAUAAAAAGGGAUAUGCAAACAAAAAGUAUAACUUGAAAAAAGGGAGACAUACUAAAUGGUGCCCAGGGAAUCAAUUGUCUGGAGUACUAACUAGCAUCUACGUUCCAGUUCCCCUAGUGUCCUCAUUGGAGCUCCGUAUUAGGUGGUUACAGUGGUGCAGCUCAUGAGCCCUUGACUUGUAUCCGGACUCCUGACCUGCACUCUGUUUACUUUAUUUCUCCAUUUUGUGUUUUAUACAAAUGGUUAUACUUGGGGGGUAAAAUAUAAUUUACACGAAGGUCUUACUGUUUACAUGAUUAAAUUAAUUUCUUCAAAAAGAAACUUCCUAAUACACAUGGGAGUCUUGCUUGCAAUACUAGGUCAAAAGGUAAUAUCAACAGGCUUUCAUCAAUCAUUAUCUCAACAAGAACCAUAUGUGGUGAACAUUGGUAAACAAAUAAAUAGGAUCUCUCAGUUCUUGUGUCUGAAAGUAUUUUAAAAUGAAAUUAAUUUCAACUAAUACAAAACUUAUAAUAUUCAUAUCACAAAGAUAAAAUCCUACAACACAUCACAUAUUUAAAUUUCAAUAAAUAUAUUUCAUAACCCAGUGCAGGUGUGUUCCUUUUAUUCACACUCUACGCAGUGGGACAUGCAAAUUCUAAACAUGCAAGGGUUUAGACUGAAAAAAUUCAAUUGCAGAGUCUAGAUCUGGAAUUAGACAUAAUCUGUGCCGUGGUUGGUACUUGUGAUUGUUUAAAAAGGAUUGAAGAUUGCAUUUCUUGAAAUCCCUUGUGAUUAUAAUCUUGGUAGAGGAUUUAGUGGCCUUUAUUUUGCGUAUUCAGUACACUAAACAGUGGUCACUGAAUCUGUUAGUGAGAACUACCACCUACUGGAUUCUAUCAGGACAACUGAAUAGAAUCUGAUGUAGCAAGGUAUGGUUAUGGCUUAUCAUCUUAAUGAGCGUUGGGGAGGAAAUUAAUUGUGUUAGCUGCAACAUGAUUUAUUAUUUUUAGGAUUCAGCAAAUCAUUCUUAACAUCUCCAAAAAUCAACAGUUCACUUUUUUGGUUUUGAGCUACAGUUUCACAAAGGAAUUGGGCUAUGUCUAAAAGUAAUGCACUCGGAAGCUAGGUGGGCGUUAAAUUCCUGCAACAAUGAUAGUUUUACUGAAAGGGAUCUUGAUUGUGUCAGAGAGGAAAUCAAAGGUGGCAGGGGAGCUAUAGUUUUUUUAAAAGGGUGAACUUUAGAAACAAUCCCACGAAAUUAUGUAUUCCCAAAGGAAAGAUCAAAUUAUUUUCCAAUUUAAGAUGAAAAACAGACUAAGUUGGAUUAAUAACUCAUCAGCUAAAAACAAAAGAAUACGAGAAUGUUGUCUUCAAAAAGCAUUUACGUUUUUCAGCUCUAAUAGUUAAAAGAGAGUUAUUUUUAUAAUAAUCUAGUCUAUAAUUUGCAUAGGAUAGGUACAUGCUUCUAUUAUAGAACUCUUCUCUCCUCUCAACUGUUUCUGGUGUGUUAUUGUGUUUUGUUUGUAAAUGUCUAUGCAUGCAAAAGUGUGGAUGUAAUUUUAUUACUGUGGAAACAAAAUAAAGAUUAUUAAGAAUAAUAACAUUCAAUAUUUGAUGUAACCACAUUUACUUUGUUGUUAAUUCCAUGAUCAUGAGAUAAUGUGAAUACCAAUAAGAGAUAAGCCGAGAUGUAACUUUAUUUUUAAUAGUUCAAAUGUUUUGGAUUGUGAUAACGUUGAAAAUACACAAAAACAGUAGGUGUAAUGGGAGGAAUAAAUGGCUGUGAUUAUAACUGAUGCAUUUGACUGGUAAAACUAACAUGAAUGUACUUUAGUUUCAAAUUACAUGUCACACAAUAUAAUAUAUAUAAUUUAACAUAAUAAUAAUAAUAAUAAUAACACUUAUAUCUUAAAAAACUGAACUUAACUUGCAAAACAAUUGGCAAUGAUGUCAAACCUUUUUUCUUUUCUUUUUGUAAAAUAUGCUUUAAAAUAGUUUUUUCCUCAGUAGGAAUAGAAAUAAUCUAGUUAAAAAAAAGGCCUGUCACAUUUUCUCUAGAUCUCCCUUAGAACCAGGAAAUGCUUGUGCCAGCAGGUAAACAAAAAAGCAUAUAGGAUACAAUACAAUAGCUAUACUGAAGCAGAGUAUACAAUAGCUAUACAUUCUAAUUACUGAUGAAAAGAAACAAGCUCAGUACUGUUUUCAGCAUCAGCAAGGUAAACAGUAUAUAAAGGCUCUUCAUUCUGUGCAACAGCACAACUUGCAUGAGCAGAUCAACCAUCACUGAAAAUGGGAAAGGUAAGAUGAUCUGAAUAUUGUAAAUAUUUGGAACACAAGAAAUUUUGGAAACAAUAAACAGUUUUUUGUUUUUUUUUAAAUAAACCAAAACAAAUUAAAAUUUUAAAUGCUUACACUGAAUGUCAGCAAACUUUAUCCUAUACAAUAUAUCCUAUCCUAUACAAUAUAUCCUGGUGAGUUUAUCUAGGCCAGAAACAUGACAACAUAAUAUUCCAUAAACUAGUUUUGGACAUUUGCCGCCUCAUCAAAUACAAAUUCAUCAGAACACAUGCUUCACAUGUUUACUUUUUUCAGACUCAAGAUUAAGAUUUUUUUCAGUUUUUUAAAGUACUUUCUAGUGAAUGCCACUAUUAACCGUAAUAAAUUGCUAUAAUUAUGUGAAAGUGAAUGCAAGUUCACCAAUCUAAAAAAACACAAGAUGUACCAAAAACAUAUAUUCCAAUUCGGUCCUAAACUUAUAUGUUUAACACCUACACUUUAUUAUUUGAACAGGAUAAUAGUAGAUGUUUUUAGGAAUCUAUAGCAUCAAGUAAUCAAACCAGAAACUAUUUUUUAAAUGAAAUUAUUAACCACUAAAACAAUAAUAAACUAAAAAAUCUAAAAUGUUCAAAUGCAUGGUUGUUUCACAGAUUGUCUUCUACGAGGAUCGUAACUUCCAGGGCCGCUCUUAUGAGUGCAACUCUGAGUGUCCAGAUAUGUCCUCAUAUUUUCAGCGCUGUAAUUCCAUCCGAGUGGAAAGUGGAAACUGGAUUCUGUAUGAGCACCCCAACUAUAGAGGACACCAGUAUUACCUUAGCAGGGGAGAAUAUCAUAAUUUCCAGCAAUGGAUGGGUUUCAAUGACUCCAUCAGAUCUUGUCGUAUUAGCCCAGAGGUAAAGAUAUUUACCAAAAUAGUUAAGAACCUUACAUAAAUAUGAUGCAGUACAAAAAAACAUUAUUGUCCUAUUAUUAUAGGUUUACCUUUGCAAAUAUGACCUUUUUUGACUAUUAUUCAUUAUUUUAUGGAAUAUAUCUUCAAUUCACAAUUCCAUUGUCAGGUAACAGGUGGGUUAACAUGGAUAAAAUAUAUAUAUAUAUAUAUAUAUAUAUAUAUAUAUAUAUAUAUAUAUAUUCCCGUAUAGAUUUUUGAUGUUUACAUGCAAUUAUACAAUUAUUUUACUCUUGUUUAUAAAUAAUUUUUUCUUCGUAAAGCACCAUGGAUCAUUCAGAGUAAAGGUCUAUGAGAGGGAGGAUUUCCGAGGUCAGAUGAUGGAGUUCACUGAAGAUUGUCCUAAUGUCAAUGAGAGAUUCCGUUACCAUGACAUCCACUCCUGCCAGGUGAUUGAUGGCUACUGGAUGUUCUAUGAGGAACCAAAUUACAAAGGACGCCAGUAUUACCUGAGACCUGGAGAGUACAGAAGAUAUACUGACUGGGGUGCCAUGAGCCCAAGAAUUGGCUCAUUCAGGAGACUUCACCAUUUCUAAUAAGUUGUAUUUAUUACUAAAUCAGCAUGUCAUUAAGAAUAUAAUAAAAGCUUCAAAAAUUAUCUUUAAGGUCUAUGUUUUCUUCAUUUUCUAUUUAAGUUGUGGAUUUAUACCUUUUACUUUACAUGCAAAAUGCAAACACUUAUUUUAAACCACAGUUCAGUAAAUAAAUUAUUAAUAUAACAGUGGUUCCUAUAAAAACAAAUAAUGAGUAUGUAAUAAAGUGAAUUAUAUUAUUUUUUAGAUAUAGUCCCUAAGGAAGUUGAAGUUGUGACAGACAAAAUACUUAUAGCUUUUUUUACUGAAGGUGGUUUUGACCCAAAAAAGUAAUAGUAUUUCUUAAAUGAAGAAUGAAAACAUUAUUUCAACAACUCUGUCAUGUAUCAAAUAAUAUCCUAUGGUGUUGUGUUCUAGUAUGACAUUUUUUUUUUAAUGCUUUCUUUGCAGAAUAUAGUACAUUCUUAUACAAAUAUAAAUUUAUAUUUAUAUAUUUGUGUAUAUGUCCUAUAUGUAUAGGUCAAAGGUAAUAGGGAUUCUUUGUGAGUUAGAGUAAUGGAAGAAAUAUGAUGAAAGACCUGUACAUCUAACUACAAACUUUUACGCUUCACAUGUUAAGCCUCUACAGAAACUGCUAUAUUUGAAUAAGCAUUCAACAACACAUAACAUUCACUGAUUCUAAGGCUUCACAUAUCUGAAAGAUCCAUUUAUGUACAUGUUCAUAUUUAAUUUAACAUGUUCAAUGUGGAGAUCGUUUUUGUGAGCUAUCAUCAUUUCUAAUUUCCUUAAUUAAGCUAAGUUAGACUGUUGAAACUUCAAGCUGCAGAGUAAGAUUUGUCAUAGCAAAUGUAUGUUUAUGCAAAAGCACAUGCUUUGAAUGUAAUAAAUAAACAUAAAAAAAUGAGAAAACAAGGCAACAUUUAGUAGCCACCGACUUUUACAAGAUAAUACUAAUUAAACAGUAUUGUAACCUCUAAAACUACAUGUAGGUGGGUGGAGGUAAUUUCCAGCAGACCAGGUAUUGUUUGGGAUCCAAGUUUCUCAGUAUUUUGGCAGCAAAAAAACACAUUUACCUGUAUUUAUCUGUUUUCAGAAGCUUACAUAUUAACUUGAAAGGUUGGGGAAUGGGUUUAACAGGGUAUCAGAUCCUUACCCUAGUUCACAACUUAUAGAUAUUAUGCUUAUGCAGCCACCUUGUACUUAAAAUGGCACAUUAAGUCAAAAGAGAAGUUCUUCUUGGGUGGGAUCCGUCUAAUCACCUACCACAACAUAGUUGUCAUCAUGCUAAAGGAUAAUAAGGAAGACCAAAUACAAUAGGGAAAUUAAAGCCCUUCUGCGGGACAACAGGCAACAUUAAAGGACUGUGGUGAUAUCUGGAAAAGGCAAAUCUGAAAUCUGUUCACUUUCAUCCAUCACAGGGCGUGCCUGUUGGAGAAUGUGGGUUGUUUAAAAAUGUGUGGGGUACAAGAGGAAUAUUUUUUGGAAGAAUGGACAAAUUUUAUUCCAUGCCUAUUUUGAACUGUUUUAUCUCAUAAACAAAAAAGGAAAUAGGUGUAGCGCUAUAUACAUACAUAUAAUAAUGUAGAACCUAAUAGGUUGACAAGGCGUCCUGAUGAAAGCAAUUCCAAUACUUAUUAUAAUCGACCUAAAACAAAAAAAGAACUCCAAUAGUGUAACACCGUAAAUAUAGAUGUAAUAAAAGUCAGAUAUAGCGAUAAACUCGCAUUCUCCUGAGCUUAUAGCCAAGCUCAGGAGAAUGUGAGUUUAUCGCUAUAUCUGACUUUUAUUACAUCUAUAUUUACGGUGUUACACUAUUGGAGUUCUUUUUUUGUUUUAGGUCGAUUAUAUUAAGUAUUGGAAUUGCUUUCAUCAGGACGCCUUGUCAACCUAUUAGGUUCUACAUUAUUAUAUGUAUGUAUAUAGCGCUACACCUAUUUCCUUUUUUGUAUCUCCUUUCAUAUUGAUGUAAUUAAGAAAGAUUACAUCUAGGUGUUAUAGCAGCUUGUUUAGUAGUUUUUGGACUAGAGAGUAUUAUAUUUUGUUAUAGCGCCAGUACAUUUCUUGUAUUUCUAUUUAUCUCAUAAACAACUCCACUAGCAUUAAUGGGUUUUUUUCACAUACUAGUAUAAAUGAAAUUCAUACAUAGAGACAUUGAGUUAUGUAUUUGUACAAUUUCUGACUGUCUAAGAACAGUCAGGAUAUUCUUUUGAAACAUUUAAUUUGCUAACAUUUAAAUUGAGACAAAUCACUCUGGCCUGGAGACAAUUAUUGAAGCAUGACCAUAAGUCUGAGACCCUAAGGCAUCACAUUCUAAACUUCCCAUGAUCACACAUGAGGAUGCCAUUCAUUAUAUUAGGUACUUGUCAGAAGUGAAUGCUUUCCUAAGAAGACUAAGGACUCCUCUGUACACUAAUAAUCCUGGAGGGGUUACAACCAGAUCUCCCCAUUGAGGGGAUAUGGAGAAGAUAACUCAAUUGACCUUGUUUGUGCCCGUACUUUGCAAUAUUCCUGCAGUUUCAUAGAUGCUCAACCUUAUGACGUCCAUAUCAUGGACUUGUGAGGUCCAAUUGACUGCUAUUAGCUAAUAUCUGAUUAUCAAAUGGCUAUUUUAAUUGCUCAUAUGUUACCACAGAGGAGUAACUACAGGUAGUUUCUGUCUAUGAUGGUUUAUUCUUAUUUUUAUUAUAUUUAUUUUUUAUAGUACUACUAUUGUUUCUUUGUACGGAGUAGCAGUUUAUCCUCAUUCUAUAGUGCAGCUUAUUUUCAUGUCAUACUCUCCCUCAGACUUUCUAUAUCAAGUAUAAACACUUGUAACUGAUUGUCAUGUUCUCCCUUUUAAGCUAGCAAAUCACAAUAUACAACUUGGUAGAAAUAAAGGAACAGGAAAGGAGAAAUCAGUGCACAAAGCACUCUUUCUUUUAUUUACUGCCAAAUUAAGAUAAAGGUUACUAAAACAAUAAUUGGAUAUUCAACAAACAUAAACAAUAUCAAAGAGUUGAAAUGAAUAUUUAAUGCUGUGAGGUUUACCUUUAAAUGAUGAUAAUUGGAGGUUUUAGAGUAUGGAUCAUACUAAUUCAAAAUACCUGUGUAUUCCUAAUUUCACAAGCAAUUUAACACCUUCAUGUCUGGACUCCCACCUUUAUCUAAUAAGAAAGUUCUUUUUUUUUUUAGCAAUUACAAUUGUAGUUGGAUCUAGACUUUGAAUUUUUUCCACAAAUUAAUUAAUUAACCCUUGGCAUUGAUUGUACCUAACAUCAUUAAUAACAGAAUCAUUGUUAUUAUACCGUGCAAUUGUACACAUUUUACAUUAACCAGAAAGUAAAAUAGAUUUGAUUUAGUCCAUGAAAUAAUGUCCUCUCUAAUUGAAUCCAUGAGCACAGUCUCUUUGUCCAUAAUGUCCUUUGAAAGUCCAAACAAUUUGUCCUUUUUUAAAAUCAAACAGUUUUUGUCCUGAAUAAACAUGACUGGUUCUGUAAUAAAAAAAAAACAGAUGGCAGUCUGCUAUUCUUAUACAUUAGUAUGUUUCUUAUACAUUAUUAAGUUUGAUCACUAUGCACAAUAAUUGAUUUACUACAUUUUCUACCAAAAUUUUUUGUUUGUUUUUUUUUCAAUUGAAAAUUUUUAUUUCUCGAAUUUGAAGAUUCGAGUUUUCAGAUAUUAACAAGAGAGUGGGGGUAGAAGGGUACAGAAUAAAGAAGAGGGUGGGGAAGGGGAUCGGUACAUUCAAGGUAAUCGAUUUAUACAUGUCAAUAACAAAGUUAUACAAAUAGUAUAAGGUAAUACGAAUAGUAUAAGAUAAUACGAAUAGUAUAAGGCAAUACAACUUCCAAAUAGUGGAAGGUAUUACAAAUAGUAUAAGGCAAUAUAACAUGUUAGUAGAGCAAUAGUGUUCCCACAUAUGUCCAGCUCUAAGGGAAGUCACCCUACAUUUCCGUUUUAUACCAAUUAAACUUGUUAUACCUUGGAAGCCUUAGGUUAUUGUCAUCUAUCAAGAGGUUUGGUGAGCCAGUUUUACAAAUGGCUUCCAGAUCUUAAUAAUCUGUGCAGUGAGCUCGUGGGAGGUGGAAGCUAAUAGCUCAAAUUUGUAAUAAAGAGUUAUCCUAUCAAGUAGGUCUUUUCGGGAAGGGCAACUGGUGGUUUUCCAGUUUUGGGCUAUGAGAUGUCGCGCUGCUAGAAUUAUUAAGGAUGCUAUCUUUUUGUCUGCUUUCUUCCAUUGUGUAGGGAAGAUCAGUAGGAGUGUUAGUGUCGGCGUUAGGGGUUCUUGAAGAUGGAGUAGUCGUUGCAGAAGUGAGUGAACCUGUGACCAGAGUGGUGAAAUCUCUUUACACUCCCACCAUACGUGCAUCAUGGUGCCUGUGUCUGACAAGCAUCUCCAGCAUGUUGAGUUUGUGUUGGGGUAUAUUUGGUGAAGCCUUUGGAGCGUGAGGUACCAUCUGUAUAACACUUUUUUAUGUGCUUCCACGUGUGAGAAACAAGAGGUGAGGCCUGAGAGAGCAGUGAGCGCCGAAAGCCAGUGUGAGUCCGUGAGUGUAGGUAUUCCCUCUUUUUCCCAUUUUUGUACAUAGGAGAAUGAGCGGGGGGUAUUAUAGUCAAGUGUGGUCCUAUAGCAUAGCGACAGGGCUUUGGGUUUUAGUGGAGACGUAUGGCAUCUGGAAAAGAUCUCUGUCAUGUCUGUUAGUCUAUAUGGUUGGAUCUGGGGAUUCAAGGUUACGUGAGUGGAGAUGACACUUUUUACCUGUAAGUAUUGAAAGAUACAAGAGUUAGGUAUGUUAUAUUGUAUUUGCAGGGCUGGGAAUGGCUUGAUUCCUUUUUGUGUGCAUAUGUCUUGGAUAAGUUUCACUCCAUACUUGGUCUAGGUCUUUAAGGACAACCAAGGUGUCAGUCUGGUCAAAGCUUCAAUCGGGGCCUGUAGGCAGAAUUUCCCUUUUUCGGUUAUAGUAGCCAUUAGCCUAUCCCAGUAUUUAAGCAUCAAUGCGGAGGUGGGGUACAGUGACAAUUUCGGUGGUCGAUGGAUCUUAGGGGACCACAUGGCGUGGAGUAGGGAGUGCGGUUUGGAUCUAUCGGAUUCCAUAUCAGCCCAUUGGAACGUGUGUUUCGGAGCGUGAUAUCGAAUAGCGGAGUCUAGAAUGGCAGCUUCAUAAUAUGUGGUUAACUUGGGCACCCCUAAACCACCUCUAGAUUGGAGCUGCUGCAGUAUGGAUACAUGUAAACGCGGUUUAGUUUUGUUCCAAAUGAAUCUGGCUAUUAUAGUUUGGAUGUUCUUGAGAGUCUGUGGGGGUACUUGUAUCGGGAGCAUUCGAAAUACGUAGAGGAUUUUUGGUAACAGCACCAUUUUCACGGUGUUUAUCCGUCCUAACCAUGAUAAGGGUACAUGUUUCCAGUGAUUGCAUAGUGAUUUACAAGUCUGUGAAAUCAGACCAUAGUUCAUUGACAGCGUUCUAUGGGGGUGUAACGCCAGUUUUACUCCUAAGUAUGUAAUAGAGUCCUGUCUCCAGUCAAAUCGAAAGGAUUGUCGGAGCAGGUUGACUUGUGUGUUUGGUAUGUGGAGGGGUAGUGCUUGUGUCUUGGUGUUAUUAAGUUUAUAGUACGAUAUUUUACCAUAGUCGUGGAGGAGGGAGAGGAGGCGAGGAAUUGUAUACGUCGGAUUUCCCACUGUCAAUAAAAUGUCAUCUGCGAACAUUGAUAGUUUAAAAGUCGAGGAGCCUAUGUCUAUACCUGAUAUCAAAGGGUCGUUUCUAAUUUUAUGCGCUAAAGGUUCUAGGGCGAGGAUGAAUAAAAGAGGGGAAAGGGGGCAUCCUUGCCUGGUGCCAUUAGAGAGAGCGAAAGGACGGGAGGUGAAGCCCGAGCUAGACACUCGUGCGGUUGGUGAUUUAUAUAGUGCCAGAAUACCUUGGGUCAUUUCUUGUGGGAAACCAUAUUUGUUUAAUACUGAUACCAUAUAAGCCCAGUUAAGUCGAUCAAAGGCUUUUUCAGCGUCUAAGGCCAACAAUAUGCUUUCAGUUCUUUGGUCCGCAAUGUGAGAGAGAAUGUUUAGGAUUUUUCUGGUAUUGUCGGAUCCUUGCCUGCCUUUAACAAAGCCUGUCUGAUCGUUGUGUAUGAUGCGGGUUAAUAUCGGGCUUAUCCUGUUAGCUAACAAUUUGGCAUAUAUUUUAGUGUCGCAGUUUAGCAAAGAUAUCGAUUGGAAAUUGGAGCACUAAGUCGGUGGUUUCCCAGGUUUUGGUAAGGUCGAAAUGUGGGCUUGUAGCAUUGCUGCAGGCAUGGAGCCCGUUUGGAAACAUCGGGUGAAGAAUGAUUUCAUGUAUGGUACAAGGGUGUCCCGAAAUGUAUAAUAAUAUAGGUUUGUAAAGCCAUCUGGGCCUGGGGAUUUGUGCUUUGGUAGUUGGGCGAGGGUAUCAAUUAUUUCCUGGUCUGAGAAGGGUUGAAUUAGGGCAUGACAUUCAGCUGGGGUGAGGGAUGCCAAUUCAAUAUCCUGCAGAAAUCGGUCUAUAUCCGUUUGCUUAGGGGGGGGACUGUCUUGUGACUUUGCUAGGUUAUAGAGGCCGCUAUAAUAUUGGCUAAACUCGUCUACUAUCUCUUGAGGGUCUACAAUUUUCUUGCCUUGGUUCGAAAUAAGGAAGGCGAUUUUCGACGAUGGGGAUCUUGCUUUAAGUUGCGCGGCCAGAGUUUUCCCUGCCCUGUUUCCGGUAUGGAAAAAUUUAUGUUUCAACUUCGCUAAGAGGUAGGUCGUUUUCUCCAUCUCUAUAUCUUUCAAGGUGGACUGUAGUUCACGUAUCCGUGUGGUGAUAGUGUGAGAUGGGCUUGUCUUGUUUGUGUGUGUGAGUGUGGCUAGUUCUUUAUGUGUAUCUACAUAACGUUUGGUUCUCUUUUUGUUGUUGUGGCUAGUGUGUUUAAUGAACUGCCCUCUAAGGACGGCUUUGUGUGCUUGCCACAGAGUGUCUAUAUUCAUCCCUUCUGUAUCGUUUAAUACAAAAUAUGAAUGGAGUUCUUUUUUGAAUUGUGCGACCAGUUCCUCGUCUUUCAAGAGGUAGUCAUUGAGGCGCCACGUGCGGGUCCCAGAGAUGGGGUAUUGUGUUGCUAGGGAUAAUGUAAUCGGGGCGUGGUCCGACCAUGUAAUAAUACCUAUGUCUGCUUUGACUAAUGUCGGAAUUAGAGUCGAGGGGAUAAGGAAGCGGUCUAUUCUGGAAUAUGUGUCAUGCACUUGGGAGUAAUGUGUAAAGUCCCUGUCUAGAGGAUGAAGGGUUCUCCAUGCGUCAUUAUAGUCGUGUAUACGUAGCGUUUUGUCUAGGAGGGAUAUGGAGCGAGUUCUUUGGUUCGUUGUUUGUCGCGAAAUUUUUGCGGAGGAAGUGGUGUCUAGAGCUUGGUCUAGAAUGAAAUUUGUGUCUCCCCCUAUAAUAACCUGUUCGAAGUGAUAAGCGGAUGCCAAAACUAAGAUGUGUUCAAUAAAGGUGUGGCAGUCGGUGUGUGGUCCGUAGAGAUUGAUUAAGGUAUAUUGUGCAUUAUUAAUAAUGCAUUGAAGUAGGAGGUACCGGCCUUUUUUGUCGCCUAUUUUUUUAACUAGUUGGAAUGUCACGUCUUUACUAACUAGGAUAGAGACGCCUCGUUUUUUUGUCUUGUAUGUGCUGUGGUAGUUUGUGGGGAAGUGUCUGGAGAAGAAUUUGUGUUGGUUGGAUGUUUGAAAAUGGGUUUCCUGAUAAAAUGCUAUAUGGGCUUUCUGUUUCUUUGCUUCUAAAAGGGCCAUACGUCUUUUGUGUGGUGUGUUCAACCCUUUGGCGUUUAUAGAUAGAAUGUUAAGUGUCAUGGUGUGUUGAUGUGGGAUCCUAGAGUGAGUUGCUGGACUAUCGUGGAUGGUAGGAGAGAGGAGAUGGUAGGUGACUGGUCCUGAGGUUUGGAUAUCGUAGCAUUAUCCAACCAAUGCGUAACUCGUUGGAUCUCUAGAGGGCAUGAGUGGGAUGACCUGUGCCCUGUGGAAGAAUCCUUGAUAUUUUUGUUGUGGUGGUACGCGAUCCCCUUGCGGGGAGGUAAGGGCGGGGAGUAAGGGGAGUAACUGGGAAAAUCAAACCAACUAUGUACAUUAAAAAGGUCUCUGCUGUGAGACCUGAUAUUACUGGUGUUAUUGGGCAUUGAAGCCCUUAUGUGGUGUGAGAGAACAUUUCCUAUAUAGAAAUCCAGACAUCUCCCUAGUUUGCGUGUAUCUUAGCGGCAGUGUGGCAGUGUGGCAAAACUAGCGGUCUAUAGCGGGCUAUAACCCAAACAUACGAUUUACCUUUGCCCCCAGGUCCUGAAACAACAUUUCAGUCAGUGUCAGAGUGUAUCCAGAGGCGGCUACAUAUCAUACAUGUGCAAAAUUAUACUUUGUAUCUGGUAUGUUAUAUACAGUAGCAAGUGCUUAUGGUGAGAAACAGGUCACCAACCAAACGAGAUGUUAUGGGAAAUCAAGUGGCAGUAGAAAGAGAUAAAGAUAUAUACAAAAUAAUAUUGAAAAUAUAUACAAGAAAAAAAAUAUAGAAUUGCACAGUAAAACUUGGUGUGGGCGAAUAGUAUUAGCCUCGUCAUGUUGUCCUGUGACAAGAGCCUGUCUAGUGUGAGAGGCUCGGGAUGAGGCUACGUGUAGUAUUAGGGCUAUGAGGUGCAUGAGCUCCGCUAGGCCUCUUACAUGUCUAGCGACAUUAUGGUUUUGCCCUGGGUAUGUGAUAGUCUCAGGGAUCUAGAGGGUCGUUAGGCAAAAGGGUGCGGUAUCCCCCUCACGUGGGAUAUCUAUGUUUGGGGAUAUCGCCCGAUUCAUUCCCUUUUUAGGUGUCAUGCUUCGGAGUACGGCUGGGGAGGGGCUCUUGUAAAGAGUGUCGCAGGGGACCUAGGUCCGUGGGCCUAAAACCUGUGACCCUCCAACUACUAAUGCCACAAAGCUCGAGGAGAACUAUACAUAUAUAACACAGUAAUUAGGUAUUACCAGUCCAUAGCAACUUUUACAACAUGUAUCGUGAGAGCUAGUCCAUUGGGCAAGGGUUUGCAUAGACUGAUACAGAGUGGUUCACUUAUCUGUGCGUCGGGUUUCCCAAUCUUGGGUGAUCUUUAAUGGUGACCUGGGUACAGAUUUUGCAGCCGUGCCAUCUGUGGGGUCUGUGUUGACAGGAAUAUUCCAGUCGGCCAGUGUUUUCUUCCCUUCUGCCAGGUUCACGAUGUGUCUUUCAUUACCGUUCCGUUUGACGAUGAGGCGUGUCGGGAAGCCCCACUUGUAGGGGAUCUCUGCCGCUCUUAAAGCGCUUGUAAUCGGUGCGAGGAUUCUUCUGGCUUGUAACGUGUGGGCUGAGAGAUCUGUAAACAAUAGAAUCUUGUUAUAUUCUUCAGGUAGGCUAGGCCGUUUUCUAGCGGCUGACAUUAUGGCCUCUUUAGUGGUGUAGUAAUGCACCCGUGUGAUGGUGUCUCUGGGAGCUGUCGGUGGUAGGUGCUGAGGCCUAAGUAGCCUAUGGAUCCUGUCCAAUAGUAACGCGGACUCUGUGAGAUCUGGGGCCAGUAAGUGGAAAAUCCGGCGCGCGUAGGCUCCUAGUUCGUGUGGGCCCACACUUUCUGGAAUGCCUCUAAUGCGGACAUUGUUCCUUCUGUCUCUGUCUUCAUGGUCGGCAAGUUUUGUAAGUAUCAUGUUGAUCUUAGUCUCCAUGGAGUCGAAGGCCGUCACCACAUUAUUAUGUGCUGUGAUGAUUUCUUCAGUUUUAUUUUCUAGGUAGUCUGUGCGGUCACCCAGUGCUUUAACGUCCGCUCUGAUUUCUUUUGAUAGCUGGGCGAAGUCCGCUCGUAGGGACGUUUGAAGUCCAUUAAGCAUCUUUUGAAUCGCUGAUUCCGUGGCCGGGAGGUCUCUGUGGGAGACCGACGUGAUAUCGCUCCGUCCGGAGCUCGAGGCUGGUGAUGUAGGCCUCUCGGCGCCAUCUUGUGAGCGACGGGGAGAGGAGGCCAUGGCCGAGAUUUGUAGGUUGGGGGCCUCUUUCGCCUUUGCUCUCUUCGGGAGGCGCUGUGCCAUGAUGGCUGGAAUGCUGGUAGCUUCUCAGCUUGUGGAGAAGGGGGUGAUCUCUCUUUGGAUGCUUGUCAAAUCGCUGCUUUGCGGGGAUCGCUCACGGAGCUGAACGUUCACACGUCUGUUCCCUUUGUUUGUUUUUUGAGUGUGUUUGAACCUGUAUUCUAUUUUUAUUUUUUUUAGAAUAACAUAAGGACCUUUUCCAACUUAUUUUCAAGGGAUCUGCAACUUGCUUUCAAGGGACCUGGUGUUUUCAAUGAUUUCACCAUCACCUCAUUACGUAUAUGCUUAGUUUCCCAGUGCUACAUAUUUAAAGGGACACUGUAGGCACCCAGACCACUUCAGCUUAUUGAGGUCGUCUGGGUGCUGUUUCCCUUUUGAACAUAGUGCUGCAAUGUUAAACAUUGCAGUUCCAGAGAACUGCAAUGUUUACAUUGCAGCACUAGGUCUACCCUCAGUGGCUGUCUAUCAGACAGCAACUGGGGGCGCUUCCAGAAUUGAACAGACUUUGGACCAUUAUCUAACGCUGGACGUCCUCACGCUCCACAUGAGGACAUCAGAUUUUCCCCAUAACAAAGCAUUGAUUCAAUGCUUUCCUAAGGGGAGGUCUAAUGUGCGUGGGGCGUAUGUCGCACAUGUGCAUUAGACCAUGCUUGUCGUGGGGUGGAGGAGGGGCGGAGCUUCAACACAGCACCGAGGAAUAUCGGCACUGGGAUAAGUUAAGUAAACAAAGGGUUUUUAACCCUCUAUUUACUAGGGAAGGGGGUGCAGGGCAAGGGGGAGGUAGAAGGAUCGGUAGUGCCAGGAAUACAGCUAUGUAUUCCUGGCACUACAGUAUCCCUUUAACUCAUUUUUUACCAGAAGAGACAAUAUUUGAAGCAGCACAUUUUUAAAACUGAUUGCAGCUGUUCCUGUAAUACUUUCAACUAUUCAGCAUGUCCUGAUGCAAAUUUGAAAGUACUUGGAACAAAAAGUUCAUUGGGGAAAGUGAUUGACAUUGUUCUGCCUGUCAUUAACUCAUGAGGGGACACUUGCAUUUUAGAAUUUGCAGUUGCACGAAUAUACAUUAAUACUCCUAGUAAUUUUGUUACCCAACUACUCCCUUUAACUACAAGCAUUUAUUUUUCAAUUUAAAUGUUAAUGUAAAUCAAUUUAAAUAGAGUUCCACGGUCGUUUUGCCACAGAUACUCUCUGUAAUUUUGGUUUCUAGUCUUUAGGUCUUGGAUUAAAUUGAGCACAUAUGAUUGUUAUUUUGCAGGAUCUUAAACAGGUUUUCUGUACAGACUUAAAUCCUGCCCACAUUCUCCAUUAUUAAAUGUAGGAAAUUAGCUGUUCCUGAGAUGUUUGUCACACCAAAGUUCCAAUAAUCAAAUCAGAUUGUAUUGCAGCCAAAAAUUUAUAUUUAUUCAAACAUACACACCACGAGAAAAUAACACAAAGUUUUUGCACAAAUCUGGACCAAUACAGCAAUGUGUAAGCACUUCAAGAUAAUAUUAAUUUUUGUUGUUAUAAGUAUUGGUGAGGAAUUUCUAACUGUAAAUGUUUUUAUAUGUCUAAAAUUCAGUUACUCACGAGACGUACACAUAAGGUUACCUGACACGUUAAAAUAUGUGGCCAUCAUAGAAAAAGGUUGUGGCUUAACCAUUCUGUCCAAUCUCUGAUUAGAGCCAGACGUUAAACAAAUGGUUAGAAAAUAGGGGUAGGUGAUUUAUAGAGUCCCACAAGGGGAAACUAACAUCAGGAGAGCUCCACUGUAUAAGAGAUGAGGAAGGGGGCCCUAUCUUUAAUCAAUCUAAGGAUAAAAAGGGAUAUGCAAACAAAAAGUAUAACUUGAAAAAAGGGAGACAUACUAAAUGGUGCCCAGGGGAUCAAUUGUCUGGAGUACUAACUAGCAUCUACGUUCCAGUUCCCCUAGUGUCCUCAUUGGAGCUCCCUAUUAGUUGGUUACAGUGGUGCAGCUCAUGAGCCCUUGACUUGUAUCCAGACUCCUGACCUGCACUCUGUUUACUUUAUUUCUCCAUUUUGUGUUUUAUACAAAUGGUUAUACUUGGGGGGUAAAAUAUAAUUUACACGAAGGUCUUUCUGUUUACAUGAUUAAAUGAAUUUCUUCAAAAAGAAACUUCCUAAUACACAUGGGAGUCUUGCUUGCAAUACUAGGUCAAAAGGUGAUAUCAACAGGCUUUCACCAAGCAUUAUUUCAUAUGUGGUGAACAUUGGUAAACAAAUAAAUAGGAUCUCUCAGUUCUUGUGUCUGAAAGUAUUUUAAAAUGAAAUUAAUUUCAACUAAUACAAAACUUAUGCUAUUCAUAUUGCAAAGAUAAAAUCCUACAACACAUCAGAUAUUUAAAUUUCAAUAAAUAUAUUUCAUAACCCAGUGCAGGUGUGUCCCUUUUAUUCACACUCUACGCAGUGGGACAUGCAAAUUCUAAACAUACAAGGGUUGAAAAAAUUCAAUUGCAGAGUCUAGAUCUGGAAGUAGACAUAAUCUGUGCCUUGGUUGGUUCUUGAGAUUGUUUAGAAAGGAUUGAAGAUUACAUUUCUUGAAAUCCCUGGUGAUUAUAAUCUUGGUAGAGGAUUUAGUGGCCUUUAUUUUGAGUAUUCAGGACACUAAACAGUGGUCACGGAAACUGUUAGUGAGAACUACCACCUACUGGAUUCUGUCAGGACAACAGAAUAGAAUCUGAUGUAGCAAGGUAUGGUUAUGGCUUAUCAUCUUAAUGAGCGUUGGGGAGGAAAUUAAGUAAUGCACUCGGAAGCUAGGUGGGCGUUAAAUUCCUGCAACAAUGAUAGUUUUACUGAAAGGGAUCUUGAUUGUGCCAGAAAAGAAAUCAAAGGUGGCAGGAGAGCUAUAGUUUUUUAAAAGGGUGAACUUUAGAAACAAUCCCAAGAAAUUAUGUAUUCCCAAAGGAAAGAUCAAAUUAUUUUCCAGUUUAAUUAUGAAAAACAGACUGAGUUGGAUUAAUAACUCAUCAGCUAAAAACAAAAGAAUAUGAGAAUGUUGUCUUCAAAAAGCAUUUAAGUUUUUAGCUCUAAUAGUUAAAAUAGAGUUAUUUUUAUAAUAAUCUAAUCUAUAAUAUGCAUAGGAUGGGUACAUGCUUCUAUUAUAGAACUCAGUCUUCUCUCCUCUCAACUGUUUCUGGUGUGUUAUUGUGUUUGUUUGUAAAUGUCUAUGCAUGCAAAAGUGUGGAUGUAAUUUUAUUACUGUGGAAACAAAAUAAAGAUUAUUAAGAAUAAUAACAUUAAAUAUUUUAUGUAACCACAAAGAGCACUAUUUACUUUGUUGUUAAUUCCAUGAUCAUGAGAUAAUGUGAAUACCAAUAAGAGAUAAGCCGAGAUGUAACUUUAUUUUUAAUAGUUCAAAUGGUUUGGAUUGUGAUAACGUUGAAAAUACACAAAAACACAAUUCUAGCCUGAGUUCAGGAGGUGUAAUGAGAUGAAUAAAUGACUGUGAUUAUAACUGAUGCAUUUGACUGGUAAAACUAACAUGAAUGUACUUUAGUUUCAAAUUACAUGUCACACAAUAUAAUAUAUAUAAUUUAACCUCCUAAUAAUAAUAAUAAUAAUAAUAUCUUUAAAAACAGAACUUAAACAAGUUGCAGAACAAUUGGCAAUGAUGUCAAACCUUUUUUCUUUUCUUUUUGUAAAAUAUGCUUUAAAGUAGUUUUUUCCUCAGUAGGAAUAGAAAUAAUCUAGUUGAAAAAAAGGCCUGUCACAUUUUCUCUAGAUCUCCCUUAGAACCAGGAAAUGCUUGUGCCAGCAGGUAAACAAAAAAGCAUAUAGGAUACAAUACAAUAGCUAUACUGAAGCAGAGUAUACAAUAGCUAUACAUUCUAAUUACUGAUGAAAAGAAACCAGCUCAGUACUGUUUUCAGCAUCAGCAAGGUAAACAGUAUAUAAAGGCUCUUCAUGCUAUGUAACAGCACAACUUGCAUGAGCAGAUCAACCAUCACUGAAAAUGGGAAAGGUAAGAUGAUCUGAAUAUUGUAAAUAUUUGCAACACAAGAAAUUUUGGAAACAAUAAACAGAUUUUUUUAUUUUUUUUUAAAUGAACCAAAACAAAUUAAAAUUUUAAAUGCUUACACUGAAUGUCAUCAAACUUUAUCCUAUACAAUAUAUCCUGGUGAGUUUAUCUAGGCCAGAAACAUGACAACAUAAUAUUCCAUAAACUAGUUUUGGACAUUUGCCGCCUCAUCAAAUACAAAUUCAUCAGAACACAUGCUUCACAUGUUUACUUUUUUCAGACUCAAGAUUAAGAUUUUUUCAGUUUUUGAAAGUACUUUCUAGUGAAUGCCACUAUUAACCGUAAUAAAUUGCUAUAAUUAUGUGAAAGUGAAUGCAAGUUCACCAAUCUAAAAAAACACAAAAUGUACCAAAAACAUAUAUUCCAAUUCGGUCCUAAACUUAUAUGUUUAACACCUACACUUUAUUAUUUGAACAGGAUAAUAGUAGAUGUUUUUUAGGAAUCUAUAGCAUCAAGUAAUCAAACCAGAAACUAUUUUUUAAAUGAAAUUAUUAACCACUAAAACAAUAAUAAACUAAAAAAUCUAAAAUGUUCAAAUGCAUGGUUGUUUCACAGAUUGUCUUCUACGAGGAUCGUAACUUCCAGGGCCGCUCUUAUGAGUGCAACUCUGAGUGUCCAGAUAUGUCCUCAUAUUUUCAGCGCUGUAAUUCCAUCCGAGUGGAAAGUGGAAACUGGAUUCUGUAUGAGCACCCCAACUAUAGAGGACACCAGUAUUACCUUAGCAGGGGAGAAUAUCCUAAUUUCCAGCAAUGGAUGGGUUUCAAUGACUCCAUCAGAUCUUGUCGUAUUAGCCCACAGGUAAAGAUAUUUACCAAAAUAGUUAAGAACCUUACAUAAAUAUGAUGCAGUACAAAAAAACAUUAUUUUCCUAUUAUUAUAGGUUUACCUUUGCAAAUAUUACCUUUUUUGACUAUUAAUAAUUAUUUUAUGGAAUAUAUCUUCAAUUCACAAUUCCAUUGUCAUGUAACAGGUUGGUUAACAUUGAUAAAAAAAAAAUAUAUAUUCUCGUUUAGAUUUUUGAUGUUUACAUGUAAUUAUACAAUUAUUUUACUCUUGUUUAUAAAUAAAUUUUUCUCCGUAAAGCACCAUGGAUCAUUCAGAAUAAAGGUCUAUGAGAGGGAGGAUUUCCGAGGUCAGAUGAUGGAGUUCACUGAAGAUUGUCCUAAUGUCAAUGAGAGAUUCCGUUACCAUGACAUCCACUCCUGCCAGGUGCUUGAUGGCUACUGGAUGUUCUAUGAGGAACCAAAUUACAAAGGACGCCAGUAUUACUUGAAACCUGCAGAGUACAGAAGAUAUACUGACUGGGGUGCCAUGAGCCCAAGAAUUGGCUCAUUCAGGAGACUUCACCAUUUCUAAUAAGUUGUAUUUAUUACUAAAUCAGCAUGUCAUUAAGAAUAUAAUAAAAGCUUCAAAAAUUAUCUUUAAGGUCUA